rnacentral:lncRNA from 1 species
GGAGGGGCUGGUUGACUGGGUGCUCAGGGUGUUCUGGUGCUCUAACCCACCAAGUUUGGGGCCUUGACAUUGGGUAAAACAGUGGCUAGGAAGGUUUUUACCUUCGUGUGAGUAGGCGUUCGACAGUGACUUAGGGUUCUUCCACUCCACCACUGUAAAUGAAACUUAACAGGUUUGGUCUUGGGGUAAAAACAUGUGGUUCCACCAAAUAUGAGCUCCAUUGAACAAGUUUGGCUUUGCAAACUUGAAAAGGUCUCAAAGUGACCAGUACUGUCCCUUACAAAGGAAGUGUGGUCAAACAGAGUCUCACAAAUCCCAUUUUUGGUGUGGAGUCCUCAUUUGGGGUGUUAAACACCUCUGCAAAGUUUCAGCUCUAUUGGAGAAACUUUGCAAAGUAGAGUUGUUCCAACUCUACUCUGGACAGAGAGGGUUUUGGCCUCUCUAACUGCACUUACCCACCUUGGAUCAAGGUGAGAUUUUUGGUGAGCACCUAAUAUGGUUUGGGAGGGCUCCUGUAAUUUUAUGGGAAUUUACUGAGAUACUUUCCUUUGGAAACAUCUCAAAAAGCUAAAACAGACAGAAAUGGUUUUCAGGGUUUUACUCAAAUAAUAUUAAUAUAAAAUAGGGUUGAAAAUCUUAUGUAUGGAAAAUAUAUGUCCUUCUGAGCUUCCAUGAAUUUACUCAGAAUUUCCUAAGGCAGGAAAGUAAUUUUCUUUGUGGAAAUAUCAUUAGUGGCCUUAGAAAUAGACAUAGAUAUAAAAUAGAAAAAUAAUAUUUUAAAUCACUAAUUAGUGUUUUUAAUGAAUGAAAAUGAUAUUAGGAUCAGAUCACCAACUUUAGUUGAGAGUGCCACUUGGCUUCAUGAGCUAGUAGUGUAUCCCAACAUGAUGAAGGUGAUCUUGAUGUAAAGGAAAAAGGGUUUUUGAUGAGAGCAAAAUAAUAAGUUUUUCAUGGGUUGAGUCAUCAAACAAGCAAGCAUACACUCAAACAAGGGUUGAAAUUGCACUCACAACAUUAUUUGGAAAAGUUUUAACAAGCUCUGAUUUUUGCAAUACAGAAAACUUGGGGUGGAAAACAGGGUGUGACAGACCUAUCCCCCUUACAAGAAUCUCGUCCCCGAGAUUCCUAAGCUAAGCGUUAAACAGCUCGGGAAAUUCUGAUCGGAGAUAGUCUUCACGCUCCCACGUGGCUUCUGCUUUGGUAUGGUUGCUCCACUGAACCUUGAAAAACUUGAUGGUGCGGCUUCUGGUGCAACGCUCUGCUUCAUCCAAAAUGCGGAUCGGUCUCUCGCGGUAGGUAAGAUCUGGUUGAAGGUCAAUAGCUUGAUGAUCAAUGUCCUUGUAAAGAUCGGGACGGUUCGGCACUUGCAAACACUUCCUGAGCUGUGACACGUGAAACACGUUGUGCACACCCGAAAGUUCAGGAGGUAGCUCCAACUGAUAAGCUACUUCCCCGCGCCUUGCCGUGAUCUUGAAGGGUCCAAUGAACCUUGGAGCUAGCUUCCCCUUGACAUGGAAACGCUUGGUCCACUUGAGAGGCGUGACUCGAAAGUACACUAGGUCUCCGGGAACAAACUCCAUGUUUCUACGGCGAGGGUCUGCAUAGCUCUUCUGCCUUGACUUAGCUACCUCCAAGUUCUCUCGGACAAGCUGAACCUUGUCCCCUGCUUCCUGCAGUGCUUCUGGCCCGAAAACUAGCCCUUCACUGGUUUCGGACCAAUUGAGCGGGGUGCGGCAUUUCCGCCCAUAUAAUGCUUCGAAUGGGGCCAUUUGAAGACUGGACUGGUAGCUGUUGUUGUAAGAGAACUCAGCAAAUGGUAGGCAGUCUUCCCACUUGGCACCAUGGGCCAAAACACAAGCGUGGAGCAUGUCCUCAAGUAUCUGAUUUACCCUCCCGGUAUGUCCGCCCGUCUGCGGGUGGAAAGCCGUACUGAAGGAGAGUUUGGUUCCGAGAGCUUCUUGAAACUUCUUCCAGAAUCUUGAGGUGAACUGCGUGCCACGAUCGGACACAAUCUCUUUGGGGACUCCAUGGAGACUCACCACUCGAUGAAUGUACAGACUGGCCAGCUGGCUGCCGUCGUAAGUGGUGUUAACGGGGAUGAAAUGGGCCACCUUGGUCAAAUGAUCAACUAUGACCCAAAUGGAGUUAUGACCCUUAUUCGACCGGGGCAACCCGGUGAUGAAGUCCAUGCCGACUAUAUCCCACUUCCAUUCUGGCACUUGAAGAGGUUGUAGCAAUCCAGCGGGUCGUUGGUGUUCAGCCUUGACUCGCUGACAUACAUCGCAUUUAGCGACAUAGGAGCCAAUUUCCCUCUUCAUGCCAUGCCACCAGAAUCGUUCUCGGAUGUCUUGGUACAUCUUGGUACCACCUGGAUGGGUAGAGUACGGUGUGUCAUGUGCCUCUUGCAGGAUCAAGUCCUUAAGUUCGGCCUUGUUGGGUACGCAUAAGCACUUCCCGUACCACAAUACUCCUUGCUCAUCAAUCGAGAAUCCUGGGGCUUUUCCUUCUCGCACCUUCCUCUUGAGGCCUUCAAUACUCUUGUCCCCCUUCUGGGCUUCCUUAAUGUCGUCUGCCAGAGUAGGCUUGACUUCGAGGUUGGCCAGGUACCCUGGUUCGUCUAUCUCAAGUCCUAAGCCCUCCAUCUCUUCAUACAAGGCGGGUAACAUUUCCUUCAGCGCGACGUUCAAGGAGCCUGCCUUCCGGCUCAGGGCAUCGGCUACCACGUUCGCCUUGACGGGAUGGUACUAAAUGCUGAGGUCGUAAUCCUUGAUUAACUCAAGCCAUCUCCGCUGUCUCAUGUUCAUCUCUCUCUGGGUGAAGAUAUACUUCAGACUUUUGUGGUCUGUAUAUAUCUCGCAUCGCUUCCCCAGAAGGUAAUGUCGCCACGUCUUCAGAGCAUGCACUACCGCUGCUAGCUCGAGAUCAUGGGUGGCGUAGUUCUCCUCAUGCGGUCGCAGUUGCCGUGACAAGUACGCCAUGACCCUGCCAUCUUUUAUCAGGACUCCAUCGAGCCCGGUUCCCGAGGCAUCACAAUAUAUCACGAAUUCCUUGUUGAUGUCUGGGGUAACCAAUACCGGAGCGGUAGUUAGCCUCUUCUUCAACUCCUGGAAGCUUGCUACACACGCCGGUGUCCACUCGAACUUCCGGCCUUUCUUCAAGAGUUGAGUCAUAGGUCGAGCGAUGCUCGAGAAUCCCUCGACAAACUUGCGGUAGUAUCCCGCGAGCCCGAGGAAACUCCUGACAUCCUUCACGUCCUUGGGUGAUUCCCAGUUGGCCACUGUAGAAAUCUUAGACUGAUCCACGGCUAAACCGCGUUCCUUCAGGGUAUGACCCAGAAACCCAACUUCGUUCAGCCAGAACUGACACUUGCUGAAUUUGGCGUAAAGUUGGUGCUCUCGAAGCUUUCCCAGAACUAGCCUCAGGUGUUGCUCAUGCUCUUCUUUGGACUUGGAGAAGAUUAGUAUGUCAUCGAUGAACACGACGACAAACUUGUCCAAAUAUUCCAUGAAGACCUUGUUCAUGAGGUACAUGAAGUAGGCUGGGGCAUUUGUCAAACCGAAGGGCAUGACCGUGCAUUCAUACAGACCGUACCGGGUCACGAAUGCAGUCUUGGGUAUAUCUUCUGGUCGGAUCUUCAACUGGUAGUAUCCUGAUCGGCGAUCGAUCUUGGAAAAUACCCUGGCCCCGUUUAACUGGUCAAACAGGUCUUCGGUCUUGGGGAGCGGGUACUUGUUCUUAAUUGUUACUUCAUUAAGGGAGCGGUAGUCGAAGCAGAGUCGAAUGGUACCAUCCUUCUUUGAAACAAACAGAACAGGUGAUCCCCAAGGUGACGCACUCGGACGAAUGAACCCUUUCCUGAGUUGCUCAUCCGGUUGUUUCUUCAGCUCUGCCAACUCCUCGGAACCCAUCAUGUAAGGCUUUUUAUAAAUAGGCCUCGAUCCGGGCAUAAGCUCAAUGAUGAACUCAAUAUCUCGGUCAGGAGGCAUUCCGGGUAGCUCGUCAGGAAAGACGUCCGGGUAUUCACAGACUAUAGGCACUCGAUCAAGCUCUACCUCGGAGAGACUCUUGACUCGAGGUGCGUGAGCCGAUACUGGUUCGGAGACGAACUUGACCUUGACCCCUUGGUUGCUUAUCAUGGUGAUGGCUCUGUUGGCACAGUCCAAAAGACUCUGGUGCUUGGCCAACCAAUCCAUACCGAGGAUUACUUCCACACCUUGUGAUUUAAGCACAAUGAGGUCUGCCAAGAAACUCGUCCCAUUGAUAACUAUCUCGACCCUUCUACACCCUAGGUUGAUCCUUAAUACUGCUCCUGGGGUUUGAAUUGCCAUCUGUCCGCGGAGUAAAGUGGGUUUUAAACCGCAUUUCUCCGCAAACCCUUGAGUAACAAAAGAAUGCGAAGCACCACAAUCAAACAACACUGUUGCUGGAGUUGAGUUGACGAGGAACGUACCCAGAAUGCAGUCCGGGUCUUCCUGUGCUUCUUUUGCAGUGAUGUGAUUGAUCCGGCCCCUACCAUUGAACUGUUGGUUGCGGGGGGCCUGGUUCCUCCCUGGUGCACCUUUACUGGGGUUGGGUGCAUUGGGACGCGGUGCGUCGGGCUUCUUGUUGGGGCACUGCCUGGAAUAGUGCCCAGUCUGACCACACCCAAAGCAGGUGACUUGCCUUGCAGGGUCGGUCUUGACUCCACCGUUGUUGGGCGGUUUGACUACUGGCUUGACUUGCUGCUGAGGCUGAAAAUUCUGGCGGAACACCGGGUACUUGUACUGUUGCUGCUGAAAGUUGGGUCUUGCAGGUGCUGACUGCCAUGGUCUUGGUCUUGCAUUACCGGGUCCGCCACUGCCUAUCAGCUUGCGCUUGCGGGUGUCGUCCAUUGCACGGCGCUUGCCUUCCAGCAUAAGCGCUUUGUUAACCAACUCGCUGAAAGUCUGGCAGUCGCAAACCACCAGCUGGUAUUGCAGGGACUGCUGUAACCCUUCCAUGAAGCGUUCCACCUUAGCGGCCUCAGUGUUAACAUCUUUAGGUGCUAACCUUGACAAGAGAUUAAACUUCUGCAUGUACUCCUUAACAGUUCCACUGCCCUGCCUUAAGGCUCGCAAUUCACGCUUCUUAAUGGUCAUCAGUCCAGGCGGAAUGUGAGCCGCACGAAAUCCUUCCUUGAACAUCUUCCACUUGAUGACUUGCCCUGCCCGCAUGAUCUGGAAUCCAUCCCACCAUGCCCUGGCGGUGCCUCUGAGACAGUGAGAAGCAUAAAGGACCUUCUCAUGAUCAUCGGUGCACUUGACCAGUGCAAGGAGGUCUUCAAUGGUGCGAAUCCAGUCAUCGGUGUCCAGGGGUUCAGUCGACUCCGUGAAUAUGGGGGGCGUAGUCCGCAUGAACUCAGAAAGAGUAGAGCGACCACCGCCAUACUCAUUCCGCGGCGGGUUGUCCACCAGGACUUGGGUCAGCUGCUGGAUAGCGGCAUUGCUGGCUUGACGCUCCUCUCGAAGAGCUUGAAGGAACUGAGCCAUCGUUAAGUUCUCAGGAGGAGGUGGUGGCGGAAGGUCUCUAGGCUGCUCGUGGUGACCUCCAGCGUGAGCUUCUCCUUCGGUUCCCUGCGGCGUCCCUCAAGAGCCGGAGCCGGGGUUGCCGAAGGUGCUGUUGCGGGUUGCGUUCACCAUCCUGUCAUAGAAACAGACAGGUCAAAAUGUCACCUUGCUCGGGAGUACAAGGAUUUGCUCCUAGUAGGAGGGGGUCCAAUACGUGCAUGUGCCAAGUUUUUAAAACCAACGUUUUUGACAAACUGGAAAUUGCAUUCAUGACAACUAGGUGACGUAGUCACUUACAGACUGCCCAAGGCAAUAGGUGACUUACAUCAAGCACACAUACGCAAUUUAAAAACGGAUACAAGGAUACCCUAUACUCGGGUACUCCGAUUGCCUACGCAAAACAAAUCUACGCGGCGGACUGCUCGGUCUCAAAGGCGGACUCAACAUGAUCCUCAUCUUCAUCAACAUCCUCUUCCUUUAUAGGAGUGGAAGAAAGAAUCCGCACGUCUCGGUGUCUCUUGGGCGAGGCGGCGAAGAUCUCAGUGUACUCUUCCGCUGUCAGGCGACGACUCUGAAGAGGGACUGCCUGGAUGGGUAACACACCACCCCUAGUGGCAACAGCUGCCCUCCCUUCAGGUGCGCUUGCCUUCUUUACUUUGCGGUUCUGCAUCUUCUCUGUGUGGAGCAGGCCUUUGACUAGGUGCAGCUCUUGGCGAAGCUUGACUGAUUCCUUAACCAGGAAGUGUGUCAGGGUGUCUGACGAGAGACUGAAGUAGGUCUGAAACCUCAAUGGCAUCCCAUCCUCCAUGGCGGGGGUGAGUGUCCAACUCCCAUCCACUCCUUCCUUAAUGAAAGGUAGAUGACGAGUGACAGGCUCGUUGGCCAUCUUAGGGAGGAUGCUGCGGAGUUGCAUGAGCGCCUCUCGUGCAGCCGCCUCCACUGCCAACAUCAGCUCUCCCAUUUGUGGUCCUUCAAAGAACCAACUAGACGGGGAGUCAUUAGCCUUCACUAUCACGUCCACGUGAUAUUCCUUGGUGUCGGCGUUGACCCAAUGCUCGUGGUAGAGGAAGAUGGGCGUGCGUCGGACAUGGCACUUCUCGAGACAAUCCACCAGAAGUAGUGGAAAGCCGGUCUCCAGAAGCGUCUCAGGUACAGCAGCCAUCUACAAGGCAUAGGAGAGAAGUCAGGAGGUUGUAUGUGCAAGAGUCUUGUGCAAGGCUGGAUUCCUAACGUUCUUGGUUAACGUCCAUGCUAUCUAAGGCUUCCGAUAGUCAGGAUGGCUCUGAUACCAGUUCUGUGGGGACCCAGACUAGCAAGUCGAGUUCGCCGUGCCCAGUGACCCCAAGGAUCAAUGUUCACUGAACACAGAUACUGAGUGAUAGAGUCUUACAUCCAAGUACCAAAUUAUUACAUCAAAUGACCAGAAGGUCGGGUUCAAGAGCAAGGCCUAAAGCCAAAUAAAGGGAUACAUCGAGUAGCGUAAACUCGUAAGGGCUAAGCGGUGCCCAUGCCAUCAAGCCUACACCGACAGGCAUUCUGACUCGGAAGCGUCCUAGAUCGCAGGUCCAUCUCCGACGGCGUACUCAUCGCCAAACUCCGGUCCUUCCAUGUCUAGUCAAUAACAUAACCAGUGGCAAGCCAAUGAGUACUUUGAAUGUACUCGCAAACAGCCCAUGACAUAAAUGGUAAUGAAUGGAAGUAACAUGCAUCUUUAAUGGAAUGCGAUGAGGUGGUAUGAUCAUGUAUAUGCAUCAGGUUAAAGAAUUACUUUUGAAGAACAGGUUACAGAUAUCAUCAUCUUUGCUAAGGGUUGAACACACCGGGUUCACCCUAUAUGCCAAGUCAUCGGACUUGUCAUAAUCUCAAGGUAUUAAUGAGGGCUAAACCAUCCGGGUUUACCCUAUAUGUCAAGUCACCGAACUUGAUCAUAUUAUUGUGAUUAUCAUGAUUAUAAUGACACCUUUUUAACACCACACAAACACACACUUGGUUUAUGCUGAAACUCAGGACGUAGUUUAAGCAGCACCACCCAAAUGUCCUUGACCGUGGACACGGCUAUUCGAAUAGUUUACACUCUGUAGAGGUAGUACGCUGGACCCACGAGAAACGGAAUACUUCCGUGUCGUCCACGACUCGCGGUAUAUCACAUAUACCUGAGGUAAGUAACCGAUCAUCAUCUUUCCCCUGACGAUACUAGACAAAGAGAUCCACUCGAUUGGUACCCAGCCCACAUGUUGUACGUCUUAUGAGCAUUGACUCUGGACUGUAUCAACCAUGCAGGGACCAACGGUGUGCCUGGAACUCAUAAUAAUGGCAUAGUCGUCCUACCUGGCACGACCCCAUCACGAGAGUGACACCGAUCACUCCCGCCACUAGUAAUGUGGCUCUUUGCUAGCACCCACCAGAGUAAUCAACAAAGCCCCGUCCCAUAAAGGGGUAUCGUGGUCGUACUGGGUAAGGUUGGGACGGUCGACACAUCAUAAAUCUAAUCCAUUUCCGAAACCAUACUCACACCAAAAUCACCGGUGCAUCACUUCACCAAAAGUGAUCACCAACUCAUCAUCACGUUCGGGCAUUAGUGGCACCCGACGGGGUUUUUAUAAACUCUUUAUUCAACUCAUCAUCAUGCUCAUGAUAAAAUGCUCUAUUAUUACUUGUCAACUUGAUGUGCCUUAACAUUACUUGUCAACAUGAUAGUAUCAUGACCCUCACGGGGUCAAGCUCAAUGCAGUGAUUCUACUCUACUAGCCAACAUGACAGUAGCAUGAUCCUCGUAGAUGGUAGGAUCAGCUCAUCAUGCUCAUGCUCCGAGGAGCCAUGUGAAAUCACUACCAUAAUGCAAGGGCUUGGAAGAAGCCUUCGGUACCAUCACAUCAAUGAUGAACCGACAUAGUGAUUACAUGCAACGGCAAAUACUUGCUAUUCUAGCAUGCAUCAUUUUAUUUACUUAAGUCAUGGAAAAAGGGCAUGCUUGCCUUGGUCAACUAGGUAUCCGGGGUCUUCGAGGUCUUCCGCUCCGGAUCCUCCGUCACUCGGUAAUUCUACCGUCGAGAAAGGAAUAAAUAAAUACUAGCUUUUACUAAAACAGUUCACAAAGUGCUUUUAAAAAUGUUGCAAGGCCUGAAUAAAUCUAGGUUAUUAUUUUGAAAAAUGUUCCCUACAGUUUUAUUAGCUAAGCAUAUUUAUUUAAAAGCAAACAGAAGCAAACAAGUGCUUUUUAAUAUCAUUUUAUUAUACCAAAAUAGUUUCUGUUAUUGAUAAAUGUCAACUAUUACAGAAUCAAAUACUACUCAUUUUUAGAAAAAUACUGGUGGAAGAAUUAUAUUUUUCUACUGGCUAAAUCUUUUUAUAAAAAUCAUUUAGUUUGCUGGAUUAAAACAGAAGAAAAAGGCCAGGGAAACAGAUCCAGCCGGCCCAGCCAGUAGGCCUGGCCACCAGGCACGCACGGGCCAGGUUCAAACCUGACCUGCGGGCCCCUGGGGUGAGCGUCAGCGGCUGCGCGCGCUGGCUUCCCUAGGACACCGAUAGGUGGGCUCCACCUGUCGGGUCCUUCUCCUACCACUGGCCACAGAGGUGGAGAUGGACGUCGACGAGGCCGCCGUUGUCCUCAGGCCUAGCUAGGAACGGGAACGGGUUCCUCGUGCCUCCGCCUACCUGCUCGUGGUCGGGACGUCAUCGGAGGUGGUCUCGGUCGCCGGCGACGAGGUGCUCGUGGCGGAAGGGUUUCGGGUUCGAGUUGAACUAGGGGCUAGAGGUAUGGAUUUGCUCGGGAGAGUUAGGGGAAAUGUUCCUGGUGUCGAGGGGAGUGUAAUGAGAGGUCGGGCAGCGCAGGAGCCGACAUGUAGCCGGAGAUCGACCGGAGCUCCUAGGCAGAGGGGCCUCGGUCGAUCUCGAGCACCGGGGCUCUGCGAGCUCGAUUGGGCGGCUAGGGAGUGUCUACUGGUUGUGCUGAAGCUGCUUGGAGGGUGCUGGAGUGCCGGGGGGGUCUACUUAUAGGCCAACGGCGGUGACCCGACUCGGGCACGCCGGGGACUCACCGUGGCACGCGCGAAAGCACAGUGAGGUGCUGGCCGCGAAACCACGGGUUCGAGACGUGGUUUAGGGCCUCCUGAUGCAACGGCCGCAGAGGGAAAGUGAGUGGGGACGAGCUGCAGCGAUCGUGCAUGCUCGGUCGCGUCGGGCGCGCACGGGCUCGCGUCGCCUGAGCUCUUGCGCGAGGGGGAGAGGGUCCCUGGGGUAGCUUUGCACUGAGGGGCUGUCGGGGGAGUGAUUGGACACUACUGGGGAGGCUGGGACCGGCCGGAGCGUCGGCCCCUUGCGGGUGGCUCUCUGCAGCGCGCCCAGAGCGCAGUUUUGGCAUGCCACGGCUUGCUGGCUCGCUCUGGGCACUUGGGACGUGUCCUCCAUGUCCUGAGUGUUGCUGGGAGUGUUCCUAGACGUUGUGGUUUAGUGGGAGCUCGAGCUGGUCAAGGGAGCAAGGAACACUAGUGUUGCCAGUACUGUCCUGCAGCUCAAAUUGGAGUUCUUGUCACUUGUGCUUGGAAUUGGGGAGGGACUGGUUGACUGGGUGCUCAGGGUGUUCUGGUGCUCUAACCCACCAAGUUUGGGGCCUUGACAUUGGGUAAAACAGUGGCUAGGAAGGUUUUUACCUUCCUGUCAGUAGGUGUUCGACAAUGUCUUGGGGUGCUUCCACUCCACCACUGUAAAUGAAACUUAACAGGUUUGGUCUUGGGGUAAAAACAUGGGGUUCCACCAAAUAUGAGCUCCAUUGAACAAGUUUGGCUUUGCAAACUUGAAAAUAUCUCAAAGUGACCAGUACUGUCCCUUACAAAGUAAGUGUGGUCAAACAGAGUCUCACAAAUCCCAUUUUUGGUGUGGAGUCCUCAUUUGGGGUGUUAACACCUCUGCAAAGUUUCAGCUCUAUUGGAGAAACUUUGCAAUGUAGAGUUGUUCCAACUCUACUCUGGAUAGAGAGGGUUUUGGGCUCUCUAAGUGCACUUACCCACCUUGGAUCAAGGUGAGAUUUUUGGUGAGCACCUAAUAUGGUUUGGGAGGGCUCCUGUAAUUUUAUGGGAACUUACUGAGAUACUUUCCUUUGGAAACAUCUCAAAAAGCUAAAACAGACAGAAAUGGUUUUCAGGGUUUUACUCAAAUAAUAUUAAUAUAAAAUAGGGUUGAAAAUCUUAUGUAUGGAAAAUAUAUGUCCUUCUGAGCUUCCAUGAAUUUACUCAGAAUUUCCUAAGGCAGGAAAGUAAUUUUCCUUGUGGAAAUAUCAUUACUGGCCUUAGAAAUAGACAUAGAUAUAAAAUAGAAAAAUAAUAUUUUAAAUCACUAAUUAGUGUUUUUAAUGAAUGAAAAUGAUAUUAGGAUCACAUCACCAACUUUAGUUGAGAGUGCCACUUGGCUUCAUGAGCUAGUAGUGUAUCCCAACAUGAUGAAGGUGAUCUUGAUGUAAAGGAAAAAGGGUUUUUGAUGAGAGCAAAAUAAUAAGUUUUUCAUGGGUUGAGUCAUCAAACAAGCAAGCAUACACUCAAACAAGGGUUGACAUUGCACUCACAACAUUAUUUGUAAAAGUUUUAACAAGCUCUGAUUUUUGCAAUACAGAAAACUUGGGGUGGAAAACACGGUGUGACAGUUAUGCUGAGUCAAAACCUUGGAAACCCCAUUGACCAGCUCAAAACCCCUAUAAACCUCGCGGGGUUUCGCCUAACCCUAGCUCCGAACGUCAAUCGUCCGAUCAUACCCUAGCGCUAAGCGACAGCCCUCAGAUCACAUGGACAGGUUGUGUAGUGCUCUGCACCAUUGGAUCACAUGGAGGGCUCCGCAUCGUUGGAUCAUGGGGCGAUCCACGAGAGUUUUAUGUUGUGCUCGCCCACCCUUGCCUCCCCUUUCUUCUGAUGCUUAUUUUGCGGCGAAGAGAGGAGCCACUCCUUUGCUUCUUUUUCUCCGGCGACGAGAGGAGCCACUCCUAGACUUCUUCUUCUCCGGUGACUUUGGGUGGUAUGUCGAGCUCCACUUCAGCCUCCCGCCCCUCGUGGACCCAGUAUGUUCCACUUCCCAUGGAGCGAUGUCCUGAAUGCCCAUGCAAAGCGCCACUGAUAUGGUUGACUUUGAAGGAGGUCAAGAAUGGAAAAUAUGGGCGUGAGUUUGUGAAAUGCAAGAGCAAGCCAGAGGGGCAGUUAGAUCUCAUGAUUUUUCUCUGAUUUGUUUUUCUAUUUGCUUUUAAUUCUUUUUCCUUGGAUAUGGGAUUUAGGGUUCAUGUUUUCAUUUUAGAUCGUGAAGAAAUGCACACAUUUUGAAUGGCUGGAUGACUACGUUAAGCGGAUUCAAUUCAAUGGGGCCCCAACCCGGGAGCUCAAUCUUCCCUGAGCACCAACGAAUUUGGUCUCUGAAAGUGCUGCUUUGACAGUUGGAGAUGCAGAUCUGAAGGGGUAAUCAAAGAAGAUGAACUAGAACUUGACGUAGAUGAUUGAAUUGAAUAAGCACGCGAAUAUGAUAGCUUUAGGAUUUUAUCCCUUUUAUUUUUGUAUAGUUGCUCUAAGAUUUUCUUACUUGUUGGUCAUCACUCAUUAGAGAUGUUAUGUAACGCCCAAGAUGUGACCCUAUCCUUAAUUUGGCACGUGGGCCUUGUCAGGUAUAGAAGUACAUCUCGUCGUUUCGCAAGAAUGGAUAUCGUUACAAGUACAUGUACUGAAAAGAUGAGAUAUACGGAAUUGGCUUACACUUGCCACAAGCUACAUCAGAUUCACAUCAGUACAAUACAUAAUCAUUAUGAAGAAGAGCAGGGUCCGACUACGGACAAACACAAACGAGAAAGAAGAACGACAUCCAUCCUUGCUAUCCCAGGCUGCCGGUCUAGAACCCAUCCUAGAUCGAUGAAGAAGAAGAAGUAGAAGAAGCAACUCCAAAUGAACAAUCAACGUGCUCGCGUCAAGUAACCUUUACCUGUACCUGCAACUGGUGUUGUAGUAAUCUGUGAGCCAUAGGGGACUCAGCAAUCUCAUUUCCAAAGGUAUCAAGACUAGCAAAGCUUAAUAGGUGAGGUAUGGUUAAGUGGUGAGGCUGCAGUAAGCGACUAAGCAACAUAUGAGGUGGCUAACUUACGAGUACAAGAAUAAAGAGGGGGAAGAUCUACGCAUUACGGACGUCAACUACUGAUGAUCAAAUGAAUUAUUCUGAACACCUACUUACGUCGGACAUAACCCCACCGUGUCCUCGAUCGGAGUAGGAACUCACGAAAGAGAUAAUCACGGUUACGCACUCAGUUGGCAUAUUUAAUUAAGUUAACUUCAAGUUGUCUAGAACCAGUGUUAAACAAAGUUUCCACGUUGCCACAUAACCGCGGGCACGACUUUCUGAAAGAAUUAACCCUGCACGGGUGCUCCUACUAAUCCAUCACAAAUUACCACAAACCGCAUAGAAAUCCUCAAUCACGAAACUCGCGAUCUCGUCGGACUCCUUAGUGGAAAACCUCAACUCUGAGAUUACCCAAAGCAUCACCGGAAUCCCGAUGCACAAGACAUUCGUCAAAGGGAAAACUAAUCCAGCAAGGCCACCCGGUGUGUCGACGAUCCCGAUAGGAGCCGCGUAUCUCGUUCUCAAGACACGACGGAUGAGUGUACCGUACAGUGGCCUGAUAGAAAUCUCCCGAGUUUCCCUGGGUUGGCAACGCAAACGGCUCUGUUUUGGACCAGCACCAUCAGCUUGCUUGACGCCCUAUGCUUUCAGUAUUAACAAAAUUAUUAUGUUGGGCAAAUGUAGUACCAAUGUUGGGCCUUGCCAGACCAGCUUUAAUCUAAAACGAAUUAUCAAGGGGGUCCCCAUAACAACCCCGAUCGUGUUAGGAGCGCUCAAUUAUGAAAAAUAACACCGGUAGAAAGGCCGAACCUUCCACCCUUUACCAAGUAUCUGGGUGCAUUAAAUUAAAUAGCAUUUAAUAGGGUGAUAUAACAAGGAACCCAUGUUAACACAUGGAAGCAACUGCACCUGCAACUAGCAACGCUAACACAUGGUUAAGCAAGCGGUAACAUAGCCAAUCAGUGGUUUGCUAGGUUGUGAACAGGUUGAAGGUUUUCAUGGCAAUGUUGAGGGGCUGAUAUUUAACAUGUGGUAGGCAACGAGACAUAACGAUAGAAACGGUAAAACUAGCAUGGCAAUGAUAGAAAUGGUAUCUGGGGAAAUGGUCAUCUUGCCUGAGAUCCCGCUUGGAAGAAGAACGACUCCGUGAAGCAGACGAACCAACGUAGUCGAACGGAUCCUCACAAUCCGACACGCUUGCAGAACUCUAUCGAGACGAAGCAAACCAGAAACAAGAAUCAACACAUGAUAUGCACCACACGAUGCACAACACAUAUGAUGCAUGAACGGCUGAAUAUAGGCAAGACAUGGCAUAGCAAUUCACAACAAUCAAACACUACACAUUAAGUGAAGUUCAAAAUGCAACGAGUUGCAUAUUGACAAAACUCCACAUACGAAGUAGUUAGUUCUAUCCUGAUUAGGUACACGGCAAUAUUAAAUGUUGUUUAAACAUGGCAAGAGGUGAAGCAUAAUUAAACUACCUAUCUAGACAUUUUAAAUGAGGCCGGAAAUGACAUAUAGAAUCUCCGAAAUGACCUGACAUGUUAAUUUAUAAUUCUUCCAGAUCUGAAUUAACACGUUUAAAUAUUUGUUAAACAGAAAAAAUAAAUAGGUUCACGUGAUUCUAUGCAUCAUUACAAACAAUUUACACACAGAGAACAUCUCCAACGGAGCUACGGUUCAAAAGAUACGAACACCGCAAGAUAUGAUGACAUGAAUGCAAUAUGUGUGCAACGACAGUCACAAGCAUUUCAAAACACACAAUCAGCAAGAUAUUAUGAAACUACAUGAGAUUCUAAGCAAGUUUCAUAUAGGUCACAAUCAAAACGGAGCAACGGUUCAACAAUUACAGGCUAAACAAGAAAUCACUACAAUUUGCCAAAAUCAGCCACAUAGCAUUUUCUACACCCCACAACUAUGAGCUACAUAAAUCCAAUAUGCUCAACCAAGGCAUGAGACGAUAGAGGGAAAGAUGCACUACAACAUACAACUAAUAACACCUAGCAUGGAAGCAUGGAUCACUAGGAAAAGAAGUCACAAAAUGGCACCUCACACAUAGUUUCAGACUUACAGAAAAACACAGUUUAUGAAAGUGCAGUUUUCGAUCUGAAGGCAUAUUGACAGCAGCAAAACCAUAAGCUACAGGACUCCAAAUGGCAUGAAAGUUCAUAGCAUGCUAGAGAAUCCUAAAGUCUACAACUAACUCCAUUGCACCAACCUCAAAAGAGCUAUAGAACACCAGAUAAACUCAUGACAAGACAACAACAAAAUAUAAUAGAUUUCAGACUUAGAGAUAUUACAGCAACUCCAAAUCAGCACUAUUUCCUAGCAAGUUGAGAACAAGCAAACCACACCUAAACAUGGAUUUCUAUUGCAACCAAAAUUACCAGAGGCUAGUCUACACAUCCAAGGGCAUAUCUCUAGUUGACAACUCCUUCAUAUCUUGCACGGAUUAAAUCCCACAAAAUAAACAAAAGGGCAACAUGGCAAAAUAUCACGCGCACUAACUUGCUCAAAAGCUAAAACUAAAUGCACAGUUAAAUCCUAUGGAUUUUUCUACCCCGAAAACAUAUAUAACAUGUGGGGUUGCAAAACAAAAAUAACGCCACACGAAUAUGCGAGAAUAUGUCCUAAACACGGUAUAACAAACUAGCGACGGAAUCCUACGUGCAAAAAUACAAACAACUACUCUAAAAUACAUGGCAAAGGGUCCCUAAAAACAUGAGCAUUUUAUCUACGGGGUUUGAGCAAUCCGGACACGCAUGGAAAUAAAUACGGGGCAAUUAACCUAUUAGGACAGCACGCAAAACUAGGCAUUCGGAUGGUCAAACUAUUUCAAACAUGCAUGCAAGUUACAAAUUAUUAAUCUAUGCGGAAAACUACACAAGUUCCAUAUACAAUACGUCGCGAUCCGAUACACGGUUUAAUAUAUACGGGCAUUCUAAAAAUCUAUAACUUCCAGUAAUAGAAUUAAAUUCUAAAUCCUAAAGAACACUAUUGGGCCGGAUUCGAAUCUAGGCCGAAUUAGUGGUAGGGGCGCUUCUUACUAAAACGCGCCACGGGCGAACAAUAACGCGAGCGGAGGAGGGCCUCACCUAGGGCCGGCUCGGUCGCCGGAGGCAGCUGGGCCGACUGGCCUUCGCGUAGAGGAAGGAGGCCGAGGCGAGCAGUCCUGGGGCGGGGAGGAGAGCACUCACACGCGGAGCAUCGUCUCCACGACGACACCGGUCGUAUACCUCCUCUCCGGCAUGGUCGGUGCGAGCUGGAAGGUGGGGCCGUUGUACUACAACCUUGCCUGGCUUUGAGAGUGCUCUGGGUUUGGGUGAAGAAGAGAUGGGGGCGGCGCAAAUGGAUGUGUGGAGAAUAGGUGGACACGUGGGUGGUUUAAAUAGAGAAAGGGGAAGGGAAGUGGAGUAGCACCAGCCACGCUUUUGAUUUGCUACGUUCAAACGAGCGUCGUCGAUUGAUAUGUCACUUUAAUUGCCAUGUUCAAUAGAUGUGAGCGGAUCGAGGAGACAAGCGUGCGGGAUGAGAUGAACCAGCAGCAACGAACGUCCGUGGCAGCUCGUGUGCAGAAAGAGGGGUGGUCAGUGCAUCGUGGCGGCGGGUAUUAGAGCAUGCAGGCAGUCUAGCUACGUGCAUGCAUAGCAGGCUCAUGUUGAUGCGCCGUGUGCAGGGCCCAACAAUCUUACCGUGGCCCAACGGGCAAACAUAUGCACCGUCCGACGCGGCCCCAAUUGUCAGGUCCAACGGGCGACGCAAUCCAGCAUGGCCCAACUCGUCAGAGUUAACAGUCAAAGCACUGACCCAAUGGCAUCCAUCGUUUGUGACCAUGUAUGAGGGUUUCAGACAAGGGAGUGGGGAAAAGUGAGAAAAAGUUAAGAGCGUGGGGAUGAAUGAGUAGAGCUAAGGAACGAGGGGCAUGGAUGUAAAAAUCCCAAAUAACAAUUGUUCAGGUUCAUCACCAACAUUGAUGGUAAUUGAAGAGCGAGUGUGCCGACGCCGAUCACAUCAACCUUGGAACCAUUUCCCACGCGCAUCGUCACUUCGUCCUUCGACAACCUUGGACUAUUCCGCAGUUCCUUUUUUGAGUUGCAAAUGUGAGAAACCGAACCGGUAUCAAAUACCCAGGCACUACAACGAGAGUUGGUAAGGUACACAUGAGUAACAUGUAUAUCACAUAUAACUUGUUUGUUGUUGACCGCCUUCUUGUAGGGCAGUUACUUGGGGCAGUUCCGCUUCGAGUGACCAGUCCCCUUGCAAUUAAAGCACUUAGUUUUUGGCUUGGUUCCAGCCUUGGGUUUCUUCUUGGGAGGGGCAAAUGCUUUGCCACUCUUCUUGGAGUUAUCCUUAUUUCCCUUGCCAUUUUUCUUGAAACUAGUGGUUUUAUUGACCAUCAAGACUUGAUGCUCCUUCUAAAUUUCUGAUUCGGCGACUUUCAGCAUCGCAAACAGCUCGGCGACAGAUAUGUUCAUCCCUUGCAUGUUACAGUUCAACACAAAGCCUUUGUAUCUAGGUGGAAGUGGUUGAAAAACUCUGUCAGUGAUUGCCUCUCACGGGAGAACAAUUCCCAACUCAGCCAGAUGGUUGGAAUACCCAGACAUUUUGAGUAUGUGUUCACUGACAGACUCGUUCUCCUCCAUCUUGCAAGCAUAGAACUUACCGGAGGUCUCAUACCUCUCGAUCCGGGCAUUCUUUUCAAAGAUAAAUUUCAACUACCGGAACAUCCCAUAUGCUCCAUGACGUUCAAAACGUCUUUGAAGUCCCGGUUCUAAGCCAUAAAAGAUUGCACACUGAACUAUUGAAUAUUCAUCAGAACGCGUCUGCUAGACGUUCAUAACGACUUCAGUUGCCUGGGGGAUAGGUGCAUCACCAAGCGGUACAUCAAGGACAUAAGCCUUUUGGGAAACCGUGAGUUACUUCCAUCAUCUUUCAACUUCUCUUUCUCUAGGAACGCAUUAAAAUUCAGGGGUGCUACUGUGUGAGCCAUUGAUCUACAGCAUAAAUUUGCAAAGAUUACUUUAGACUAUUGUUCAAGAUAAUGAGUUUAGUUAAUCAUAUUACUAAAAACUCCCACUCAAAUUUACAUCCCUCUAGUCAUUCAAGUGUUACAUGAUCCAAAUUCACCAAGCCAAGUCCGAUCAUCAUGUGAGAUGAGGUGGUUUCAAUGGUGAACUUCUUCAUGUUGAUCAUAUCUACUAUAUGACUCAUGUUCGUCAUUUCGGUCUCUUGUGUUUUGAGGCAAUGUCUGUACAUGCUAGGCUCAUCAAGUUUAACCUGAGUGUUCCGCAUGUGCAAAACUGUCUUGGACCCGUUGUAUGUGAACGUAGAUUCUAUCACACCCGAUCAUCAUGUGGUGCUUCGAAAUGAUGAACUUCUGCAACGGUACACACUCGGGGAUAACACAAAUUUAUCUUGAAAUUUUAGCAAGGGAUCACCUUAUAAUGCUACUGUCAUCUUAAGCAAAACAAGGUGCAUAAAAGGGUUAAAAUCACAUGUAAAUCAUAAGUGACAUGAUAUGGCCUUUAUCUUGUGCUUUUGAUUUCCAUCUCCAAAGCACCGGCAUGAUCUCCAUCGUCACUGGCAUGACACCAUGAUCUCCAUCAUCGUGUUGUCGUCAAGGUUGUCGCGACAGCCAUGCUUCUACCACUAUUGCUACUGUUUAGCAAUAAAGUAAAGCAUUACAUAGCGCUUAAUAAUGGACACUCAUGUCAUACAAUAAUUACAUGCAACCCUAUGGCUCAUGCGAGUUGCUGUAGCAUCGACAUGCAAGUCAAUAUUAACUAUUCCAAUAUGAUCAUCUCAUAUAUCAAAUAUAUGUUAUCAUGUCACUUGGCCAUAUCAUAUCACAACAUACCCUAUAAAAACAAGUUAGGCGUCCUCUAAUUUGUUGUUGCAUGUUUUACGUGGCUACUAUGGGUAUCUAGAAAAAUGCUUCUUACCUAUGCAAAAUCAAAAUGGUGAUACGCAAGUUGCUAUUUAAACUUCUAUAAGGACCACCUUUGUCAAAUCCGAUUCAACUAAGGUGGGAGAGAUAAACACCCGCCAGCCAUCUUACACAACAAAGUUACAUGGCAUUCGAUGGAACUGGUCUCUCGUACGUGGACGAGUAAAGUUGGUCCGGGCCGCUUCAUCCCAAAAUACCGUUGAAUCAAGAAAAGACUAAGUAGGGAAGAAGUCUAAAUAUCAAUACCCACAAACUCCUUUGUGUUCUACUCGUAAUGUUAUCUAUGCAUAGACCUAGCUCAUGAUGCCAUUCUUGGGUAACGUUGCAUGGGAAAAAAUUCCUACGGUCCCAAAGAUCGAUUUAGGAGAUGCACAUCUACGAGAGGAGGGAUUGAAUAUACAUACCCUUGUAGAUCACGAAGCGAAAUCUUUCAAGAAUGUGGUUGAUGUAGUGGUACGUCUUUGCGAUCCGAUCACGAUCUGUCCCAUGAACUCCUGAUCAAAUGCGGAACGGACGGCACCUCCGCGUUCAACACACGUACGGCUUGAUGACGCCUUCACCUCCUCGAUCCAGCGAGCGAUAGUGAAGUAGCAUCCCGAGUCCUCGGGCAACACAACAGCGUGCUGAGAUGGUGGUUGUGAUGGCUCGGCACGGCUUCGUCGCAUAAUAUUUAGAGGAGAAGAACUAUGAUGGAGAGGAUGAGCAGCGCGGUAGUACGUUAAGGUGCAGCUGCCCUCUCUUUCCCUCUCUAUAUAUAGGGGGGAGGAGGGGAUGGUGCCCCAAAGUUUCCCCAAGGGGCUGGCAGCCAAAGGUGCAGGCGGCGGCCAGGGUGGGCCCUCCCACCUAGGCGCCUUGCCACCCAAGUUGGGCUAGCCGGCUGCCAUAGGGGGUGAGGCCCUCCCUUGGCCGAAGUGGGCUAAGGUGUGGGUGGUGCCUAGCCCCUUGUGAGCUGGUGUGCCACCUCUCCUUGGACCAUGAGGCCUCAACACUUACUCGGGCCUCCCAAAACUCCUUUUGACACUCCGUCGUUUCCUUGAUAUGCCCCGGAACACUUCCGGAGUCCGAUACCCUUCAUCCUAUAUAUCAAUCUUCACCUCCAGACCAUUCCGGAAUUCCUUGUCAUGUCUGGGAUCUCCUCCGGGACUCCGUACAACCUUUGGUCACCAACACAAUGAAUUGAUUAUGCUUAUAUCGUCACCAAACGUUAAUUGUAUAGACCCCGCGGGUUCGAGAACUAUGCGGACAUGACCGAGACACUCUCCGGUCAAUAACCAAUAGCGGGACCUGGAUGCCCAUAUUGGUUCCUACAAAUUCUACAAGUAUCUAUAUCGUUCGAACCUCGAUGUAAAGGGUUCAAUCAAUCUCGUAUACAAUUCCCUUUGUCCAUCGGUAUGUUACUUGCCCGAGAUUCCAUCGCCAGUAUCUCCAUACCUAGAUCAAUCGCGUUACCGAAAAGUCUCUUUACUCGUUUUGAAAUACAAGAUCUCGUGGUUAACUCUUUAGUCACAUUGCUUGCAUUCUUGUUGUGAUGUUGUAUUACUGAGUUGUCCCUGAGAUACCUCUCCAUCACACGGAGUGACAAAUCCAAGUCAUGAUCCAUGCCAACUCAACAUACACCCUCGAAGAUACAUGUAGAGCACCUUCACAGUCACCUAGUUAUGUUGCGACGUUUGAUACACACAAGAUACUCCUCUGGUGUCAGUGAGUUGCACGAUCUCUUGGUCAUAGGUAGAGAUACUUGACAUGCAGAAAACAAUAGCAAUAAACUGACUCGAUCAUAUGCUACGUUUAUAGUUGUGAUCCCGUCAUCAAAUGACAACUCAUGUCUUUGGCCAGGAAACCAUAGGUUUGUGGUGGAAUACUCACACAUCAUCAUGGAGGCAACAAGGUUGAUAUAGACGGCCUCCAUGAUCAAUUACCCCUAUGGCAGGGCACCAGAAAAGGUCUCCAGAUGGGAUCGCGACGGAACACACACUUGCGGCUGCAGAAAAAGUGUUUUUGGCUUCUCUUGGGUGUUUUUGAAAACUUUUAGGAUUUACAUAAGUGGAGUUAGGACUGGUGGGUGUGCGAGGGGAGCACAAGCCUGGUGGGUGCGCGAUAUCCCAAGGCUUUGUCACCUCCUAGUGUGACAUGUGGCCUCCUCUACAAGCUUCCUAGGUCCAAAAUUGUCCAGAAAAAAUACCAAAAAGUUCCAUCGUGUUUGGACUCCAUUUAGUAUUGAUUUUUUACAAAAUUCAAACAUGAAAAAAACAGGAACUGGCAGUGAGUAACCAUGUUAGUCUGAAAAAAUGAUAUUUAGCAUAUUAUUUCAUAUAAUGUAUCCAAAUUAAUAAUAUAAUAGCAUGGAUCAAUCAAAAAUAAUAGAUACGUUGGAGAUGUAUCACCAUGCCCAAGCUUAAUUCCUACUCGUCCUGAGGUAGGUAAAUGAUAAAAACAUAAUUUUUGUUGUGACAUGCUACCCAACAUGUAAUCUUUUUUAGGUAUGAUCACCGAGGAACGAUGAAGUAAUUGAUAUCAACAUAAUAAUAUCCAUGAAAAUAAGAAGCAUAAUCAUUACUUUUUCAAAAUAUACGAUCCUUAAAGAAUGUUAUUACCUACUCAUUUUAUCAUAUUAGCAUGGCAUGACUUCGUAUUCACCGCAUAAGUAUAAAUCAUGAGCUCGAGAGUGUCAAACCAAGAAACUGGAUCGUACUUCUAACGUGCUUCGGCAUUUUCAAAUUCAUGCAAUACAUGAACGUGAACCAUGGAUAUAACAUAUAUGUGGAAAAGAGUAUGGUGGUAAAGAUCAAAGGAGUCAAAAAGGGAAGAAAUUCUUGCAUCAACUAGGCGGACUAACGGGCUACGGAGAUGCCCAUUGAUACGUCUCAAACGUAUCUAUAAUUUUUGAUGGUUUCAUGUUGUUAUCUUGUCAUCUUUGGAUGUUUUAUGUACCUUUUAUAUCUUUUUUGGGACUAACAUAUUAAUUCAGUGCCAAGUGCCAGUUCCUGUUUUUUCUGUGUUUUUGGCUCUUUUCAGAUCUGAUUUUGGAACAGAGUCCAAACGUAAUAAAAUGUCCGAAAUAAUUUUUUCCCGAACGGAAGAAGAUCAGGGGGCUUGAGGGCCAAGCCAGGAGGGCUACAGGGGGCCCACAAGCCCCCUAUCCGCCACCAGGGGCGGCGGCCAGUAGGAUUGUGGCCUCCCUGGUGCCCCCUUGACCUAGCUCCUUCGCCUAUAUAUUCCCUAAAAUAUAGGAAAAAAAUCAAGGGAUCCACGAAAAUACUUUUCUGCCGCCGCAAGCUUCCGUUUCCGCUAGAUCUCAUCUGGAGACCCUUCCCGGCGCCCUGCCGGAGGGGACUUUGGAGUUGGAGGGCUUCUUCAUCAUCAUCACCGCCCCUCCAAUGACUCGUGAGUAGUUCGCUUCAGACCUACGGGUCCGUAGUUAGUAGCUAGAUGGCUUCUUCUCUCUCUUGGAUCUUCAAUACAAAGUUCUCCAUGAUCUUCAUGGAGAUCUAUCCGAUGUAAUCCUCUUUGGCGGUGUGUUUGUCGAGAUCCGAUGAAUUGUGGAUUUGUGAUCAGAUUAUCUAUGAUAUAUUUGAGUAUUUGCUGAUUUCUUAUUUGCAUGAUUUGAUAUCCUUGUAAGUCUCUCCGAGUCUUGGGUUUUGUCUGGCCAACUAGAUCUAUGAUUCUUGCAAUGGGAGAAGUGCUUGGUUUUGGGUUCUUACCGUGUGGUGAUCUUUCCCAGUGACAGUAGGGGAAGCAAGGCACACAGUCGUGGUAGUUCCCAUCAAGGGUAACAAGGUGGGCUUUGUCGUAGAUAUGAGAUUGUCCAUCUACAUCAUGUCAUCUUGGUUAAGGCGUUACUCUGUUCUUUUGGACUUAAUACACUAGAUGCAUGCUGGAUAGCGGUCGACGUGUGGAGUAACAGUAGUAGAUGCAGAAAGUAUCGGUCUACUUGUUUUGGACGUGAUGCCUAUAGAUAUAAUCAUUGCCAUAGAUGACGUCACGACUUUGCGCGGUUCUAUCAAUUGCUCGAAAGUAAUUUGUUCACCCACCGUCUACUUGCUUUCAUGAGAGAAGCCACUAGUAAACACUACAGCCCCCGGGUCUAUUCACAUCUAUCGUUUCCACUUUCGCUUUCACUUUGCUUUGUUACUUUGUUGCUUUCAGUUCUCACUUGGCAAACAAUCUAUAAGGGAUUGACAACCCCUUCAUAACGUUGGGAGCAAGCUUUUAUGUUUGUGCAGGCACUUGUGAUACUCCUUCACUGGAUCGAUACCUUGUUUCUCAAACUGAGGGAAAUACUUACCACCGCUGUGCUACAUCACCCUUUCCGCUUCGAGGGAACACCAACGCAAGGCUCCAAGGCCAUGGGGGGAAUCCUUUGCAUAUUUUCCUAGGAAGUCCCUUAAGGCGUAGCCAUAGAAGAAGGAUUCCUAGUGCCUUAGCACAUUUCUGGCGCCGUUGGAAGGUCUUUUGUUUCAGUAGCAGAAGUAUUUCUGGCGCCGUUGCCGGGGAAGGAGAGAUCUAUCCAAGUAGGUUUCACAAACUCAUCUCCUGCAUUUAUUGUUUUGCGAGUUGCCUCUCGUUUUCCUCUCCCCCACUUCACAUUUGCCGUUUUCAUUUUCCUUUCUCCUUUGCCGUUUUCUUUUCCUUUUUGGCUUUUUGCCGUUCCCUUUUUGCCCGCCUGCUCUUAGGCUUGUUCGUGAGAGACCUUUCCUCAUGGCCAAACCAAACUAUUUCAGGAAAUUGGAGGAGAUUGAAACUAAUGUCAAAGGUUUCAUGUCUUCUCAGUUUGACCAAAAUAGUUACUUCCAUAGGGAAUUAAAAGAGCAAAAUUCCUUUUUGGGGUGUUUGAAUAAAGAGGUUGAUGAUAUGGCCAAUGAUUUCCUUGCACUUAAUUCUCAGCUUGCUCACCUUGAAAAAUUGUUGGGCCGAAUUUCUGACAAGCAGGCUACCUUCGUCAAUAAGAUGGCAGCUAAACCUGAAAUUUGUGACGCAAAUCACGAAGAUCUUAGAGUGCUUGGUGUGCCUCCUCUUGAAUCUUUGUUUUCGUGUGUCAAACCUAUUGAUGAAGGGGCUGGAUAUGAAUCCACUUUGGUUGAAAGACGCCCCAAUGAUUCGGAGUCCACCUAUCUUGAUGAUAAAGGUGUGGAGAGUGGAGUAGAAGAAAUCAAAAUUUUGGGUAGUAACGAAACUCCCACUUUGGAUUUCAAGGAAUUCAAUUAUGAUAAUUGCUCCUUGUUUGAAUGCAUUUAUUUGAUGCAAUCCAUUGCAAACUCUCCACAUGCUUCUAGCCAGAGCAAAGCCUUUACCGCGCAUAUCGUAGAUGCUAUGAUGAAAUAUCUUCAAGAGAAGCUCGAACUAGAAGUCUCUAUACCUAGAAAACUUCAUGAUGAGUGGGAACCUACUAUCAAGAUCAAUAUCAAAAACUAUGAGUGCAAUGCUUUGUGUGAUUUGGGUGCUAGUGUUUCCGCGAUUCCAAAGUCUUUAUGUGAUAUUCUUGGUUUUCAUGAGAUUGAAUAGUGUUGUCUUAAUUUGCAUCUUGCGGAUUCUACUGUCAAGAAACCCAUGGGAAGGAUCGAUGAUGUUCUUAUUGUUGCAAAUGAGAACUAUGUACCCGUGGAUUUCAUUGUACUUGACAUAGAUUGCAAUCCUUCAUGUCCCAUUAUUCUUGGUAGACCUUUCCUAAGGACUAUUGGUGCUAUCAUCGAUAUGAAGGAAGGGAAUAUUAGAUUUCAAUUUCCUUUAAAGAAGGGCAUGGAGCACUUUCCUAGAAAGAAAAUAAGAUUGCCUUAUGAAUCUAUGAUGAGGGCUACUUAUGGUUUGAGCACCAAAGAUGACUAUACGUGAUUCCAUCACCUUUCGCCUAGCUAAGGGCGUUAAACAAAAGCGCUUGUUGGGAGGCAACCCAACGAAUCUAUCCUUUUUCUUUAUGUUUUGUGUUUUCCAUAUUUUCAUAAUUCUGUUAUGAUUGUGUUUUUUGUGUUUAUUUUUGCGAUUGUGCCAAGAAAAACCGUUAUGAUUAGUCUUGGGGAUGAUUGUUUGGUCAUGCUGGAAAAGACAGAAACUUUAUGCUCACGAAAAGAAUUGUCAUUUUUUUAUGUAAGAGCUUUUGAGUUGAUUAUUUUUAAUGCUGAUUGCUAAGCAAAUUCUUCAGACUUUCGUAAUUUUGAAGAAUUUGUGAAGUACCAGAAGUAUACGAAAUAUACAGAUUGCUACAGACUGGUCUGCUGUUAAGAGAUUCUGUUUUUGGUGUAUUGGUUGCUUAUUUUGAUGAAACUAUGGAUAGUAUAGGGGGGUAUUAGCCAUGGAAGAUUGAAAAUACAGUAACCCAACAUCAGCAUAGGUAGAAUUUAAGUUUGCUACAGUACCUAAGUAAGUGGUGGUUUGCUUUCUUAUACUAAUGUUAUCACGAGUUUCUGUUUAAGUUUCGUGUUGUGAAGUUUUCAAGUUUUGGGUGAAGUUCUUAUGGACAAAGAGAUAAAGAGUGGCAAGAGAUCAAGAUUGGGGAUGCCCAAGGCACCCCAAGAUAUUAAAGUAUGUCGUAAAAUCCUAAGCUUGGGGAUGCCCCUGGAAGGCAUCCCCUCUCUCAUCUUCAAUCCAUCGGAAACGUUACUUGGGGCUAUAUUUUUAUUCACCACAUGUUAUGUGUUUUUGCUUGGAGCGUCUUGUAUUGUAGGAGUCUUUUUUUUGUUUCACAAUCAUCCUUGAUUCACACCUAGAGAGAGAGACAUGCACUCACCGUGAUUUUGUCGAGCUUCACUUAUAUCUUUUGGUAGACAAUUCAGCUCACAUGUGCUUCACUUAUAUCUUUUGAGCUAGAUACUUUUGCUCUAUGUGCUUCACUUAUAUAUUUUAGAGCACAACGGUGCGUGGCUUGGUAGUUGAUCUAUGCUUUGAAAGUAGUCUCAAAAGGAGUAGUUAUCCAAAGGGAUACGAAAACUUCCACCUUCAUGUGCAUUGAAUAGUUAGAGAAGUUUGAUUCAUCUCAAUUCGUUUUGAGUUGUGGUUUUGGUGAUAUUCAAGUUAUGCUAGUAAGGUGUUAUGGAUCUAGAAAUGCUUGUGUUGAAGUUAGUGAUUCCCGUAACAUGCACGUAUGGUGAACCGCUAUGUGAUGAAGUCUGAGCAUGAUUAGUCUUUUGAUUGUCAUCCUUUGUGUGGCGGUCGGGAUCACGCGAUGGUUUAUACGUACCAACCCUUCCCCUAGGAGUAUGCGUUGAAUGCUUUGUUUCGAUUACUAAUAAAACUUUUGCAACAAGUAUAUGAGUUCUUCAUGACUAAUGUUGAGUCCAUGGUUUAUAUGCACUUUCACCUUCCACCAUCACUAUCUUCUUAGUGUCGUGCAACUUUCGUCGGUGCACAAAACCCACCAUUAGCCUCCCUCAAAACAGCCACCAUACCUACCUACUAUGGCUUUUUCAAUGUCAUUCUGAGAUAUAUUGCCAUGCAACUACCACCAUGACAUGUGCCACCACGUCUACAUUUCCAUUGCAUGAUCGUAAGAUAGUUAGCAUGAUGUUUCCAUUAAUGUCUAUGCCAUGCUAGAUCAUUGUCACGGUAAACUACCGAAGGCAUUCCAUAUAGAGUCAUCGUUGUUCUAAGUUUUGAGUUGAAAGUGUGAUGAUCAUCAUUGAUGGAGCAUUGUCCCAUGUGAGGAAAUAAAAGAGGCCAAAGAUGCCCACCAAAAAAAACAGGCCAAAGAGCCCACCAUUAAAAAAAUGAGAGAAAAAGAGAGAAGGGACAAUGCUACCACCUUUCCACACUUGUGCAUAUUAAGCACCAUGAUCUUCAUGAUUGAGAGUCUCUCGUUUUGUCACCACCAUAUAGCUAGUGGGAAAUUUUCAUUAUAUAACUUGGCUUGUAUAUUCCAAUGAUAGGCUUCCUCAAAAUUUCCUUAGGUCUUCGUGAGCUAGCAUGUCGGAUGCACACCCACUAGUUUUCUAUAAGAGCUUUCACAUACUAUUAGCUCUAGUGCAUCAUUUGUAUGGCAAUCCCUACUCAUUCACAUUGAUGUCUAUUGAUGAUCAUCUCCGCAGCUCAUUGAUAUGCCUAGUUAAUGUGAUCAUCUUCUCCUUAUUUUUGUCUUGCAACCUCCACCACACUCCACACCACUUAUAGUGCUAAAACCAUGGCUCACGCUCAUGUAUUGCGUGAGAGUUGAAAAGGUUUGAGAAAGUAAAGGUGUGAAACAAUUACUUGGCCAAUACCAGGGUUGUGCAUGAUUUAAAUUUGUUGUGCAAUGAUGAUAGAGCAUAGCCAGACUAUAUGCUUUUGUAGGGAUAACUUUCUUUUGGCCUUGUUAUUUUGAAAGUUCAUGAUUACCUUGCUAGUUUGCUUGAAUUAUUAUUGUUUCCACGUCAAUAGCAAACUAUUGUUUUGAAUCUAAUGGAUCUGAACAUUCACGUCACAUAAGAGGAGUUACAAAGGACAUGUAUGCUAGGUAGCAUGAAAGCAUCAAAAAUUCAUUCUUUAUCACUUCCCUACUCGAGGACGAGCAGGAGUUAAGCUUGGGGAUGCUUGAUACGUCUCAAACGUAUCUGUAAUUUUUUAUGGUUUCAUGUUGUUAUCUUGUCAUCUUUGGAUGUUUUAUGUACCUUUUAUAUCUUUUUUGGGACUAACUUAUUAAUUCAGUGCCAAGUGCCAGUUCCUGUUUUUUUGUGUUUUUGGCUCUUUUCAGAUCUGAUUUUGGAAUGGAGUCCAAACAUAAUAAAAUCCCCGAAAUAAUUUUUUCCCGAAUGGAAGAAUAUCAGGGGGCUUGAGGGCCAAGCCAGGAGGGCUACACGGGGGCCACAAGCCCCCUAUCCUCCACCAGGGGGCGGCCAGCAGGCUUGUGGCCUCCCUGGCACCCCCCCUGACCUAGCUCCUUUGCCUAUAUAUUCCCUAAAAUAUAGAAAAAAUCAAGGGAUCCACGAAAAUACUUUUCCGCCGCCGCAAGCUUCCGUUUCUGCGAGAUCUCAUCUGGAGACCCUUCCCGGCGCCCUGCCGGAGGGGACUUUGGAGUUGGAGGGCUUCUUCAUCAUCAUCAUCGCCCCUCCAAUGACUCGUGAGUAGUUCACUUCAGACCUACGGGUCCGUAGUUAGUAGCUAGAUGGCUUCUUCUCUCUCUUGGAUCUUCAAUACAAAGUUCUCCAUGAUCUUCAUGGAGAUCUAUCCGAUGUAAUCCUCUUUGGCGGUGUUUUUGUCGAGAUGUGAUGAAUUGUGGAUUUGUGAUCAGAUUAUCUAUGAUAUAUAUUUGAGUAUUUGCUGAUUUCUUAUUUGCAUGAUUUGAUAUCCUUGUAAGUCUCUCCGAGUCUUGGGUUUUGUCUGGCCAACUAGAUCUAUGAUUCUUGCAAUGGGAGAAGUGCUUGGUUUUGGGUUCUUACCGUGUGGUGACCUUUCCCAGUGACAGUAGGGGCAGCAAGGCACACAUCGUGUAGUUUCCAUCAAGGGUAAAAAGGUGGGCUUUGUCGUAGAUAUGAGAUUGUCCAUCUACAUCAUGUCAUCUUGCUUAAGGCAUUACUCUGUUCUUUUGGACUUAAUACACUAGAUGCAUGCUGGAUAGCGGUCGACGUGUGGAGUAAUAGUAGUACAUGCAUAAAGUAUCGGUCUACUUGUUUUGGACGUGAUGCAUAUAGAUAUAAUAAUUGCCAUAGAUGACGUCACGACUUUGCGCGGUUCUAUCAAUUGCUCGACAGUAAUUUGUUCACCCACCGUCUACUUGCUUUCAUGAGAGCAGCCACUAGUAAACACUACGGCCCCCGGGUCUAUUCACAUCUAUCGUUUCCACUUUCGCUUUCACUUUGCUUUGUUACUUUGUUGCUUUCAUUUCUCACUUGGCAAACAAUCUAUAAGGGAUUGAAAACCCCUUCAUAGCGUUGGGAGCAAGCUUUUGUGUUUGUGCAGGCACUUGUGAUACUCCUUCACUGGAUCGAUACCUUGUUUCUCAAACUGAGGGAAAUACUUACCACCGCUGUGCUACAUCACCCUUUCCGCUUCGAGGGAACACCAACGCAAGGCUCCAAGGCCACGAGGGAAAUCCUUUGCAUAUUUGCCUAGGAAGUCCCUUAAGGCGUAGCCGUAGCAGAAGGAUUCCUGGUGCCGUAGCACGUUUCUGGCGCCGUUGCAAGGUCUUUUCUUACAAUAGCACCCAUCACUCGAUAUCAAUGCAAGGGGAUGGGAUUUCCAUGGAAUGGAUGCACUAGAGCUAUAAGUGUAUGAAAGCUCAGAUGAAACUAAGUGGGUGUGCAUCCAACUUGCUUGCUCAUGAAGAACUUGGGCAUGUGAGGAAGCCCGUCAUCGGAAUAUGCAAGUCAGGUUCUAUAAUGAAAAAUUCCAACUCGCAUAUGAAAAGGAUAACCGAGGAGACUCUCUCUAUGAAGAACAUGGUGCUACUGAAGCACAAGUGUGGAAAAAAUAUAGUAACCUUGCCCCUUCGCCCUUUUCUCUCAUUUUUUUCAUGUUGGUCUUUUCUUUUGCUUUUUUCCUUUUAUGCCUCCCCUGUUUUUCUUUUUUUCUAUUUUCAUCUGGAUUUUCAUCCUGACUUGUGGGGAAUCAUAGUCUCCAUCCUCCUUUCCUCACUCGGUCAAUGCUCUAAUAAUGAUGAUCAUCACACUUUUAUGUACUAAAAACUCAAUAUUACAACUAUACAAGAUGACUCUAUAUGAACGCCUCUUUCAGUGUACCAGAAUGUGCAACGACCUAGCAUAACAUGUAAAUAAUGAUGAAUGGUGGCUUUGCCAGAAAUACUAUGCCAUCUCUAUAUGAUCAUGCAAAUUAAUAUGUUGAUGAACAAACAAGUCAUGUGAGAGAAUGGUGGAAGUUGCAUGGCAAUAUAUCUUGGGAUGGCUACGAAUAUGCCAUAAUAGGUAGGUAUGGUGAAUGUUUUGAGGAAUAUAUAAAUAUGCUUAUGUGUGAUAGAGCAUACGAUAUCACGAGGUUUGGAUGCAUCGGCGAAGGUUGCAACGACUCUCGAGGUGAGAAUGGGCAAUCCACGGUACCGAAGAGGCUAGCAAACUGAGGAAAGGAGAGAGUGAGUAUGUCCAUGGUUUCACAUUGGUCAUAAAGAAACAAUAUACUUAUUAUAAAGCCUUAUUAUCUCUAACAAACAAAAGUACUAUCACAUGCCCCUAGGGAGGAGGUUGGUAGUACUUAACCAUUGCGUGCCCCCGAUUCAUACAACACGAUAGGAUUCCAUGACCAAUAUUGAGAUGAGAAGUAAAUAGAAAGCUUUAAUACCAAUAUUCCUACUAACCAAUGAUCAUGAACCCAUGUUCUUUCAUAUUACUACAUCAAUAUAGUCAAACCACAUGUCUCUUAUUAGGUGAACUACAUGACAGUUUUUAUUAUAUCUUCCUUCAAUAUCUAUCCUUUUGGAGUAGUAUUAUAACAUGUGCACAUUACCAAUACUAUUUAUUAGACUCUCAAAAAUAUUUAAGUGAAGCAUGAGAGUACAACUUUUUCUAGAAAGUAUGAUCACUAUCGUCCUCUAAAAAGAUAUAAGUGAAGCACUAGAGGAACUACCUAGCUCAAAAGAUGUAAGUGAAGCACAUAUAGUAUUCUAACAAAUUGUGAUGAACAUGUGUCUCUCUCAAAAAUUUGUGUACAGAAAAAACAAUGAUUGUGGUGAAGUAAAACAAAGCCAAACUAUAAUAAACAACGCUCCACGCAAAACUUAUAUCAUGUGAUGAAUAAAAAUAUUGCUCCAGGUGACAUACCGAUGGAAUGAAGAUGAAAGAGGGGAUGCCAUCUGGGUGUCUCCAUGCUUAGAGUCUUCGGUAUUUCUUGAAUAUUACCGUGGGUGCCUUGGACAUAUCCAAGCUUAGGGUCUUGCCGCUACUUAUUCCUUCAUCCAUCAUUAUCUCACCCAAAACUUGAAAACUUCAGCAUAUAAAACUCAACAAAAACCACGUAAUAUCUGUUUGUAUAAUAGGUAAAUCAUAAACUUUAGGUUUCAUUGUAAAUUGAUUCAUAUUUAAUUAUUGCAUAAGUACUGUAUUCUAACUUCUUGAUGACUUAUAAUCCCCGAUAUAAUGCAUAGCAUCAUCAAAACAAGCAAACUAUGUAGUAUAAAAUAGAGUUUGUCUAAAAUACAAGAGUUUGUAAUGUUCACAACCAAAACCAUACUUUUGUAACUCCAAGAAUUCUAAAAAAUCCGACAACCUUGGCAAUUUGUAUACCUUAAUAAAAAUAAUUCAAAUAAAAUUCUUUGAAAUAAUCCAACAUGCCCAUCAAAAAUGUUAAUCAUUUUUGAAAUAAUAUGUCUUAUUCUACAAAAAUAAUGCAGAUUUAUAAAGUCAUGUUUGGGACUUUGAACUAAGUCAUAAAUGUAUUUGCAUUGGAUUUAUUAAUUCCUAUAAAUAAUUCUAUAGAUCCAAAAAUCCUAAAAUUUGGUAAGUGGCUUUGAAUAUACUCUAAUAGACCAGAUAAAUAUUUAAAAAAAAUUAUAGAAAUGAUUUAUUAUUUUAAAUAAAUCCAAAUACAGUGAAAAAAUUAGGAAAAAAACAAAAGAAAGGGCAAAGGCCCACGUGAGCUUACUUGUUGCAGAAACGGCCCAACACAGGAGCAGUGUCAUCUUCCACCUUUGCUAGAAGGCACGGGACAAGGAGAGCAUGUCGAGCGAUCGUGCCAGCUCCCGCAUCACGCUAUCGAUGCCCCCUUCACCUGGGACGUCGUUAGCCACAUGAGGACAACGCCCUAUGCCUAUCCCCUUGCGAGCGCUCAUUCUUUCCCCUCCUACCUACCUCUCCUCACCCCUCUCCACCUCACCUGAGCACACUGCCUCGCCAUCAUUUGACUCAUGUGUGGCAAACGCCAAUGAGAAACAGAGACACCAUGUCCUCCAGCCCCGCCAUAGAGCAGCGUGUCCCCACGCCGAAGAUCGAGCAGCCGGAUGCCCGGUGUCAUUGACAUCGACUCGUCUUCCUCCUCGGUUGCCAUGGACUGCCGCCAUCCAAUUCAUGCCACAUCGUGCCUCCCUGGACUCGCCAGCAGCACCAGAAGCCCUGCGAUGAGUCGAUCCAUCAUUCCUCCUUUGCCCCGAUUAUUCCGCAUCCCCUAGCUGCCAUCCCCACCAAGGACGAAGGCCACCGCCACUCGGGCUCGUCGUUGAUAGUGCUCCAUUGACCAUUUGGUCAGGUGGGCAUUGUUAGGGAUAUUGCCCUAGCAUAAGCCGGCCAGCCCAGGCCGGCUCACAUUAUGUGGGAAAGGACAUAAGCCGGCCCAUGGAGGGCAAGACCCCACAUGUCUAAACUGAAGACUAGGUGCAAGACUGCCAAGGCCUUGGGCCGCCUUGCAUGUAAGCCAACUUAGGAGAUGGUGAACCAAGGCUGGCUCAGGAAGUCAUGACCGAAGUCGUCUUAUGAGAUGCCGACUUAGUACUUCGCUCCGAUAAGGAGAAGAGGAUGGGUGCCAACUUAUAUAAGAGCAAGCCCUGGCUCAUCCAAGGUUAUAGACCCAAGUUAGAGUUCUCGAGAUAUAGGUAGUGAAGGCAACCCUUGUAAUUGAGAUCCUAACAUCAAUAAGCAAACAUAGAGCAGGAGUAGACUUUUACCUCACUAGAGGUGCCAAACCUGGGUAAAUCAUCUCUCUCGUUGCCAUCAACUCCAUCCAAGGCUUCGCCUAGCCUGUAUGGCCUCACAACUAAGUUCUCUCAAGAGGACACUUGUCGUGACAACCCCACGACAUUUGGCACCUACCGUGGAGCAUGCGCGCAAGGGAGUCAUCACCUUGGAGGGAGCUCUUCUUGGACGGAGCGAUUGGUCACCGGUCGGCUUAAGAAAAGCCAACACAGGAGGUUCUACUUCGUCGAUGACGAAGGCUAGGGACCAGAAGCCGGUUAUCUUAAUUCAAGUUGUCGGAUCCCAUUUGGGAAGGUCGACAUCUUCGUUGGCGUUUUGCUGGAUCCAAGGAGGAUCCGGAUCCAAGCGGUGACUCCGUGACACGAGGCAUCACGACCGUCCAAUCUGACAGUGAAUCAUCUAUCGGCGACAACAAUUAUACCAACACCGAAUCCAUCCUUCCCCUAUUUGAGGAUAAGCUUGGAUGGUACUUUGAUAAGGAAGGCUACGUGGUCUCCGAAGGGUCACCACAUCACGUUGCGUUCUACAUGGCAGGAAACCAGCAGAACACAACUGCUUGAGGACCCAAUAUGACUGAGGGCAAUCAUCGGGCCAAAACCCGCCAUCCAACUCCGGUGUUGGCGCUAGAAGCCUGGAAGCUCAAGGGGUCACAAAAGCUCUCACGACGCUCAACAACCUCCUCAUGCAACUAAUCACAACUAAAAACACUGCAACGCGUGUUGCCAAAAUCGAGAAGUGUCGUGAACAGCUUACGAAGGCUCAGUACAAUAUCACAACCGAAACCACGCGCCUUGCGGAGGUCUAGAAGGCCGUUCUUGAGGAAAGCUGGUGACAAGAGGAACAAGAGGUUCACCUCAACUUUCAUCAUGAUGCAAUUCCUACUGUCAAACAGUGGAGGCAGCAGAGCUGUUCCUAGGCUCCGGGAGGGGUAAUAGAACCUCAUAACUUGUUCCAAACACUACCACUUGUCCAACCUACAGUAAUUGCUAAUCCAAGGGCCGACUUAGGAGUAGUCGGGGUCGGCGUGCCGCCAAUCAUAACUCGUCACGAGGCGCAUCAAGAGAAGCCCCUUCAAAUCCAUCAACAGAUACAUAAGCUAACUAAGUGUUUCCAUACUCCCCCUGGUCACUUCUCCAAAUCGGUCGACAACCUAUAUACAACCACGUAGAAUGAUCCCAAUCAUAGGUAACACUCAGUUCGAGAUCUAAGCAAGGAAAGGAAUUCAACUAUUGCAGAUCGUAGUCACGUAGCACGCAAACUACUCCAAUAGUCCUAAUAGACUACACUAAACAAUGUUCAACACCUAGAGAGUCUAGAAUUAACAUGGGGAGUCACACGUUCCAGCAAGGUCAAGCACCACGCAAUGCCACCGGGAGCGACAAUUACAGCAGCAACAGCACUGCCAAACAGCCUCAGAAGCGCAUGUCAUAGUCAACAAUGCAUGUGCAGCUCGUGCGGCCUCUACUGAUAAUGUAAGGGGUAUCAUACUCGUCAAGAAGCAAGCAAUGCAAGAGUCCCACCCACCACUAACAUCCCAGUUUCUAUCGCCCUGGCUCCGGCUUCGUCAGUAGAUCCAUUGGUACAUAGUGCAUUGCGCCAACCUUAAGGAACAAAUGCAUUCCCGCGGACUUCAAAGGGCACACAAAGUACCUAAUUAUACUGCUGAUAUGGAGCCUGCAGAAUGGAUUUAGAGCUACAAGCUAGCCAUGCAUAUGAUGGAAGUGGACGAUGGAGUGUGUGCCAGGUAUCUCACAAUGAUGCUCGAAGGACGUGCCCUUACAUGGUUGAAGAAUCUACCCCCAAAUCCGAUCAACACGAGGCAAGAGUUGAAGGAGCGUUUCGUCAAGAACUUUCAGGGGAAUUGUAUACUCUCAACCAAAAUUGUUAACCUCGGGCAGUGUGUCCAAAAGGAGGGCGAAUCAGCUCAUCAUUAUGCAUGUCAUGUCGCGGAAAUCAUAUAGUCCUCUCAAAGUAUCACUCCACAAACUACAAUACUCGUCUUGGAGAAAAAUUGCAGGUUUGAGCUCGUGAUCCAUAAGCUCGGAUGCAUUAAGCUAUUGUUACUAACAUGAGUGAGCUCAUGAAUGCGAUGACCAAGUAUGUUGAGUCUAACAAAACCAACGAUCUAGAUUCAGAUGAUGACAAUUCUGGCAAGGGAAAGAAGAAUGGUAGAAAGGGUCACCAAAACAACAUUUUUUUAACGAUAACAAGUGAUCUGUUAUAUUCAUUGUAAAGAAGAAGAUGGUACAAGGACCCAAACUUCUUGGUUUAUUAAACGAAAACCAGGCGAAAACAUGCACAGGGCCUAGCUAGACUAGACCUAAAGCACACAAAACAUACAACACGCCAGAAGGCCACACUCCACAACACACCCGGCCGAGCACUCGAGCGCCUGCGCUGCUACUAGAGUACACACCAAAAACCGUUGCAUUAGUCCGAGCUGCCACAAGCACAUCCAAGAAGCUCACGGCAUCAAAGAGGAACGCUAUGUCUGAUAGAGCAGAAAUAUGCCACUUCAACCUUGUGAUAUUAGCACACAUAGCUUGCCUAGCGCAGCUUGCAUGUGACAAAUGCUUCUGCUGCUCACACGGAGAUGUCAUGCAAGCCGUCAUCAACCACCUUCACGAUCCCGGAGUCCCUCUGACCGAGUCAAACUCCAAAACGAUGCCCCAAGAGGAAAUGCGACGCCAGGCCAAAACCCAAGUGACUUCAUCGUCCGAUCGAGGAUUCCAGAUCUGGGGUUUCCCCCGGAGCAAGAUGGGAAGGAGAGUGAAUGUUGUAACAUCGAUGCCUCAACUAGGGAACGGUGCCUGUAGGCGCCGCCAUCGACAACUCCGAACAUUGCCAGAGUACGGCUUUCGCCGGCAACACCACCCACCAAAACCCAAGACCCGGUCAGAUCAUCCACCCUACCACCUCCAUGACGCACCAGCACAGUGCCACACCUUAACCCUGCACAUCGGCAACAUGCAACAGGGGCCCUCACCGGCCACCGCAGCCCCGCAGAAGCCAAGCUUGGCCCUGCCAGCGCAAAUCUGGCACAUCCCGCGAGCUCCCGCCAUGACCGUUGCACCCCAAGGAAGCCGGACGACCACCCAGCAGAUCGGCCCUAGAGCCACCCUAUAGAACAAGAUUGCGUGCCUCCGCCCAGUCGUGUGCCCCUGCAUCGCCGCAUUGUCUGCACACCGGGACCCAGAUCUGGUCUGGCCCACGCCUCGCCGCCACGGCCCAUGCCACUCCAGUCGCGCUCCACGCCCUCGCCACGCCCACGCCUUGCCCUUGCCACGCGCUCGCCGCGCACUCCUUGCCCAUGUCAUGCGCUCGCCCGCCCUCGUCGGUGCACCAGUGUCGCGCACUCGCUGCCCUCGUCGGCCCGUCAGCGUCGCGCGCUCACCGCGCACGCGACGACCCAUCCGCGUCCCGCGCUUGCCGUGCCCACGCCAUGCGCCGCAACAACGAAAAAUAUAAAAAAUGGAGGGGCCCCGCUGCCACCGUCACCAGAGCCGGCGCGGGCUUUGUUGGCCGCUCCUCGGGUGACGGCGAGCCAUGGGGGAGGUGGGAGGGGGCUGGAGUAGCUAGAUCUGGGAUUUCCCCCCUUGGUCGCAAAAACAACAAUGGGAAUCACAAAAACGGUAACAAACGCAAAAAUGGUGAAGGAAGCCCAGCCUUGGUCGCCAAUGCCAAUGCAGGUUACAAGAACUAAUGCCAGAAUAACACCUAUAAUUCUCAGACGCAGUCUCAAGGAUUCCACCCUACAAAUUAUGAGCAUGCAUUGAAGGCGCCAUGUCCCAAGCACAUCAGGCCAAAUUCCAAGUCAACCCACUUUUGGGAAGAUUGUUAUGUCAUGCAGGAAUUCAAGAACAUGGUUUUCUAAGGUCAUAAUAACGACGCCCCCCCCCCCGGGGGGGGGGGGUUGACCCAGAUAACCCAAGUGAUAACAUGGUGGCUGGGAAUUAGGGGCAUAUAAACCAUAGAGCUGGUCUAGGACAGCAGAACAACAAUGUAUCUGCUAGUUUCCAGAGUAACCCCAAGCAAUUAAAUACCAAACAGUAUCACGUCUUCACCACGUCGACUAGUAAGUGCGACCACAAGCUGUAGCGCCGCGUCAUCAACACGACUGUAUCCUCUGUCCCUCAACGGUUGCAUUGGUGUGAGCAACUAUGACUUGGAAUAGGGCAGACCAUCCCCCGUACAUGGAGAACCCAGGAGCUUUUGCAUUGGUCGUAGCUCCAUAAUUGGGAGGUUAUACAUUGACCAAAGUACUAAUGGAUGGCGAAAGCAGUAUUAACAUACUGUAUUACGACACUUUUCAGCGGAUGACUCUCCUGGACUCUCAGCUAUAACCUUCCUCUGCAAUGUUUCAUGGAAUAGUCCUAGAAAGUUUGCUCUGCCGGUUGACAAGACCUAUUUGGAAGUGGUUUUUGACACUGAGAAAAAAUUCAGGUCUGAAAUCUUGGCCUUUGAGGUAGUCAAAUUCCAGAACCCAUAUAAUGCCCUCUUCGGCAGGCCGGCUUAUGCUCGGUUUAUGGCUCGCCCCUGUUACAUUUACCUCAAACUCAAGAUGUCUGGUCCAAGGGAAACCAUUACUGUGGAAGACUACCGCGCCCAUGGCCGUCUCCAGGAAUUCAGGGCCCCGCUGUAAAAUUUGGCAUGAGGACCAAAAGUCUGCAAAAAUGUGUAUAACUAAUAUAAUUAUACAUAUUUUUCACUUAAUUAUAUAGCUUAAAAUAUGUGUUAUUUUGUAGACAUAUACUUCCUUCCCAUGGAAGUACUUGUCGAAGCAAUGGAUGUAUCUAGACGUAUUUUAGUUCUACAUCCAUUUUUAUUAAUUUUUAUGAUAAAUAUAUUUGGACGAAGGGGCUAUCAUAUAGUAAUGCCAAAGAGUAAACUAUGUUCUAGAGAGGCAUCAAUUAUCUAGUAUUUCUGAAACGAGAAUCUUCAAAUCCAUCGAGUCUAUUCUCGCAAAAGAAAAAUCCACUGAAUCUUUCUUGUUAUAAAAUAUGCUAAUAGUGUAGUAGAAGAGCACACAACGAAGAAUUGAUACUAGAAUUAAAAAGUAGAUUACAUGUAGUGUGUUAAUACUACUAAUUUGGAUCUAAAUUAGGUACAUACCUAAUCGAGUAGCAUAGCACUACUCUACUACUAGGGAUUGCAUUCCAUACGAUAUGAAAACAUCAAAAGAACCAGAAUUGUAUCAGAAAGUGAUAACCCUAACUAGUUUUUUGUCCGCCUAUUUUCUUUCCGGGCUUAUGGCCUAUGAAUUAGUACCUUAGAAUAUACUUGCAGAUGACUAGAUGAGACUCUUGUAGCAGGAAAAAGGUAUCGACGGUCAGCCGUAUAGCACACGUGUUGUGGCCAUCAGCCAUUUAUCGGUGACGGCUCGCUAGCAAAGUCAAUUUUUUGGAGAGAGAGAUCUAUUUGAUCUUGUACAUUCGGUUGGGGGGUUGUUUGCUGUGAUUGGUGGAACGAUGAUACUGACUAUGGGACUCACCUGUAAAAAGGCUAUGUGCCUCACCCAUAACGAGGUUCCACUUUUGGUGCAUCCGUCUGCACUUUUCUUGCGAUAGGAUCGGGCGAGCCAGCUAAAAAACCAGCCAUCCAGCACAUGAAAGAGAUCAUAUCAUGGUUUUUCUCUCCGAUCGGGGCCCUACGAUUUUGGGGCCCUGUGCGCGGCCUGAGAGCGCCAUCACAUGGGAACGUGAGAAAGGUAACACCAUAUGCGGAAACAGCUGCUGCUGCACAAUAAUUAAAACUUUAUACUUCACAAGUCGAUCGAGAGGACAUGACUUCCUUGAAGAAGCCCCCCAUAGAUUCUCAGCUGAAAUUCGAGUCUGCUCAGGACACUAAGCAAGUUGACUUCCCUGGAUGAUUCUUCCAAGACGUUCACCAUUGGGGCGUGAUAGAGUUGUAUUUUCUAUAUAUACGUGUACGUGUUGUAUACCCCCUUGUAUUCCUUGUUGUAUAAGUUGAUCUAAUCAAUAUAAAGAGAUGUCAGCCAGUUGGGGCUAACCACAGUAAAUAUUUCCUUUUGACUUGGUAUCAGAGCGGGUCGAUCCUACCUAGGGUUUCGCUCACGCGUUUUCGCCGCCGCCGUCUCUUUUCACCGUUGCCGCCGCCUACGCGCCGCCGCUGCAGCACUUCGACGCGAUGGGCUCCACUGCCGCAUUGCAGCUUGCCCUCUCCACUUCGAGCACCUCGUCCCAGUCCACCGCACCAUCCAUCCCCGCCGGCGCUAUCAUCUCCGCGCCUACCGGCCAGAACCUCAACACCAUCACGGUGCGUCUAGAUCGCACCAAUUAUCUUCUCUGGAAGAUACAGGUCGUCCCCAACAUCACCGGCCAAGGCUGGUACGGCUUCCUCGACGGCUCCUACGGAGCCCCUCCGGCCACUAUCACCGAAGGAGACGGUGCCAAGGCUGUGACCAACCCCAAUCCGGAGUACGCAUUAUGGUUCUACACGGAUCAGCGUGUCCUCAGCAUCCUCAUCGGCUCCAUGACGGAGGAGAUCCUCUGCCAUGUCAUCGGCCGUACCACCGCGUCCUCUGUGUGGACGUGCCUCGAGUCCAUGUUCUUGGCACAGAACAGGGACGGGGUGCGUCAGAUGCAGCGUCAACUCUCGAAGCUGAAGAAAAACGACCUCACCGUCGCCGCCUACUUUCACAAGAUGAAGGAUUUCGCGGACGAUAUGGCCCAGGCGGGGUCGCCUCUCUCCGAUCCUGAGGUGAUCGACUACAUCGUCGUCGGUCUCGGGCCUUAGUACGAGUCCCUCCAGCACUCGCUCACGGUGUUGGCAGCCGUCUGCGCUGACAACCUCAGCAUGUCGGACUUCUACUCCAUGCUCCUCUCGUGCGAAUUCCUCAAGGAGCAGAACGCCUUCGCCACCGAGUUCUCCACCUCCGCUAAUGCCGUGGCGCGGCAAGGCGAUGGCCGUGGAGGGGGCGCAUCUUCGCCGACACCACCAACGACGGUUGCGGCGGGGGUCGUCCUACUGGCUCGCAAGGAGGCGACCAGCAGGCCUCCCGCGGCAACAACCGCCCCAACCAGGGGGAUGGUGGUGGUGGCAACUACGGAGGAGGAAAAGGCAACGGCGGUGGCAGGCGCAACAACCGUGCGAGUGGCCCCGCUAUCAAGUUUGCCGGUUCUGGGGGCAUGAGGCUCUCCAGUGCAAACAACGCUACAACCACGCAUUUCAGUAUGAUGAAAAUCGUGCUGGCAACUCUGCCUCUCUCCAACCUGCCCCAGUCAACCUUGGCUCUUCGACACCGGCGCCACGGAUCAUCUCACAAACGACAUGAGCCGGUUGAACAACCAGGAGCGCUGCAACGACAUAGUGUUGCCACCACCACCAAGUGCAAGUCGCCAACGGUGUAGGUCUGUCUAAUACGCAUGUUGGCCACUCUCGUUUACCUGGUUCCUCCGCCCCCAUUAAACUCAAAAAUAUUCUUCUUGUUCCUGAGCUUAGCACUAAUUUGUUCUCCGUUUAUCGUCUUGUUUCUGACAAUAAAAUCUUUGUUGAAUUUCAUAAAUUCUUUUUCUAUGUCAAGGACAAGUUCACAAAGAAAAUUCUUCUUCGCGGAAGGAGUCGUGGCGGCCUCUACCCUCUUCCAUUCAGUCACACCGUCACCUCUGGAUGUCGUGCGUCUUCUGGCGUUAGGAUCACUACUGAGCAGUGGCAUCGGCAUCUUGAUCAUCCUUCAAAUAAAGUAGUUCAUACCAUUGUUAGCUCCAAUAAAUUGUUGUGCUCUCCAAACAAUGAUUCCUCUGUGUGUGAUGCUUGUCAGCGUGAUAAGAGUCACCGGUUACCAUAUAAUUAUUCUAUUCGUGUUUCUACAUCACCCCUUGAGCUUAUUCAUACUGAUGUUUGGGGGCCUGCUUUGCCAUCUUCCGGGGGUUUUAAGUACUAUGUCAGCUUCAUUGAUGACUACAGUCGUUACUGCUGGAUAUACUUGAUCAAGCAUAAAUCUGAUGUUGAGAGCAUUUUCUACAUUUUUGAAAACCAUGUUGAGCGUCUCUUGAAUGCUAAGGUUCGUUCUAUUCAGUCAGACUAGGGGGGGUGAGUAUCACCGUCUUCAUGCUUACUUUCAGCGCACCCGCAUUGCUCAUCGUGUGUCUUGUCCACAUACCUCCCAACAAAAUGGUAUAGCUUAACACAAGCACCGUCAUAUCGUUGAGACGGGUCUAGCCCUCCUCGCACACUCCUCCCUGCCUCUUCGGUUUUGGGACGAGGCGCUCCUUACUACUUGCUAUCUCAUCAAUAGAAUGCCUACGCCUGUUAUCAACAAUGCUAUACCCGUGUUUCGCCUCCUCAACAUGCUUCCUGAGUAUUCUUUUCUCCGCACUUUUGGUUGUGCGUGUUGGCCUAGUUUACGUAAGUACAAUUCACCUAAACUCGAGUUCCUCUCUAGGAUGUGUGUGUUUCUUGGUUAUAGUCCCAUGCAUAAAGGCUACAAGUGCCUUGAUCGCUCCAGUGGUUCUAUUUACAUCUCCCGUGACGUCGUUUUCGACGAGACGGUGUUUCCCUAUGCCACUCCCGGUGCCACUGUUGAUGUAUCUCAACUCCUUUCCGUGUUGUUUCUGUCAGAUGAGCCAGUUACUCAGAGUACCCACACGCGUAAUUAUGACAUUACAUUGUUACCAGCUAAUGCACCUCGUGUUGUUGUUAGUUCUCCUGUGCAGGUCCCGGCGCUGUCAACUUUGCCGCUCGACAUCCCUGCUCCAUCAUCGGCAUCGCCUCUGCAUGUCUUGGGCGGCACGCCUGGGCCUGGCUCUCCUCUGCAUUCCUCGGGCGGCAAACCAGGGGCUUGCUUGCACGGAGGCACGCAGGCCUCUCCCGGAUUGGCACCGCUUUUGCAUGCUUCGGCUGACACGCCUCGGCCCGACUCGCAUGCAGGCUCGCCCGGGUUGGCCUCUCGUGCCGCUUCUGGUGCCGACCCCACCCAGGCCGGUGCGUCGGUCCCGGUCGUCGACCAUGGCCUGCGGUCUCGCUCUCCGUCGCCAGCGCUGUCAUCUGCCUCACCGGCUCCUGACGGGGCUUCUUCGCCUGGCCCGUCUCCGGCCUGUGACGAGUCCGCUUCAUCGCCCUCGUCGAUGUCCUCUACACCACCAGCAUUGCCGCCUCCAGUGCCUCCUGCUGCUAAACCGGCACGGGUCGUCGUCACGCGAUGGCGCAAUAAUAUCACUCGUCCCAAGGUGUAUCGGGAUGCAUGGUUCGAUAUGAUCCCUAUCAUCGUCGGGCGUUUAUGGUGGAGCUUGCCUCUCAUCGUACUGCUCUCUCUGAGCCAGCUUGGCGUGCUUCUUUGGAGGCUGAGUUCGAGGCACUUCAGGCUAACAAAACGUGGAUUUUGGUACCCCAUCCACCUCGCACUAACAUUGUUGGUAGCAAAUGGAUUUUCAAAAUGAAGUUUCGUCCCGAUAGUUUUGUCGAUAAAUACAAGGCGAGGCUUGUGGCUCGAGGCUUCACACAGCAGUACGGUAUAGAUUAUCAUGAUACUUUCAGUCCUGUGGUUAAACCAGUCACCGUUCGCCUGGUGCUUUCUCUUGCUGUCUCUCGUGGUUGGUGUCUUCGUCAGAUUGAUGUGAGUAAUGCCUUCCUUCAUGGUUUUCUGUCUGAGGAAGUGUAUAUGCAGCAGCCCCCCGGUUUUGAGGAUUCACGGUACCCUCGACAUGUCUGCAAGCUACAGCGUGCUCUUUGUGGUCUCAAAGAGUCGCCUCGUGCCUGGUAUGCUCGUUUGAGUGACAAGCUUCAUCAGCUCGGUUUUGUUGCUAGCAAGGACGAUUUCUCUCUGUUCAUCUUUGAUCAUCAUGGGAUGGUUAUAUAUAUGCUUUUCUAUGUUGACAACAUUGUUUUGGCUGGGUCCUCUUCAUCUGCCAUUCAGAAACUGGUUACCACUCUUUUUAGUUCUUUUCCUAUCAAGGACCUUGGGUGCUUGGAGUAUUUUCAUGGAAUUGAGGCCACUUAUAAUUUUGAGGGUCUGCUCUUGUCACAGCACAAAUAUGCUCUUGAUCUCUUGCACCGGGCCAACAUGGAGCAAUGUCGGUCUAUUACUACUCCCAUGUCUACUUCCGACAAACUGUCUCGAGAUCAAGGCCAACUGUUGAGCUUCGAGGAUACUUUCAAGUACAGGAGUCUUGUUGGGGGUAUCCAGUACCUAACUCUGACACGUCCUGACUUGUCCUUUUUUGUUAACAAGGUGUGCCAAUACUUGUCGCAGCCUACUACCACUCACUAUGAGGCAGUGAAGUGAAUUUUUUGCUAUAUCCGAGGUACUGUGUCUACUGGCUUGCGUUUUCGGCGCUCCGCUUCUAUGGGACUGAGUAUUUUCACUCAUGCCGAUUGGGCGGGCUGUCCUGAUGAUCGUCGGUCUAUGAGCGGGUUUUGCCAUUUUUCUUGGCUCCAACCUCGUCUCUUGGAGUUCUCGCAAGCAACCCACAGUUUCUCGUUCUAGUACUGAGGCAGAAUACAAGGCUUUGGCCAAUGGCACCGCUGAGGCUAUAUGGAUACAGUCGGUGUUGAAGGAGCUUGGUGUGUUUCUUUCUUGACCUCCGGUGUUGUGGUGUGACAAUGUUGGGGCCACAUACUUAUCUGCCAAUCCAGUUUUUCAUGCCCGCACUAAGCAUAUCGAGGUUGAUUUUCACUUUGUGCGUGAGCGGGUUGCUUUGGGUUCUCUUGAUGUUCGGUUCAACUCCACUGGCGAUCAAUUGGCUGACGUAUUCACGGAGCCUACUUCUCAGCUCACACUUCGUCGUUUUAGUUCCAAUCUCAACCUUGUUCACGACAGUUUAGAUUGAGGUGGCAUGUUAGAGUUGUAUUUUCUAUAUAUACGUGUACGUGUUGUAUACCCCCUUGUAUUCCUUGUUGUACAAGUUGAUCUAAUCAAUAUAAAGAGAUGCCAGCCGGCUGGGGCUAACCACGACCAAUAAUUCCUUUUGACUGGGCGCAUCUCACUCACAAAUAGGAAAGCGUACUCAUCGAGUUCAUCCAUGAGAAUCAAAACAUCUUCGCAUGUAAAUCUACUGACAUGCCUUGUGUAUCAAGAGAACUCGCUGAGCAUAGUUUAAAUGUUGAUCCCAAUAUGAAACAUACCCUACAAUUUCCCCGUCGCUUCAAUGACAAAAGAUGCAAGGGCAUUAAAGAGGAUGUAGCCUGGAUAUUGGCCGCUGGCCUUAUUGUUGAAGUCUUCCAGCUAGAGUGGUUAGCCAACGCAGUCCUUGUACUGAAGAAGAAUGGGACUUGGAGAAUGUGUGUACAUUACACAGACCUGAACAAGGCUUGUCUCAAGGAUCUGUUCGCCUUGCCAAGCAUUGACUAGAUCAUUGACUCCACUGCCGGUUCUGAGACUCUAUGUUUUCUGGAUGCUUAUUCCGGCUAUCACUAAAUAAGAAUUUUGUUACUCAUCAAUGCCCUUUGGUCUAAAGAGUUCCAACGCAACCUAUCAACAUUGCAUUCAAAACUUCCUCAAGCCACAGACUGGCCACAAUGUGCACGCUUAUGUCGAUGAUGCUGUGGUCAAGUCUCAAAAAAGUGACCAUCAUUAUAGACCUAAAGGAAACGUUCACUAAUAUCCGGGAUAUCAUAUGAAGCUAAAUCCGGCAAAUGUAUUUUUGGGGUCCCUACUGGCAAACAACUUAGUUUCUUUAUUUCUAAGUGUGUCACUGAAGCUAACCCACACAAGAUUCAAGCCAUCUGUAACCUGCGGAAGCCGCCAGCCUUAAGGAAGUCCAGAAGCAGACAUGGUGUGUUGCCCCUCUAAGCCGCUUCAUAAUCCCGCUCGGUGAGAAGGACAUACCCCUCUACCUCCUUUUGAAGAAAACUGAUACUUUUGACUGGACACAUGAGGAUACUGAAGCUUUUGAGGCUCUCAAGGGACAACUCUCCCAAGCAUCUAUCUUAGCAGCUCCUACAUUGAAAGAGCCCGUGCUAUUGUACAUCGCUGCAAACAAUAAAGCAAUAAGUGCAGCAUUAGUGGUGGAGCACAAGGAAGAAGGCAAGGAGUAUCAUGUCCAAUGACAUGUUUAUUAUGUAAGUGAAGUCCUCACCACGUCCAAACAACGUUACCCACACUAGCAGAAGCUGGUGUUUGGUGUGUUCAUGGCUAGUCGGAAGCUUAAACACUACUUUUAGGAGCAUCCUUUUAUAGUCGUUAGCUCCACACCAUUCGUCGAUAUUAUUCAUAACAAGGAUGCAACUAGUUGUAUUGCUAAGUGGGAUAUUAAGCUGGGUGACUACCACAUCAAGUAUGUACCCAGGAGUGCGAUCAAGUGACACGCUCUGGUGGACUUCAUCAACGACUGGACUGAGUAGCAAGCACCUCCAGACGAACCAGAUACCAAGUAUUGGACCUUAGUCUUUGAUGGUUCUCGUCAGUGGGAGGGAUCGGGGGCUGGAGUUGUUCUCACCUGCCCUCAUGAAGAUAAGUUCCGUUAUGUUCUAUAGCUAUUGCUUCCAUGCACCAACAACGUUGCAGAAUAUGAAGCUUUGCUUCAUGCGCUACGUGUUGCCAAGGAGAUGAGUAUGAGCCGCAUCAGAUGUUUGGGUGAUUUUGACCUUGUUUCUCAACAAGUGUCCAAAACUUGGGACUCCAAAGAUCUAGUCAUGGCGGCAUAUCAUUGAGCAGUCACACCUAUUGCCGGCCACUUCAAUGGUUACCAGGUUGACCAUAUUGAUCAACAACUCAAUGAGUCGGUAGAUGCUUUGGCUUGUCUCAGUUCACAGAAUAAGCCAGUACCUUCAAAUGUUUUUUUGGAUGAGCUUCACAGUCCAUCUGUGAGGCUACCUACAUAGGAGGACCUUCCCAAUCUAGAUCCUGGGUCCGAACUAGUGGCGAUGUUCAUGACACUCGAGCAUGGACUGGGCCUUAUCUGGCGUAUAAACUAUGCGAUGAGUUACCUGAUGAUGAGCUUUUCUCUAAAUAGGUACAUCGACGUUCCAAGACAUACACAAUUAUCAAUGGUGAGUUACAUAAACUAAGCACCACAGGCGUUUUCAAUGUUGUGUGUCUCCCAAAGAAGGCCAAUGGAUACUUCAUGAAAUUCACUCACGCGAUUGUGGUCAUCAUGCAAGUUCUCACUCCUUGGUCGCCAAGGCUUUUCAUUAUAGUUUUUUCUGGUUGACCGCACACGUCAAUGUAGAACAAAUUGUUCAUGUGUACAAUGGAUGCCAGCGAUAUGCUAAGCAAGAUCACAUACCGACACAAGCCCCUUGGAUGAUUCCUAUCACUUGGCCGUUUGUAGUCUGCGGGGCUCGACAUGGUUGGUCCUUUCAAGAUGUCUAAGUGCAAGAAGACCAACCUCUUGGUCGCAGUUGACAAAUUCACCAAGUGGGUGGAGGUCGAGCCUGUCCGUAGUUGUGAUGCUGAAAAUGCAAUCAAAAUCUUGACAAAUAUCAUUUUUGGUUUCAGUUAUCCUCACAGCAUAAUCACGAACAAUGGUAGUAACCUAUCUGAGGGAGCUAUGGAAAAAUUCUUUGGUAAGAAACACAUCUGUUUGGAUCUUGCAUCAGUGGCCCAUCCUCAGUCCAAUGGAUAGAUGAGCGUGCGAAUCAGGAGUUCCUCCGAGGUAUCAAGCCCAGACCCACGGUGCCUUUGGAAUGCACACCAUGAUGUUGGGUUGAAGAAAUCCUAGUUGUUUUAUGGUGUAUACGGACCACCCCAACCGGUCGACUGGAUUUACUCCUUUCUUAAUGGUUUAUUGUUGAGAAGUCGUAUUACCAAGUGGUGUAUAUGAUGACUCACCAAGGGUAGCCGCUUACGUUGAGACUAGUAAUGAAGCAUCUUGAAAUGACUCCCUUUAUGCCCUAAAAGAGGCACACGAUCUUGCGGCAUCAAGAUCAGCUAUAUAUCAAGAAGACCUAAAUCACUAUCAUAGUCAUAGAGUUUGUAGUUGUACUUUCCAGGAGGGUGACUUAGUGCUCCAUUUGAUCCAGAAAAAUACUGGAAUGCACAAGCUCUCCCCUCCAUGGGAAGGACCUUUUGUUGUAAGCAAGAAUCUGGGCAACGAGUCUUACUAUCUCAUCGACGUAUGUGAUCACAUAAAAUCACAUACCUCCGAGGAAGAAACACCUCGACCGUGGAACAUAGCUUUGCUACAUCCUUAUUAUACAUAGUUUGCUUUUUAUUAAAAAAUUCAAACAGUUGUAUUUUGAAAGACCUAUUAUGCCUAAAUGAAUAAAAAUAGUUUCCAUUCAUACUUGUGUUUCUUUGCAUCAUGCAUCAGUACUUUACCAUCUUUUUGGUUGCUUGGGGGCUACAAACUUACAAAGUUCAGUUGAUACCCUUGUAACCCGACACAUCUACACCGACUCAUAGUUUUAUCUUCCUUCUAAGCUUGAACCUACUCGCAUCUAUACGACCAGGCUAUGCGCCUUUUCAUUCAAUCACCUAUGAUUCCUUUGAAUAAGUACUUAGUGUGACCCUGGAACUACUUGAGUAUGAUCACAGCGGUUACAUCAUGCGAACGCUGGCUUAUAAAAAUGUGCAACGGAUAGAACUAGCAAGGGAUAAACUGGCUCUUCGAGAAUCUCACAUGCUAGCUCUUAGUUUUGCAUAAGUUUGCAACAUAACACAAAAGAAAAGAUCGUUCAUCUAAGCUAUUACAAGCCCAUAUGGGCCAAAUGAUAAUUGUUUUGCAGAUAGCACUCCUUCUUUUUCUAUAACUAUGAUCGCGCCAUGAGCCAGUCGGUCUACUGUGGCUUGUCUUAGGAUGUCUCCUGAGUCUUCUCUUGAAGGAUAGUAGAAGCACUAGUGCAGUUGCGGGCUACACAAACGGUUUUUACCCCCUUUCCAUGACAAAUAUUUAAACCAUCGCAUUGCAUGUGUGGGUGAUAGGGGGCCUAUCCCACACGACACGGAUAAAUAAUUGGUCAUGGUUCCAUUGGGUCACACACGCCACGCAAAAAUAGAGCGUGCAUGAUUGGUAGGACCAUCACAAACAUACAUAUUGAAGAAGUCAUGUGAAAUGUGCUUCCCAUCCCGCACAGGGAAUCCCAAAGAUACGUCUCUGUUCAUACUUCACAUCUCACACAAUUUUCUGCAUCACAUUAUUUCUGAUAGGGCUGUCCAUCACACACAAUAGUCAUAGUUAUGUCGAUUGUGUUAUUCAAUACAUCACUCAUGGUGCCUAGAAGAAACUAUUUGGCAUUGGGCUGUCCAUCACACACACUUGUUGUGUGAAAACAUUUGUGAUAGGGUGGCCUAACACACACAAUUGUCGACAGGAAAUCGUCUGUGAUUGUUCACUGAUCCAACAUGCUAACUUUCUAGAAACCACGUGGGUUUGUUGAGGUCAUCACCCACAACGUUGCCUUAGAAACCGUCUCCAAUAGGAACCACAAUUAUCAACCAAAUCUCUCUAUUAUUAUAAUCCAUUUAGUAAUCAAAUUAACAUUUCAUAUCAAGCACACAGUAUAUUUCUUAUUCGUAUUAAAACAACCAGGAUUUCAUAAUUGAAUUACAUCAGGGUACAACAUCAUAUAGGCAUAUACUACCUAGCUACCCAAUUGCACAACAGGACAAAGUUUUAAAUGCAACAUCUAUAACCUUUGGAAAUUAAGUAUCAUCAUAGAUGGUAAAUGGACAAAUGAGUCUCAUCUAGAAAACUAUUGAGGUGGAAGGCAGAUAUUGAGCCUUUAGUGUUGUUGAGGGUCGUCGCAACUUUAGUCCAGUGCAUGUGAAUGAUUGCCGCCCAUCCUUUGUCCUCUUGAGGAAGACUUCAAGAUUAUAGUGUGGGUCUUGUAUGAAUACCUUCCUCGUCUCUUGACCAUACACGUGAUUUGAGAUGUAAUCAUUGAUGAACUUCCUUGAAGAGGACUAAAAACAAACAUAUGCAUAAAUAUCUUUUCUAAAAUUUGAAAUGGCGCAAAGGGAAAAGGACAAGGUGAAAGAGAUGGUACCAUCAUGUAGUUGACCGAUGUCUUCUUCAUUGUGUAGACAAACAUCUUGUUGUUUUUCGUAGCUAGUUUCUUUAUCUUAACAAUCUCUGUGAGUUUCUGGAUUUGACUGAUAUUGAAGGAAACCUCAUUUCCCCCACAUGCAAAAAGGGUCGAACAGUGGGUCAAAACCUCUUACAACAGGACCUACAUGUGCAAGAACAAAUUAUUAGAAACUUUAAUACUAGAAUGGUUCUGCAAUUGCACUAUAAUGUGCUAUUAGCCAAAGGACCACGAAUGUGCAAACCUCGAUGGUAAAGCUUUAUUGUCUCCCAUUGUUUCCCCCUGCAACAUAUUUAGGGUAGAUAUUGAUUAGGAUAUAAGUGAUAUUUGGCAUACUAUGAGUGAAAUAUGUUAAUGAAAAAUGAACACAUUAUGGAUCCAACAAAUUAAUUCGAGCCACAUGGAAAAGCCAAUUAUCUAAACCAUGUGUGCUAAGAACUAGGAAAUGUAGAAAUUGUAUAUGUUUCACAUGUAUUUAGUAUAUCUAAAUUUGAUUUAUUUCUUACAUGCAUAACAAUACAAAAUUCUACCAACAACAAUCAAACAUCACAUUUCAGAAUUGAACUAAAUAGUUAAAUGACACCACAACAAAUGAACGAAACAGAUAAAUAAGAACCACAUUGCACAAUAGAACAUUUACUAGAAAGUCAGAUUGCAAGUAGCAUAACUUUGGGCAUUUUACUAGAAUUUCUAAAUGCAAGGCAGGAGGAGCACAUGCAAAAGGUAAACCAAGCAUUCUUAACCGGCAUAGCUAGCUGAACAUAGGUCCUUACAGAUAAAGCUAAGAACAACAAGCUAUUCCUUGUCGUAAGAGAUAUCAAUGAUGAUGGGCUCCUUCAACAUGGAAGAUGGCGAGGCCUCCACACGGUGGGUGCUCCCAUCGUAGUAGUGAGUGGAAUGAUCUUUCCCUGGCACCAACAUGUUGGCUCUAGAACUGAGGUAAGCACGGGCACACUAAUAAAACACAUCCUAGUCUUCGUCGAAUGCACCGGCAGAGCCCUCAAAAAAAGACCACGAGGUAUUGUUUAUAGCAGCCAAGCACAUGGCGACGUCGGCGCGCGAGGCGUCGAUGGUGGCCUCGACGGUGAGGUGCUCCUCCAAGAUCUGGGGGUUUGCACACAUGGCAACCAUCACUGCCUCAUCCGCGCGUGUAGCCGAUGUUUGCUUCUCUGCUGCCAAAUGCUUCGUGAGAUCCUGGAUAUAUUGCAUGCACCAUGGAUUUUGGCGGCGAUUAUUUGGAGGAUGGAGCGGUGAUUUGGGUGAAAGUUGUCACGCCAGCGGUCGAUCCAUGUGGGAUGGAGGAGGGGUGGGAGAGAGGGGGUAUUGGGGAGGUGUCGAUUGCCUGACUAGAUGGACAAGGCCGAGCAGCAUGACGGAGCAUCGCCGGCGAGGAGGCGGUACUGUAAGCAAGCAUUGAAGGUCUGAACUAGCAAAGGAACGAGAAAAAUGGGGAAAUGUGGCUUUUGAUUGGUACCGGGGGGUGAAGGGGGUAGAUAUUUGUGCGGUAGCCCAGAAAUUUCAUUCGAUACAGCAAAAAACUAUCGCUGGAAGUAUCAUCGUACACAGUCCCUUAUUCAGAACUGUGUACGAUAUCUAAACAUCACAAAUGAAACAUGUACUUUACCCCGUGUGUGAUGAGCUUGAACGUGCAAAUUAUUCAGAACAGAUUGCGAUAUUUAUACAUCACAAAUGAAGCAUGUGCUAUACCCCGUGUGUGAAGAGCUUGAACGUGUAAAUUUUUGUCUCCAAGCUUUCGAUGUAAGAUUUGAUAAUACAUUGCACAAGGUUUGUGCCAACAAAUUGUGUCUAAAGAACUUGAACUUAAUUUUCAAUUGGAAGACGUAAUGGGCAUAUGGCGGAUACUUUUGGUCCGAAUUUCCAUGGUUACAGUGGUCAUCCACAUUGUCACAUAAUUUAACAUCAACUGCUAAUUCGGAUACUACACAAAAGAGCCUACACAAGUGCCCGCACUUACUUAAUCAAGCAAUUAAGCAGAGCUCGUUGACCUUAACAUUACUCUAACAAAAGAACAUCGCUCUACACAAAGACUAAUAUUCCGCCUGGCGCUCGUCGAUCUCUGUAGCUUCCUCCAUGGCCCGGUCGCGCUCGAUGACUGAUACGUCUCCAAUGUAUCUAAUUUUCCAAACACUUAUGCUCCGGUUUUGACCUCUAAUUUGCAUGAUUUGAAUGAAACUAACCCGGGCUGACGUUGUUUUCAACAUAACUACCUUGUUGUUAUUUUUGGGCAGAAACAAGAGUUCUCGAAAUUGGACGAAACUUUUUGUGAAUUAUUUGUGGCAUUUAUAAGGAAUUAUGGAGCAAAGACAUACCGGAGGAACGCUACCAGGGGGCCACAAGCCAACAGGGCGCCCCCCAGGCCGCGCCCUGAUUGCUAGUGGGGCCCACAUGUCUCCUACGAUCCUAUUUUGAGUCCUAUAAAAUCACAUCUUCAGAGAAAAAAUCAGAGAGAAGUUUUCAUCGUGUUCCACGAGAUGGAGCCGCCAUCACCUCAUGUUCUUCCUGUGGAGGGCUGACCUCGAGUCCGUUUGGGGCUCUGAAGAGGGGGAUUCAUCGUUGUCGUCAUCACGAAUCCUUCUUGAUCAACACCGCCAUGAUGCUCACCAUCGGGAGUGAGUAAUUUCUUUGCAGGCUUGCUAGAUGGUGGUGGGUUUGGACGAGAUUCAUCAAGUAAUCGAGUUAAGUUUGACAGGGCUUGAUCCCUCGUAUCUACUAUGUUUUGAGAUUGAUGUUAUUAUGACUUUGUUAUGCUUAAUGAUUUUCACUAGGGCCCGAGUGUUGGAAAUAUGCCCUAGAGGCAUUGAUAAGAUAGUUAUUAUUAUAUUUCCUGUUCCAAGAUAAUCGUUUAUUAUCCAUGUUAUAAUUGUAUCGAAUAAAAGCAUAGAUACAUGUGUGGAUAUAUAGACAAAACAAUGUCCCUAGUAAGCCUCUAGUUGACUAGCCAGUUCAUCAAGGAUGGUUAAGGUUUUCUGACCAUAUGCAAAGUGUUGUCACUUGAUAAUUGGAUCACAUCAUUAGGAGAAUGAUGUGAUGGACAAGACCCAAACUAUGAACGUAGCAUGUGAUCGUGUCAUUUUGUUGCUAUUGUUUUCUACGUGUCAAGUAUUCACUCCUAUGACCAUGAGAUCAUGUAAGUCACUGACACCGGAGGAAUACCUUGUGUGUAUCAAACGUCACAACGUUACUGGGUGACUAUAAAGGUGCUCUACACGUAUCUCCGAAGGUGUCCAUUGAGUUAGCAUGGAUCAAGACUGGGAUUUGUCACUCCGUGUGACGGAGAGGUAUCUCGAGGCCCACUCGGUAAUACAACAUCACACACAAGCCUUGCAAGCAAUGUGACUAAGUGUAAGUCACGGGAUCUUGUAUUACAUAACGAGUAAAGAGACUUGCUGGUAACGAGAUUGAAAUAGGUAUGCGGAUACCGACGAUCAAAUCUCGGGCAAGUAACAUACCAAGGACAAAGGGAAUGACAUACGUGAUUAUAUAAAUCCUUGACACUGAGGUUCAACCGAUAAGAUCUUCGGAGAUUAUGUAGGAUCCAAUAUGGGCAUCCAGGUCCCACUAUUGGCUAUUGACCGAGGAGUACCUCGGGGCAUGUCUACAUAGUUCUCGAACCUGCAGGGUUUGCACACUUAAGGUUCGAUGAUGUUUUAGUAUAGUUGAGUUAUAUGUGUGGUUACCGAAUGUUGUUUGGAGUCCCGGAUGAUAUCACGGACUUCACGAGGGUUUUCGGAAUGGUCCGGAAACGAAGAUUGAUAUAUAGGAUGGCUUCAUUUGGUUACCUGAAGGUUUUCGGGCAUUACCGGGAAUGUAUCAGGAGUGACGAAUGGGUUCCGGGAGUUCACCGGGAGGGGCCCACCCACCCGGGAGUGAGCCCAAGGGCAUAGGGUGACGCCACAAGUCCCUAGUGGGCAAUGGCGCUAGAAGAAGAAAACCAAAAAAAAGAAGAAAAAAAAGAGGGAGGUGGGAAGGGACAGGAGGACUCCUCCUUCCCCAAACUGAAGUGGAGUUGGAGUCCUCCUCUCCACUUAGGCCGGCGCCCUAGUGGCUCCCUUGAGCCCCAAGGCUAGCCCCUCCCCUCCUCCUAUAUAUACUAGAGGUUUUAGGGCUAUUGAGACACAACUUUUCCAUGUGCAACUCAAACCUAUACCUCGUAGUUCUUCCUCUAGAUCGGAUUUCUGUGGAGCUCGAGCGGAGCCCUACAGGAAUAGAUCAUCACCAUCACCGACGUGCCGUCACGCUGCCGGAGAAUGCAUCUACCUCCCCGUCUCUCUUGCUGGAUCAAGAAGGCGGAGAUUGUCAUCGAGCUGUACGUGUGUGGAACGCGAAGGUGCCGUCCGUUCGGCACUUGAUCGGGAUGGAUCGUGGGACGGUUCAUGGGACGGUUCGUGGGACGGAUCGUGAAGACGUACCACUACAUGAACCGCGUUUAUUAAUGCUUCUGCUUAGCGAUCUACAAGGGUAUGUGGAUCCGAUGUCCCUCUCGUAGAUGAUCAUCACCAUGAUAGGUCUUCGUGUGCGUAGGAAAAAAUUUGUUUCCCAUGCAACGUUCUCCAAUAGUGGCAUCAUGAGCUAGGUUCAUACGUAGAUGUAAUCUCGAGUAGAACACAAAAGUUUUUGUGGGCCUUGAUAUUUGAUUUGCUUCCCUCCUUAGUCUUUCAUCGAUUCGACGGUAUUGUUGGAUUGAAGCGGCCCGGACCAACAUUACUCGUACGCUUACGAGAGACCGGUUUCAUCGACCAACAUGCAACUCAUUGCAUAAAGAUGACUGGCGUGUGUCGGCUUCUUCAACUUUAGUUGAAUUGGAUUUGACCGAGGCGGUCCUUGGAGAGAGGUUAAAUAGCAAUUUGCACAUCUCCGUUGUGGUUUUUGCGUAAGUAAGAUGCGAUCAUACUAGAUACCCAUAGCAGCCACGUAAAACAUGCAACAACAAAUUACACGACGUCCAACUUGUUUUUGCAGGGUAUGCUUGUGAUAUGAUAUGUCCAAAGACAUGAUGCGAUAUAUUGGAUGUGUGAGAUGAUCAUGUUGUAAUAGUUAAUUUCGACUUGCACGUCGAUGCUACGGCAACCGGCAGGAUCCAUAGGGUUGUGUUUAAACUAAUGUUUGUGUUUGCAGAUGCGUUUACUAUAUUGCUAGGUUAUAGCUUUAGUAGUAAUAGCAUAGAUAGAACGACAACCUCGAUGUCGUCACGAUGAUGGAGAUCAUGGUGUGGCGCUGGUGACGAUGAAGAUCAUGCCGGUGCUUUGGUGAUGGAGAUCAACAAGCACAAGAUCAUGGCCGUAUCAUGUCACUUAUGAAUUGCAUGUGAUGUUAAUCCUUUUAUGCACCUUAUCUUCCUUAGAACGACGGUAGCAUUAUAAGGUGAUCCCUCACUAAAAUUUCAAGAUUAAAUUGUGUUCUCCCCGACUGUGCACCGCUAAGACAGUUCGUCUUUUCGAGACACCACGUAAUGAUCGGGUGUGAUAGACUCAACGUUCACAUACAACGGGUGCAAAACAGUUGCACACGCGGAACACUUAGGUUAAACUUGAUGAGCCUAGCAUGUACAGACAUGGCCUCGGAACACAAGAGACCGAAAGGUAGAGCAUGGAUCAUAUAGUUGAUAUGAUCAACGUGGAGAUGUUCACCACUGAAACUAUACUCAACUCACGUGAUGAUCGGAUUUGAGUUAGUGGAUUUGGAUUAUGUUCCACUUGAAUAACUAGACAGAUGUCUAUUUGAGUGGGAGUUCUUAAGUAAUCUGAUUAAUUGAACUAAUUAUCAUGAACAUAGUCAAAAGGUCUUUGCGAAUUAUGUUGUAGCUUGCGCUGUAGCUCUGCUGUUUUUAAUAUGUUCCUAGAGAAAAUUUAGUUGAUAGAUGAUAGUAGCAAUUUUGCGGACUGGGUCAGUAAACUGAGGAUUGUCCUCAUUGCUGCGCAGAAGGCUUAUGUCCUUAAUGCCCCACUCGGUGUGCUACCCCUCGAGCAUCAUCUGUGGAUGUUGCGAACAUCUGACAUACACGUUUUUAUGACUACGUGAUAGUUCAGUGUGUAAUGCUUAACGACUUAGAAUUGAGGCACCGAAGACGUUUUGAAAAUGCCACGGAACAUAUGAGAUGUUCCAAGAGAUGAAAUUGGGAAUUCAUGCUCAUGCCCUUGUUAAGAGGUAUGGAACCUCCGACAAGAUUCUCUGUCUACAAAGUAAUGGAGAAAAACUCAAUCGUUGAGCAUUUGCUCAGAUUGUCUGAGUACAAUAGUCGCUUGAAUCAAGUGGGAGUUAAUCUUCUAGAUGAGAUAGUGAUGGUUCUCCAAAGUCACUGCCACCAAGCUAGUAGAGUGUCGUGAUGAACUAUAACAUAUCAAGGAUAGAUAUGAUGAUCCUUGAGCGAUUCACAAUGUUUGACACUGCAAAAGUAGAAAUCAAGUAGGAGCAUCAAUUGUUGAUGGUUAGUAAAACCACUAGUUUCAAGAAGGGCAAGGGCUAGAAAGGAUACUUCAUGAAAUGGCAAACCAGUUGCUGCUCUAUUGAAGAAACCCAAGGUUAAACCCAAACUCGAGACUAAGUGCUUUUGUUAUGAGGGGAACGGUCACCGAGGCGGAGCUACUCUAGAUACAUGGUAGAUGAGAAGGCUGGCAAAGUCGACAAAAGUAUAUUAGAUUUACAUGAUAUUGAUGUGUACUUUAUCAGUAAUCCUAGUAGCACGAGGGUAUUAGAUAUCGGUUCAUUUUCUAAGUAUUAGUAACUCGAAAUAAAAGCUAUGGAAUAAACGGAAACUAGCUAAAGGCAAGGUGACGAUAUGUGUUGGAAGUGUUUCCAAGGUUGAUGUGAUCAAACAUCGCACGCUCCCUCUACCAUCGAGAUUGGUGUUAAAACCUAAAUAAUUGUUAUUUGGUGUUUGCAUUCAGCAUGAACAUGAUCGGAUCGUGUUUAUUGCAAUACAUUAUUCAUUUAAAGAAAAUAAUGGUUAUUCUAUUUGCUUGAAUAAUUACCUUCAAUGGUUUAUUGAAUCUCGAUCGUAGUGAUACACAUGUUCAUAAUAUUGAUGCCAAAAGAUACAAAGUAGUAAUGAUAGUACCACUUACUUGCGGCACUGCCACUUGAGUCAUGUUGGUGUAAAAUGCAUGAAGAAGCUCCAUGUUGAUGGAUCUUUGUACUCACUCAUUUUUGAAACGUUUGAGACAUGGAAACCAUACCUAUUGGUAUAAACGCAUGAAGAAACUCCAUGCAGAUGGAUCAUUUGGACUCACUUGAUUUUGAAUCACUUGAGACAUGCAAAUCAUACCACAUGGGCAAGAUGACUGAAGGCCUCGUUUUCCAGUGAUAUGGAACAAGAAAGUAACUUGUUGGAAGUAAUACAUUUUGAUGUGUGCAGUCCAAUGAGUGCUAAGGCACGCAGUGGAUAUCGUUGUGUUCUUACUUCACUUACGAUUUGAGUAGAUACAGGAGUACUUACCUGAUGAAUCACAAGUCUGAAAUAUUGAAAAGUUCAAAGCUAUUUCAGAGUGAAGAUCGUCGUGACAAGAGGAUAAACUGUCUAUGAUAUGAUCAUAGAGAUGAAUAUCUGAGUUCCGAGUUUUGGUACAUAGUUAAGACAAUGUGGAAAUUGUUUCGUAGUUCAUGCCACCUAGAACACCAUAGUGUGAUGGUGUGUCCGAACGUCAUAGCCGCCCCCUCUUUGAUAUGGUGCAUACUAUGAUGUCUCUUAUCGAAUUACCACUAUCGUUUAUGGGUUAUGCAUUAGAGACAACCGCAUUCACUUUAAAUAGGGUACCGCGUAUUUCCGUUGAGAUGACACAGUAUGAACUAUGGUUUGGAGAAACCUGAGCUGUCGUUUCUUGAAAGUUUGGGGCUACGACGCUUAUGUGAAAAAGUUUCAGUCUGAUAAUCUCGAACCCAAAGCGGAUAAAUGCAUCUUCAUAGGAUAUCCAAAAUAGUUGGGUACAUCUCCUAUCUCAGAUCCGGAAGCAAAGCGUUUGUUUCUAGAAACGGGUCGUUUCUCGAGGAAAGGUUUGAGUGGGAGGGUGGUGGAACUUGAUGAGAUUAUUGAACAGUCACUUCAACCAGUGUGUAGCAGGGCGUAGGAAGUUGUUCCUAUGGCACCUACACCAAUUGAAGUGGAAACUGAUGAUGGUGAUCAUUAAGCUUCGGAUCAAGUUACUACAAACCUCAUAGGACGACAAGGUCGUGUACUACUACAGAGUGGUAUGGUAACCCUGUCUUGGAGGUCAUGUUAUUGAACAAACAAUGAACCUAUGAGCUAUGGAGAAGUGAUGGUGGGCCCUGGAUUCCGACAAAUGGCUCGAGGCCAUCAAAAUCCGAGAGAGGAUCCAUGUAUAAAACAAAGUGUAGACUUUGGAAGAACUACUUAAUGGUCGUAAGACUAUUAAGUAUAUAUGGAUCUUUAAAAGGAAGACAGACGAUGAUGGUGAAAAGUCACUAUUAAGAAAAGCUCGAUUUAUCGCAAAGAUGUUUCCCACAAGUUCAAAGAGUUGACUAUGAUGAGAUUUUCUCACUCGUAGCGAUGCUAAAAGUCUGUUGGAAUUAUGUUAGCAGUUGCUGCAUUAUUUAUGAAAUAUUGCACAUCGGAUGUCAAAACAUUGUUUCCUCGAUGGUUUCCUUGAGGAAAGGAUGUAUGUGAUACAACCAGAAGGUUUUGUCGAUCCUAAGGAUGCUAACAGGUAUGCAAGCUCCAGCGAUCCUUCUAUGGACUGGUGCAAGCAUCUCGUAGUUGGAAUAUACGCUUUGAUGAGAUGAUCAAAGCUUUUGGGUUUAUACAAGAUUUAUGAGAAACUUGUAUUUCCAAGGAAGUGAGUGGGAACACUAUAGAAUUUCUGAUAAGUAUAUGUGGUUGACAUAUUGUUGAUCGGAAGUAAUGUAGAAUUUCUGGAAAGCAUAAAGGGUUGUUUGAAAGGAGUUUUUCAAUGGAAAACCUGGAUAGAGCUACUUGAACAUUGAGCAUCAAGAUCUAUAGAGAUAGAUCAACACGCUAAAUAGAAUUUUCAAUGAAAUGAAUGCAUUGACAAGUUUUUGAAGGAGUUCAAAAUAGAUCAGCAAAGAAAGAGUUCUUGGAUGUAUUGUAAGGUGUGAAUUUGAGUAAGACUCAAAGCCCGACCAUGGCAGAAGAAAGAGAAAGGACAAAGGUCAUCCCCUAUGACUUAGCCGUAGGCUCUAAAGUAUGCCAAACUGUGUACCUCACCUGACCUGUGUGCCUUGCCAUGAGUUUGUCAAGGGGUACAAAAGGUGAUCCAGGAUUGAAUCACUAAACAACAGUCAAAGUUAUCCUUGGUAACUAGAGGACUGAGGAAUUUUUCUCGAUUAUGGAGGUGAUUAAAGAGUUAGUCGUAAAGGGUUACGUCGAUGCAAGCUUUGAUGCUAAUCCGAAUAAAUCUGAGUAGUAAAACGGAUUCGUAUAGUAGAGCAGUCAUUUGGAAUAUUUACAAAUAGCACGUAGAAGCAGCAUCUACAGGAUAACAUAGAGAUUUGUAAAGCACACACAAAUCUAAAAGGUUCACACUUGUUGUCUAAAAUCUCUCUCACAAGCAAGACGUGAUCAAACCCCAGAACUGUGUGGGUGUUGGAUUCGUUAAAAACACAUAGUCAUAUGAACUAGAUUAUUGACUCUAGUGCAAGUGGGAGACUAAUGGAAAUAUUCCCUAGAGGCAAUGAUAAGAUAGUUAUUAUUAUAUUUCCUGUUUCAAGAUAAUCGUUUAUUAUCCAUGCUAUAAUUGUAUUGAAUGAAAGCAUAGAUACAUGUGUGGAUAUAUAGACAAAACAAUGUCCCUAGUAAGCCUCUAGUUGACUAGCCAGUUCAUCAAAGAUGGUUAAGGUUUUCUGACCAUAUGCAAAGUGUUGUCACUUGAUAACUGGAUCACAUCAUUUGGAGAAUGAUGUGAUGGACAAGACCCAAACUAUGAACGUAGCAUUUGAUCGUGUCAUUUUGUUGCUAUUGUUUUCUGUGUGUCAAGUAUUCAUUCCUAUGACCAUGAGAUCCUCUCCCNNNNNNNNNNNNNNNNNNNNNNNNNNNNNNNNNNNNNNNNNNNNNNNNNNNNNNNNNNNNNNNNNNNNNNNNNNNNNNNNNNNNNNNNNNNNNNNNNNNNGUGUGUAUCAAACGUCGCAACGUAACUGGGUGACUAUAAAGAUGCUCUACAGGUAUCUCCGAAGGUGUUCGUUGAGUUAGUAUAGAUCGAGACUGGGAUUUGUCACUCCGUGUGACGGAGAGGUAUCUCGGGGCCCACUCGGUAAUACAACAUCACACACAAGCCUUGCAUGCAAUGUAACUGAAUGUAAGUUGCGGGAUCUUGUAUUACGGAACGAGUAAAGAGACUUGACGGUAAACGAGAUUGAAAUAGGUAUGCGGAUACUAACGAUCGAAUCUCUGGCAAGUAACAUACCGUAGGACAAAGGGAAUGACAUACGGGAUUAUAUGAAUCCUUGGCACUGAGGUUCAAACGAUAAGAUCUUCGUAGAAUAUGUAGGAUCCAAUAUGGGCAUCCAGAUCCCGCUAUUGGAUAUUGACCGNNNNNNNNNNNNNNNNNNNNNNNNNNNNNNNNNNNNNNNNNNNNNNNNNNNNNNNNNNNNNNNNNNNNNNNNNNNNNNNNNNNNNNNNNNNNNNNNNNNNNNNNNNNNNNNNNNNNNNNNNNNNNNNNNNNNNNNNNNNNNNNNNNNNNNNNNNNNNNNNNNNNNNNNNNGCUAUUGGAUAUUGACCGAGGAGUCUCUCGGGUCAUGUCUACAUAGUUCUCGAACCCGCAGGGUCUGCACACUUAAGGUUCGACGUUGUUUUAUGCGUAUUUGAGUUAUAUGGUUGGUUANNNNNNNNNNNNNNNNNNNNNNNNNNNNNNNNNNNNNNNNNNNNNNNNNNNNNNNNNNNNNNNNNNNNNNNNNNNNNNNNNNNNNNNNNNNNNNNNNNNNNNNNNNNNNNNNNNNNNNNNNNNNNNNNNNNNNNNNNNNNNNNNNNNNNNNNNNNNNNNNNNNNNNNNNNNNNNNNNNNNNNNNNNNNNNNNNNNNNNNNNNNNNNNNNNNNNNNNNNNNNNNNNNNNNNNNNNNNNNNNNNNNNNNNNNNNNNNNNNNNNNNNNNNNNNNNNNNNNNNNNNNNNNNNNNNNNNNNNNNNNNNNNNNNNNNNNNNNNNNNNNNNNNNNNNNNNNNNNNNNNNNNNNNNNNNNNNNNNNNNNNNNNNNNNNNNNNNNNNNNNNNNNNNNGGGAGGGGUGCCGGGGACCAUCGGGAGGGGUGUCACGCCCCAAGGGGUCUCAUGGGCUAUGGGAAGAGAUAAACCAGCCCCUAGUGGGCUGGAAUAAGUUCCCACUCAGGCCCAUAAGGUUUGAGAAGGAAAAAACACAAGGUGGAAAGAGUUUCCAAGUGGGAAGGUGGAAUCCUACUCCAAGUAGGAUUGGAGUAGGACUCCUCCACCUCCAAUUUCGGCCAAACCUUUAGGUUUUGAGGCUGCCUCCUCCCCUCCCUCCCACCUAUAUAUACAGAGGUUUUAGGGCUGAUUUGAGACGACUUUUCCACGGCAGCCCGACCACAUACCUCCACGGUUUUUCCUCUAGAUCGCGUUUCUGCGGAGCUCGGGCGGAGCCCUGCUGAGACAAGGUCAUCACCAACCUCCGGAGCGNNNNNNNNNNNNNNNNNNNNNNNNNNNNNNNNNNNNNNNNNNNNNNNNNNNNNNNNNNNNNNNNNNNNNNNNNNNNNNNNNNNNNNNNNNNNNNNNNNNNGUAUAACCAUCCGUGGUCUUUAUUCCUUGCAAUUUAACAUCCGUACAUGACACUUAGUCCACCCAAAAAUAUUCGUAGCUAUGCUUGCUACUAACUGGCAGGGUCACUCGUUCGUCAUCGUCCCCGAACAACGGUUUAUUCGAACGGACUGUCUAUUCGAGUCAGACGCGUCAUCAUCACUCGGUCGCCUUGCAUGCCGUCGCUCAGUCGAAAGCAUCAUCAUCACUCGGCCGCUCUGCUCGUCGUCGCUCGGUCGGACGCGCGUCGUCAUCACUCGGCCGCCCUGCACAUCGUCGCUGAGUUAGACGUACGCCGUCAUCACUCGGCAGCUCCACGCAUCGCCACUCGUCCGGACGCUCCAUCGUCACUCGGCCACUCCGCGCGCCGUCACUCUACUGGACACGUCGUCAUCACUCGGCAGCUCCGCGCAUCGCCACUCAGCCAGACGCUCCAUCAUCACUCGGCCACUCCGCGCGCCAUCACUCUACUGGAUGCGUCGCCAUCACUCGGCUACUCCGCGCAUCGCCACUCAGCCAGACGCUCCAUCAUCACUCGGCCACUCCGCGCGCCAUCACUCUACUCGACGCGUCGUCAUCACUCGGCAACUCCGCGCAUCGCCACUCAGUCGGACGCUACAUCCUCACUUGGCCGCUCCACGCGUCGUCAAUCUACUGGACGCGCCGUCAUCACUCGACCACUCGGCGCGUCGGCGCUCGGUCGAACACGCGUCAUCAUCACUCGGCCACCCUGCAUGCUGUCACUCAGUCGGACGCGUCGUCAGCGCUCGGCCGCCCUGCGCGCCGUCCCUCACUCGGAUCCAUCGUCAGCACUCGGUAGCUUCGCGCAUCGCCAGUUAGCAAGACAAGCCAUCCUCACUCGGUUGGAGACUCCUUCGUCACUCCGCAGCUUCGCGUGUCGUCACUCAGCUGGAGGCUCCUUUGUCACCUGGUUGCUCUGCGCGUCGUCACUCGGCCGCCCCGUGUGUCGCCACUCAGCUAGACGCGUCUUCAUCGCUUGACCGCCCAACACGUCGCCACUCAGCCGGACGUGUCUACUUCGCUCGACCGCCCCGCGCAUCGUCAGGCAGCUAAGUCAUUUUUACACAGACUGCAUUCUAUUAAAUAAUCAUUUCUACAUUACCGAGUGUCGGGGAAGUCGCACAUGACAUUCACUCGGAGGCCACGCCACUGAGUGUACCUGUGCACUCGGUUGUUUAUUUUUAUGUGGGAACACUUCACUUUCGCUUCGUUUGGGUCCAGUACUCAAACGAGUUCAGCCGGAUCCUUCACUCUUUUAGACUCUUGCUGGUUCCAAACCAGCAAUCAUGUGGCACACCCAGUGGGUGUCUAUGGGUGCAAUUUACAUGAACUAUUUCAGAAAAGAUCAUAUUACUUUGAUAAUUUUUUAUGCUGGCUUGUGCUAUUUUUCAUACACAGGUUACUCGACGCAUCUGUGCGCCAUCCUCGUCGCUGCUCAGGCUCAGUCGCCGCAACGAUCAUUCAUGCGUUUUCACGUGUUCGGAAGCCCCCGCAAUGACGUAGUGGACACGGCGCCCCGUGUGCCGUCAGUCGUUCGGACGCCUGCNGGUCCAGUACUCAAACGAGUUCAGCCGGAUCCUUCACUCUUUUAGACUCUUGCUGGUUCCAAACCAGCAAUCAUGUGGCACACCCAGUGGGUGUCUAUGGGUGCAAUUUACAUGAACUAUUUCAGAAAAGAUCAUAUUACUUUGAUAAUUUUUUAUGCUGGCUUGUGCUAUUUUUCAUACACAGGUUACUCGACGCAUCUGUGCGCCAUCCUCGUCGCUGCUCAGGCUCAGUCGCCGCAACGAUCAUUCAUGCGUUUUCACGUGUUCGGAAGCCCCCGCAAUGACGUAGUGGACACGGCGCCCCGUGUGCCGUCAGUCGUUCGGACGCCUGCUCGACAUACAUCACUUGGCCGCCCCGCGCGUUGCCACUCAGCCAGAAUCGUCUACCUCACUCGGAUGCCAUGCGCAUCGCCACUCCGUGUGGCACGUUUUCAUCAUUCGGCUGCCCCGCGCGCCACCGCUCAGCUUAGCUGCGACUCCAUGUCGCCUAAGUUAAAACUACUCCGAGUGCGGACAUGCUCCACACUCGGGGGCUUAGUUGCGACUCUGUAUCGCCUAAGUUAAAAACAACUCUGAGUGCGGACAUGCUCCACACUCGGGGGCNNNNNNNNNNNNNNNNNNNNNNNNNNNNNNNNNNNNNNNNNNNNNNNNNNNNNNNNNNNNNNNNNNNNNNNNNNNNNNNNNNNNNNNNNNNNNNNNNNNNAAGAUCAAGUCCGCAUUAUUCAUGAGAAUCUGAAGGCUGCUCAGUCUUGUCAGAAAAGUCAGUAUGACCGUCAUCAUCAAGAUAUGGUCUAUCAACCUGGCGAAAAGGCUUAUCUUCGUGUCACACCAAUGAGAGGUGCACACCGUUUCGGAAUCAAGGGCAAGUUAGCUCCUCGUUAUAUUGGUCCUUUCACUGUUCUCGAAAGGCGUGGAAGAGUGGCUUAUCAAUUGGAACUGCCGGCGAACCUUUCUCAGGUUCACGAUGUCUUCCAUGUUUCUCAACUCCGCCGCUGCUUCAAGGAUCCUAUUCGAGCAGUGGAUCACGAUAUGCUAGAGCUACAACAAGACCUCUCUUAUAAAGAGCAUCCGGUCCGCAUUCUCGACCAAGCUGAACGUAAGACUCGUCGCAAGGUCACCAAGUUCCUUAAGGUGCAGUGGUCAAAUCACUCUGAAGAUGAAGCCACUUGGGAACGCGAGGAUCAUCUUCGUGAUGAAUACCCCGGGCUCUUUCCCUCUACCUCUUAAUUCUCGGGACGAGAAUUCUUGUUAGUAGGGGAGAAUUGUGACAUCCUCGACUUUUGCUACAGUAGUGAUUGUAAUUAAGCUACAGUGAUCACCCGCUAAUGAUGCCACGUCACCGCUAACUAUAACAAUGUUCUCGUGAUGAUUGAAACCGAAUCAUAGUUCGAAGCUUCGGGAUUAAGUCAAACAUGAAAAGAUCUUCGUGUUGUUGAGAUAACAACGUCGGGGAGUUGUAAAGAUUCCCUAACAAAUUAUAAUAUCAAGUCGGGUACUUUUGGAAUCGUUGAUGAUCCCGAUAUAUUAAGAAAGGGGCUUCAACAAAAUAAGUAAAGAGAUAUAGUAAAUGAAGAUAAAUAAACAAAAGAAAGGACUAAGAGUAUAAAUAAUAAACGAUGAAAGAAAAGUAAAUAAGAAUAGAAUAAAGANNNNNNNNNNNNNNNNNNNNNNNNNNNNNNNNNNNNNNNNNNNNNNNNNNNNNNNNNNNNNNNNNNNNNNNNNNNNNNNNNNNNNNNNNNNNNNNNNNNNGGUCUGAUCGUGGGGGUGAAUAUCUGAGUUUCGAGUUUGGUGCUCACUUAAGACAAUGUGGAAUUGUUUCACAGUUGACACCGCCUGGAACACCACAGCGUAAUGGUGUGUCCGAACGUCGUAAUCGUACUUUAUUAGAGAUGGUGCGAUCUAUGAUGUCUCUUACCGAUUUGCCGUUAUCGUUUUGGGGUUAUGCAUUAGAAACAGCUGCAUUCACUUUAAAUAGGGCACCAUCAAAAUCCGUUGAGACGACACCAUACGAACUGUGGUAUAGCAAAAGGCCAAAGUUGUCGUUUCUUAAAGUUUGGGGAUGUGAUGCUUAUGUCAAAAAGCUUGAGCCUGAAAAGCUGGAACCCAAAGCGGAAAAGUGCAUCUUCAUAGGUUACCCAAAAGAGACAGUUGGGUACACCUUCUAUCUCAAAUCCGAGGGCAAAGUGUUUGUUGCUAAAAACGGAGCUUUUCUCGAGAAGGAAUUUCUCUCGAGAGAAUUGAGUGGGAGGAAGAUAGAACUUGACGAGGUUGUCGAACCUCUCAUCCCUUUGGAUGGUGGCGCAGGGCAAGGGGAAACCUCUGUCGUUGCGACGCCGGUUGAGGAGGAAGUUAAUGAUGAUGAUCAUGAAACUCCGGUUCAACUUUCUGUCGAACCACGCAGGUCGACGAGACCACGUGCUGCUCCAGAGUGGUACGGUAAUCCCGUCUUGUCAAUCAUGUUGUUGGACAACAAUGAACCUGCAAAUUAUGAAGAAGCAAUGGUGGGCCCAGAUUCCAACAAAUGGCUGGAAGCCAUGAAGUCCGAGAUAGGAUCCAUGUAUGAGAACAAAGUGUUGACUUUGGAGGUACUGCCUGAGGGCCGCAAGGCUAUUCAGAACAAAUGGAUCUUUAAGAGGAAGACGGACGCUGAAGGCAAUGUGACCGUUUAUAAAGCUCGACUUGUGGCAAAGGGUUUUUCACAAGUUCAAGGAGUUGACUACGAUGAGACAUUCUCACCCGUAGCGAUGCUUAAGUCCGUCAGAAUCAUGUUAGCAAUAGCUGCAUUUUUCGAUUAUGAAAUCUGGCAGAUGGAUGUCAAAACGGCGUUCCUUAACGGUUUCCUUAAGGAAGAAUUUUAUAUGAUGCAACCCGAAGGUUUUGUCGAUCCUAAGAAUGCUAACAAGGUGUGCAAGCUCCAGCGAUCCAUUUAUGGACUGGUGCAAGCAUCUCGGAGUUGGAACAANNNNNNNNNNNNNNNNNNNNNNNNNNNNNNNNNNNNNNNNNNNNNNNNNNNNNNNNNNNNNNNNNNNNNNNNNNNNNNNNNNNNNNNNNNNNNNNNNNNNAUAUAUAGGACGGAUGGUUUCGGACACCGGAAGUGUUUCGGGCGUCACCGGUAACGUACCGGGACCACCGAAAGGGGCCCAUGACUUCGGGAGGCUAGAUGGGCCAAGUGCGGGAGGGAACCAGCCCAUGGCGCAAGAAGAGGGGAGAAGGGGGAAACCCCACCAGAAGGGUGCGCCACCCCUCCUCCCCCUCCUGGCCGCCGCACCUCCCCCCAUCUAGCGCUGCCGCCCCUCCCAUGAGAGGGAAACCCUCAAGGGGGCGCAGCCCCUCCCCCCCCUAUAUAUAGUGGGCACUUUGGGCUGUUGGAGANCCUCAAGGGGGCGCAGCCCCUCCCCCCCCUAUAUAUAGUGGGCACUUUGGGCUGUUGGAGACACCAAUCUUCCUCUCCCUCGGCACAGCCCUGCUCUUCUUUCUCCUCCUCUGUGCCGGUGCUUGGCGAAGCCCUGCCGGGAGACCUCGUCUCUCCAUCGACACCAUGCCGUCAUGCUGCCGGAGAUCUUCCCCAACCUCUCCCUCCUCCUUGCUGGAUCAAGGUGCGGGAGACGUCACCGGGCUGCACGUGUGUUGAACCCGGAGGUGCCGUAGUUCGGCACUAAAUCGGAAUCACACCGCGAUCUGAAUCGCCGUGAGUACGACUCCAUCAACCGCGUUCUAGUAAUGCUUCCGCUUAGCAAUCUUCAAAGGUAUGAAGAUGCACUCACCCCUCUCUCGUUGCUGGUCUCUCCAUNNNNNNNNNNNNNNNNNNNNNNNNNNNNNNNNNNNNNNNNNNNNNNNNNNNNNNNNNNNNNNNNNNNNNNNNNNNNNNNNNNNNNNNNNNNNNNNNNNNNACUGUGCGGAAAAAGAGGUAGCUAUCGCCUGCCUUGGCCGUGUCCCGGAAAGCCAGGGCACAUGUGUGGGUGCCGCACCAGGCCGUGUUCGCGGGAGCACCAUGCCAUGCUCUGCUGCAGUGCUGCUCGCUUUGUAUCCCAGCACUGCUGGCCAUCAUAUAAGCUUUGAGAGACAAGUGGUUAAUUAGUUACGAUCUUUUCCUUUCCCUGGCCGGCCAUCAUAAGCUCUCGGUUCAUUCCGGGGGACGGACGAGAGAGAGACGGCGAUCGGGUGCUCAAAGUGGAAUUGUGCACCGAUUCUCCGACGGUGACGGAUGGAGGCGACGAUGAUAAGAUGAGGCCCGUAUCACGUCAUCGCAGCAGCCAGCCAGCUAGCAGGAGCAGCAACAUUGACUCACACGUACGUCCGGUCCAUUCUCGGACCAGAAAACGAACGGCUAACAGAAUCUACGGCAGAACCCUUUAAAUCCGGUCACUCAAACGGUUGUGGACGCGUUCCGGACGCAUUCGAAUGAUCCAUUAUAUUUUAUACCGUGCACUCAUAUGUCUUAUAUUUGAACUUUUAAAGUCAUAUAAGGUCAUGCACGUUAAUCAUUCAAUACAAAUUGUUCAAAUUCAUCAGUUNNNNNNNNNNNNNNNNNNNNNNNNNNNNNNNNNNNNNNNNNNNNNNNNNNNNNNNNNNNNNNNNNNNNNNNNNNNNNNNNNNNNNNNNNNNNNNNNNNNNGUGUAGGGGCAGUGACGGACGGACACGCCGUACAUGGUGGCCUCACAGGAUGGGAUGGGCCCGGCGCGGGCCCAGGUGGACAAUUUUAUGGCUAUGGUUGGAGUGGCCCUUUCGGUACUGACAUCUAGGCCCGCGUGCUGCUGACGGACGUGUCGAGGUUUUUGCUGUGACGGGCGCUGAGAUCUCGCCAGAUGCAGCGGCGGGUCGUGUACAGCUGUUGUNUUCUGUUAAGAUCGAAAUCUGUAACAGAUGUACCUUAUCUAUAGUAACACUAUAACACUGCCAAAAAUAAUCGAGGGGAUAUUUUUGUUUGCAUGCUUUCAGUCUUUUAUGUACAUGCGGUGACCGGUGAGGGAAAGAAACUUAGAUUGUGUCAAAUGCAUUUCUUAAUUCGUUGAGAGGAGCUAACUGGAUGUCGUUUAGUGGCGCAAAUAUUCAAAUCUGUGGCUCCAGAUUUCAGGAAUCUGAUCCGGCGUCUCCACUUUUUUGGUUUAAAGCUUUGAUGAUGGACCCUGAAAUAUUAGAUUAGUGUGUGGUUUGUUGCCAUGUGAAUGGUCGGUUUGCCAAGUGCUCGAGUGGAUCCUUUUUGGCAAAGGCAGGGGAGGAAAUCAUCUGCUUCUCUCGUCUCGUGCCAGAGGGGCCCAAGGGUUGUUCGGUUGCUUUCGGCCUUUUUCUCCCGUGUGUUCACUCCAUUGCAGCAGCUAGAGUGUUGUGAAUCAUGUUGUCGUCAAAUGUUCGCUUUGUGCAGGCGGCUUACUACAAAUCAGAGGAUGACAGACAUGUGUUGGCAUCGUGAGCUUUGGUUAGUGUUUGACUGUUGGUAUAUCAAGUUUACUAUAGGCUAACGUCUAUUUUGCCGUGCCGUUUUACAUACGUGGGAUCAACUCCUUUUCUCUAGCAGGUUAUUGUUGUCGAUUGUUUCGUUCUGGUUUUUUCUGCAUUGGCAUGGAUUUUAGUUAUCGUAUAUGACGGUGUUUUCUUAUACAUAUAUCGGGUUGCGCUGUUAUUGAAGACGGAGCAUAUUGGAUUUGUUGGAUGCAUGGCUAUGGAGUUUUUUUUUCUUUGCGAAAAAAACUUCCGACCUAUUAAUCUUCAAUCAUGGUAGUACAAUGAAUACUAGAAAUAAUAAAAAUUACAUUCAGAUCCGUAAAUCACCUAGCGACGACUAUAACACUGAAGCAAGCUACGCGUCGCUGUCAUCGCCCCUCCCUCGCUGAAUCCACACAAAACAUGUUGUAGUAGACAGUCGUGAUGUUGUCGUGCUAAGGCCCCAUAAAACCAACACAUCAGAAGAGCAACCAUCACCGAUGACGAGUAGUGUAGAUUAGAAGGAUCCAACCUGAAGAUAGACGAACAUAGAUGAACGGCGACCAGAUCCGAGCAAAUCCACCAAAGACAAUCCUCCUCGAGAGCCAGAUUAGCUUACCUGUCAUGAACUCUCUCUUGGGGAUUAUUGUGCUGCUCCCCAGCAAGACUUCAUAUUUUCGUUUGUACCUUGGCCAUGGCUGUAUGCCAGUUGGCGGCGUGUGCGUGGGUGUGUUGAACCUUGUGGUGUCUUGUAUGCUUUGGUCGAGGCUUUAUAAUAUAAAGCGGGGGGAAACCCUUUUUCGUCAAAUCCACCAAAGACAGACCCGCCAGAGACACACCUCCACACGUCCAUCNNNNNNNNNNNNNNNNNNNNNNNNNNNNNNNNNNNNNNNNNNNNNNNNNNNNNNNNNNNNNNNNNNNNNNNNNNNNNNNNNNNNNNNNNNNNNNNNNNNNCCCUGGACCCCCGACGCCACUGACCCCCCACAACCAACGCCACUAACCCCCCGACCCCCGAUGCCACCGACCCUCGACGGCACUGACUCCCGACGCCACUAAGCCCCAACCCCCGACACCUCUUCUGCCUUCUUUUGAACGAGAAGGUGCUUUUCGGCCUUCCAGAGGCCCACGGGGUCAUAGUUUUGAAAAUUAUGAGUUAGGUCACAUAUUUUCCGAUCAUGUUAAUUAUAAAAACAUCGUAUUUGUGUUGAUCGGGUGAAUUUCAAUGUGCAGUUGUUCGACGACCUCCACGUGUGUUGGACGAGCUCCGCCCUUGCGUUUGUUGGUGAGCACAAAUGACUUCUCCUCCUACCCCCUUAAUUUGCUCUGUCCCGGUCUUCGUGCCGAUGAAACUUGCUAGCUAUAGGUUUCUUCAAUCAUGAGUAUGCGUGACCAGUAUGCGUCUCCCGUUCGAAAGGGAGACAUCUAUAAAUAUGCAUUUCUUUGCAUAUUUAUAAUCGCCAUCCUUUCGAAUUGUCCAACAUUAUCCAUGGACAGCCCGAGUAUGUGUAGAUUGGGUUUGUUUUCCCGUAUGCUGUGCUCCGGAUCCGAUGCGGAAUUUCGUCAGUGCCUCCCCUUUUGUUCUCCGGGUACACAUCCUCUCUGCUUAUUGCCGAGACGUGUAUCAGGAGAACAGUGGGGAGGUGCUGCCGAAAUUGUGCGUCGCAUCUGGAGCAGAGCAUGGGAAAACGAACCCAGUCUACACAUACUCGGGUGGGAUUAGGACCUAUCUUUACCUAUUAGCGUGUAGGUUGCAUGGACGUAAUAAAACUGACAAACUUGAUUAGCGUAUGAAUAUAGAUGAUGAAUUAUGUAUUUAUUUCUUGUGCCCCCAUAGGUAGCUAGGCAACAUGAGUGAUCGUGCUUGGAUGUACACUGGUCACCCUAGUCAGAAAGACAUGACCCAUGAAUGGUUAACAAAAACCAGGGGGUUUGUGAGAGCCGCAUUUGCAAAUGGCCAGCAAAAAACAUGGUGCCCCUGUCCCAACUGCGACAACUGGAAAAAGCAGACAGAGUUUGAAAUGGGUAAACACUUGCAGAAGUCGGGUUUUACUCCUAAUUAUACGGUGUGGACUUUUCAUGGUGAGUCUGACCAACGUGCCAGAGUUGAGGUGAUUCGUCGUCGAACCGACGAGCAUGGUACCGGGAUUGAAGACAUGGUGCAAGGCUUUGAUGAUGCUCGGGAUUCGGAGAUGAGAUGGAGGAAUCUGCAAAGGCCUUCUAUGAAAUGCUGGAGUCUUCAAAACGUCCUCUCCACGAGCAGACUGAGCUUUGUCAGCUGGAUGCCAUCGCGCAAGUAAUGGCUCUGAAGGCUCAAUUCAACCUAGGCAGAGAAUGCUACGACGCGAUGAUGACGAUAUUUGGACGCUUUCUACCCAAAGGCCAUGUACUGCCUCCAAACCUGUACCAGUCAGAGAAAAUCCUCCGUGUACUAAAGAUGCCCUAUGAGAAGAUACAUGCCUGUGAGAAUGGAUGUGCCUUAUUUAGGCUUGAGUAUGCGGCCUUGAACUAUUGCCCCAUUUGCAAUUCUUCCAGGUAUAUUGUGGUAGACAACGGCAUGGGUGAGAAGAAUCAGACCAAAAUCCCCAUUAGUGUUCUUCGAUAUCUGCCAAUCGUACCAAGACUUCAACGUCUUUUCAUGGUCGAAGAGACGGCCAGACAGAUGACAUGGCACAAAUUGGGCAAAAGAACCGAACUAGAUGCGGAUGGGAACAAGAUGCUGGUACACACUUCAGAUGGUUUUGCGUGGAGGCACUUCGAUGCAUUACAUAAGGAUAAAUCGGAAGAUCCAAGGCAACCUAGAGUUGCCAUCAGCACGGAUGGGUUCAAUGUGUAUGGUAUGAUGGCAGCACAAUACAGUUGUUGGCCUGUAUUUGUCAUUCCACUAAAUUUGCCACCCGGAGAGAUUAUGAAAAGAAAGAACAUUUUCCUGACGUUGAUAAUUCCAGGGCCCAACUAUCCGGGGAAGAAUAUGAAUGUGUACAUGCAGCCGCUUAAGGAUGAGUUGCAAGAAGCCUGGGAUAACGGGAUCAAGACCUACGACGCGGCUACCAAAACAAAUUUCAAAAUGCAUGUGUGGUACAUGUACUCGACGCAUGAUUAUCCGGCGUUUGCGCUAUUCGCUGGCUGGUGUGUGCAUGGAAGGUUCCCGUGCACCACAUGCAAGGCAGCUCUUCAGUUCCGUUGGCUGCAGGCUGGUCGCAAGUAUUCUUGCUUCGACAUGCAUAGACAAUUCCUGGAUCCUGACCAUAAGUUCAGAAAAGACAAGAAGAAUUUCAUCAAAGGUAGAGUUGUCAAAAACACUGCACCAGCUGCGUUGACAGGCCAACAGACCCUUGAUCAGUUAAACGCUCUCGAGCCCGAUCCUUUGCGUCCAGGAUACUUCAAAGGGUAUAAUACGGAACACGCCUGGACUCACAAGUCAUGCUUAUGGGAUCUCCCUUACUUCAAAGACCUCCUUUGCCCACACAACAUUGACGUGAUGCACACUGAAAAGAAUAUUGCGGAGGCCAUUUUUGGUACAUUGUUCGGCAUAGAGAGGAAGUCAAAAGAUAAUCCUAAGGCUAGAAUCGACCUGGAGGCUCUAUGUGAUAGACCGUUGCAAAACUUGCGACAACGGAAAGGAAAGCAAAGCAUAGCGAAGCCAAAGGCAUGGUUCAAUCUUGAAAGGCCAGCUAUCAGGGAAAUGCUAUUGUGGGUGAAAAUGCGGUUGAUGUUCCCCGAUGGGUAUGCUGCGAAUCUAAAGAGGGGAGCGAGUCUUGAGAAAUUGAAAAUAUUUGGGCUCAAGAGUCAUGAUUGCCACAUAUGGAUUGAGCGGGUAAUGCCGGUGAUGUUGCGUGGCUUUAUCCCUGAGGAUGAAUGGCUAGUACUGGCAGAGCUGAGCUAUUUCUUCCGUUCUCUUUGUGCGAAAGAACUAUCGCCUGGCGUGCUAGAUGAAAUGGAAGAGUUGGCGCCGGAGUUGGUCUGCAAAUUAGAAAAGAUCUUUCCACCGGGCUUCUUUAAUCCAAUGCAGCAUUUGAUUUUGCAUCUCCCGACCGAGGCAAGAAUGGGGGGGCCCGUUCAAAAUCGAUGGUGCUACUCAACUGAGAGGAUGCAGAAGACGCUUCGAGCUAAGUGUAAAAAUAAACGUAGAAUUGAAGCAUCGAUGGCCGAGGCAUUCAUUACUGAGGAGGCGGCAAACUUCAUGACAGCACACUACGAAGCCAAAAAUUAUCAUUUGCAUAACCCGAAGCCUCGGCACAAUGAUGGCGAUCGAGAAAAAGUUCGAUCCAACCUCAGCCUAUUCAAAGGUAAGCUCGCACCAUCCGGUGCUUCGAAAGGGAAAUCGUUGGAUGUCGAAGAAUGGCGGACCAUUUCAUUGUAUAUCUUCACCAACCUAACAGAAGUGCGGCCGUACAUCGAGUAAGUUCUCCGUAAUUUAUUGUUCCGCAACUUCUAAUUGCUUUGAACCACUCUUAUUCCCGCAUAUUUGAUAUAGUCGAUACGUCGCCGAAUUCUCGGAUGGAGCGGUCAUCGAAAAGGAUUCCGUCGAAGAGUAUGAGCUUCUCGCAAAGCAUGGAGGCGACUAUCCUGGUUUCAUCUCUUGGUUCAAACAAAGGGUAAUUAAUUACCAUUAAGGGCCCAUUUGACUUAUUGGUCUAAUUUGCGGCUAAUGCAUCCAUUCUUUCGUAUUAAACUUGUAGGCUGAUGCAGAGUCUAUGGACGCCGAGUUGAGACUAGUCGCUAAUGGUUUUGAAUAUAAGGUCCGUUCAUUUGACAAAUACAACAUCAACGGGUAUCACUUUCGUACCUUUGGCAAAGAGCUAUCUAUGCCCGACCUAAAGACUACAAAUUGUUCUGUCUCUGCUAUCGGCGAAGGAGACACCGAGUAUUAUGGAAGGGUUGAAGCAAUUUAUGAACUUCUAUUCUAUUGUGAAAACCCACCGACCGUCGUAGUCUUCAAAUGUUAUUGGUUUGAGCCGAGGGAGACUAGAAGGACUCAUGAACAUAUAGGACUAGUCGAAAUCAACCAAAACACCCACUUAGAUGUUCCCGAUGUCUAUAUUACGGCUCAACAGGCGACACAAGUUUUCUAUCUACCGUGGGCCUGCCAAACUGAUCCAAAUCUCAAAGGUUGGGAUGUCGUUUAUGAAGUGCCACCACAUUUUAGACCACCUACCCUCAAUGAAGAGGAUUACGAACCUCACAUUAACCCAGACACAUAUGAAGGAGAAUUCUUCCAAGAAACACGUAUGUCCAAGAAGCGUUUCAAGAACCGCUCUACUUCACCCCAGAACAUUGAAGUAGACAGCGACAGUGAAUCCGUCUUAACCCCUGAGCCCGAACAGGAAGAGCUGGAAGAAGAAGAGGUUACUGCUGCGGAUGACCUGUCACUUCUUGACCGAUUGCAUAAUGGUGGCCUUCCACAUGUUCUUCUAGAUAGUGAUGAUGAUGAUGCAUUUAUUGAUGAUAGUGAUGAUCAUGAUGCAUUUAUUGACCCCGAAGCAUAUAUAGACGAGGACGAUUGUUAUUAGUUCAUGUCAGGUAUUCAACUAUUAUACUAUAUAUAAAUUUUGAGUUCAUGUUAGGUAUUCAAUUUUUAUUAGUCAUGUUGGUAUUUAUGUUGUACUAAUUUCAUUUACUCUUUGUCAUGACAGGUGUUGAAAGAUGGUGGGAAAGGGUCGAAAGCAUGCCGCGGCUGCUUCUUCGUCGGCGGGUGAUGGGAUGGGUACUUCCAUUCCUGCCUCGCCUCUUCGGAGAGUGUUGCUCUCUACUAUGCAAGGAGCGGCCCCCGUGAGAGGAGGUCGACCACCCGCGAAGCCGAGAGGCACUAAAGGUACACGUUGUAUUCAUGUUGGUAUUUAUGUUGUACUCAUGUUGUAUGCAUAUUGGUAUUUUAUUACUCAUGUUGGUAUUUAUGUUGUACUAAAGGUACACGUGGCCGCGGGAGAGGUAGGGCUACACGGUCUCCGCCACCACCCCAAGCUGAUUCACCUGAGCACAGGAGGACUUCUAGGGUGGAUUCGUCUGAGGUGGAGGCUACACGGUCUCCGGUUCACGAGCCUCGGGUCGACGAGCCUCAGGUCGACGAGCCUUUGACCCACGAGACUCGUGUCCCAGAGGCUUCCUUCCACACGACUGCGGAGCACAGCAGGGAUGAGGGUACGUCCCAAGAGACCCAGUGGGAUACCUGGCCUGAGCCAACUGGCCAUGCUGGUAGCGAUGAGGAGCUGGGUGAGGGGGAUACCCAGUGGGAUACCGUCUACCAGGGAGGAGAAGAAGGAGGAGAAGGAGGAGAGGGNNNNNNNNNNNNNNNNNNNNNNNNNNNNNNNNNNNNNNNNNNNNNNNNNNNNNNNNNNNNNNNNNNNNNNNNNNNNNNNNNNNNNNNNNNNNNNNNNNNNNNNNNNNNNNNNNNNNNNNNNNNNNNNNNNNNNNNNNNNNNNNNNNNNNNNNNNNNNNNNNNNNNNNNNNNNNNNNNNNNNNNNNNNNNNNNNNNNNNNNNNNNNNNNNNNNNCUUCCUUCUCCUCCUCCUUCUUUUACUUCUUCUUCUCUUUCUCUUCUCAUAUAGUUAGCUAGGGUUCCACCUAAAUGACAUAAUUAGCUUAGUUAGCUCCAAAAUGGCCUAUUUAAUAAAAAAUGACCUAUACUUAGCUAAUUAUCCUCGAAAUGACAUAAUUAGCUCCAAAAAGGCAUUCUUAGCCAAUUUAGCCCGAAGAAGGGGACAAGAAGAGAAAAAGAGGAAAAUGAAAGCAAGGAAGAGGAAAAAGGAGAAGAAGGAGGAGAGGGAGGAGGAGAAGAAGAAGGGGACAAAAGGAUAAGAAGAAGGAAGAGGAGAAGGAGNNNNNNNNNNNNNNNNNNNNNNNNNNNNNNNNNNNNNNNNNNNNNNNNNNNNNNNNNNNNNNNNNNNNNNNNNNNNNNNNNNNNNNNNNNNNNNNNNNNNNNNNNNNNNNNNNNNNNNNNNNNNNNNNNNNNNNNNNNNNNNNNNNNNNNNNNNNNNNNNNNNNNNNNNNNNNNNNNNNNNNNNNNNNNNNNNNNNNNNNNNNNNNNNNNNNNNNNNNNNNNNNNNNNNNNNNNNNNNNNNNNNNNNNNNNNNNNNNNNNNNNNNNNNNNNNNNNNNNNNNNNNNNNNNNNNNNNNNNNNNNNNNNNNNNNNNNNNNNNNNNNNNNNNNNNNNNNNNNNNNNNNNNNNNNNNNNNNNNNNNNNNNNNNNNNNNNNNNNNNNNNNNNNNNNNNNNNNNNNNNNNNNNNNNNNNNNNNNNNNNNNNNNNNNNNNNNNNNNNNNNNNNNNNNNNNNNNNNNNNNNNNNNNNNNNNNNNNNNNNNNNNNNNNNNNNNNNNNNNNNNNNNNNNNNNNNNNNNNNNNNNNNNNNNNNNNNNNNNNNNNNNNNNNNNNNNNNNNNNNNNNNNNNNNNNNNNNNNNNNNNNNNNNNNNNNNNNNNNNNNNNNNNNNNNNNNNNNNNNNNNNNNNNNNNNNNNNNNNNNNNNNNNNNNNNNNNNNNNNNNNNNNNNNNNNNNNNNNNNNNNNNNNNNNNNNNNNNNNNNNNNNNNNNNNNNNNNNNNNNNNNNNNNNNNNNNNNNNNNNNNNNNNNNNNNNNNNNNNNNNNNNNNNNNNNNNNNNNNNNNNNNNNNNNNNNNNNNNNNNNNNNNNNNNNNNNNNNNNNNNNNNNNNNNNNNNNNNNNNNNNNNNNNNNNNNNNNNNNNNNNNNNNNNNNNNNNNNNNNNNNNNNNNNNNNNNNNNNNNNNNNNNNNNNNNNNNNNNNNNNNNNNNNNNNNNNNNNNNNNNNNNNNNNNNNNNNNNNNNNNNNNNNNNNNNNNNNNNNNNNNNNNNNNNNNNNNNNNNNNNNNNNNNNNNNNNNNNNNNNNNNNNNNNNNNNNNNNNNNNNNNNNNNNNNNNNNNNNNNNNNNNNNNNNNNNNNNNNNNNNNNNNNNNNNNNNNNNNNNNNNNNNNNNNNNNNNNNNNNNNNNNNNNNNNNNNNNNNNNNNNNNNNNNNNNNNNNNNNNNNNNNNNNNNNNNNNNNNNNNNNNNNNNNNNNNNNNNNNNNNNNNNNNNNNNNNNNNNNNNNNNNNNNNNNNNNNNNNNNNNNNNNNNNNNNNNNNNNNNNNNNNNNNNNNNNNNNNNNNNNNNNNNNNNNNNNNNNNNNNNNNNNNNNNNNNNNNNNNNNNNNNNNNNNNNNNNNNNNNNNNNNNNNNNNNNNNNNNNNNNNNNNNNNNNNNNNNNNNNNNNNNNNNNNNNNNNNNNNNNNNNNNNNNNNNNNNNNNNNNNNNNNNNNNNNNNNNNNNNNNNNNNNNNNNNNNNNNNNNNNNNNNNNNNNNNNNNNNNNNNNNNNNNNNNNNNNNNNNNNNNNNNNNNNNNNNNNNNNNNNNNNNNNNNNNNNNNNNNNNNNNNNNNNNNNNNNNNNNNNNNNNNNNNNNNNNNNNNNNNNNNNNNNNNNNNNNNNNNNNNNNNNNNNNNNNNNNNNNNNNNNNNNNNNNNNNNNNNNNNNNNNNNNNNNNNNNNNNNNNNNNNNNNNNNNNNNNNNNNNNNNNNNNNNNNNNNNNNNNNNNNNNNNNNNNNNNNNNNNNNNNNNNNNNNNNNNNNNNNNNNNNNNNNNNNNNNNNNNNNNNNNNNNNNNNNNNNNNNNNNNNNNNNNNNNNNNNNNNNNNNNNNNNNNNNNNNNNNNNNUCCUCCUCCUUUUACUUCUUCUUCUCUUUCUCUUCUCCUAUAGUUAGCUAGGGUUCCACCUAAAUGACAUAAUUAGCUUAGUUAGCUCCUAAAUGGUCUAUACUUAGCUAAUUUCUCUCCGAAAUAACCUAUAUAUACACUACUUCAUCUAGUAUUAUUUUUCUAACUUUCUUAUUUGUCAUUUUGCAGAUUACCUUCACUUCACGGGAAGCUUGGUUGAUGGAAUGCUUGAAGAUGAUUUCUUGUACCAUGUGUUGUAUUGAAACUACUGUAGUAUAUGAAUAUAUGAAACUUUGUAUGCACGUGGAUGAAACUAGUGUAAUAUAUGGUUUGGUACGGAUGUAACUUCCAUAAUAUGUAUGCACUAUGGAUGAGAGUUAUUUUAAUAUGGUUAUGAGUACAGAAAGAUAUUUAUUUAUGUCAAAUAUAUAUAUAUAUCCUGAUUAUUGUUAAAAAUGCUGGAUAUAACAAAAAACAAAUAAAAAAGGGGCUGGUUCCCCUCUUUGCCGUCUGCCCCAACAUGGCAAAGGGGGGGAGGCAGACGGCAAAGGGGGGAAUCUGCCCCCCUCUCUCCCCUCUUUGCCAUCUGCCCCCGCAUGGCAAAGGGGGGAGGAAGACGGCAAAGGGGGGAAUCUACCCCCCCUCUCCCCCCUCUUUGCCGUCUGCCCCCACAUGGCAAAGGGGGGGAGGCAAACGGCAAAGGCGGGAAUCUGCCCCCCUCUCUCCCCUCUUUGCCGUCUGCCCCCGCAUGGCAAAGGGGGGGAGGCAGACGGCAAAGGGGGGAAUCUGCCCCCCUCUCUCCCCUCUUUGCCGUCUGCCACCAAAUGGCAAAGGGGGGGAGGCAGACGCAAAGGGGGAGGCCUGCCGUUAACACUUAACGGGGACGUUGCAAUAUAUGCCGUCCCACUUAUUUUGCCGUCUGCCCCCUCAUGGCAAAGAUUCUUUGCCGUCCGCUUUGUGAAAGCAGACGGCAAAGAGCCUCUUCACCGGAUUUUUUUUUACCGUCUACUUUGCCGUCUGCUGACCGACGGCAAAGCCUUUGCCGUCCGUGGUAGCCCCCUUUGCCGUCCGCCUUGGCAGACGGCAAAUUUCUGAAUUUCAGUAGUGUAUGUGGCGCCUCGUCUGCCGAUGCCAAGUGUCCCCCAGGAUAAUCUCAUCAAUCAAGCGUUCAACCGAGACCCCGUCCUAUUUUUGGAUCGUGCUUCAAGUGUAGCAAGCCAGGACACUAUUCAAGGGAUUGUCCUCUGCGUGGUUUUGUUCCACCUCCUUCAGGAAUGGGUGUUGUUCGUUGCAAGGCACCAACCAGGAAGUUCAAGGAAAGGUCAGUUGCUCUGACUCGUGUAUGUGUGCACCAUGUAUCUGCAGAAGAAGCUCAAGAUGAGGAUGAUGUCGUGCUUAAGACGCUCCUUGUUAAUUCCCAUCCAUCUUCAGUUCUUUUUUACUCUGGAGCAUCUCAUUCCUUCAUCUCCGAACGUUAUGCCUCCUUGCAUAACAUUGCUUUCGUAGAUAUGCCCACCCCAUUAGUAAUUCAGGCUCCAGGUUCCAAAUGGCAAACUAAUGCAGUAAGUCAUGGGAACCAAAUCUUUAUUGAUGGUCUAGUAUUCCUUGCUUCCUUGAUACCUCUCAAGACUUCAGACAUCAAUAUCAUUUUGGGGAUGGACUGGUUGAUAGCUCAUCAUGCCAAAAUUGAUUGUUUCUCUAGAUCUGUUCAGCUCACCCAUACCUCUGGCCAGUUAGUAAAUGUCUCAUCUGGGGUUACAAAAUGCCAGAUAUAUGCCCUCAAUGCCAAUCCUCUUCCAGACCUUGAAAACAUCCCUGUAGUCCGUGAAUUUCCGGAUGCCUUUCCAGAGGAACUGCCAGGUGUUCCACCUGACAGAGAAGUAGAGUUUGUCAUAGAACUUGUCCCAGGAACUGCUCCAAUUGCUAGAAGAUCCUAUAAGAUGUCUCCUCAAGAAUUAGCUGAGCUUAAAACCCAACUUGAUGAAUCCUUGAAGAAAGGUUUCAUCCGUCCUAGCUCUUCCCCUUGGGCUUGCCCUGUCCUCUUCGUCAGGAAGAAGGAUGGUACGGAACGGAUGGUUGUAGAUUACCGACCGAUUAAUCUGGUCACGAUAAAGAACAAAUAUCCGCUCCCCAGGAUCAACGAUAUGUAUGAUCACCUCGCUGGAUCUGCAGUCUUUUCAAAGAUGGAUUUGAGAUUAGGUUAUCAUCAAAUCAAAAUUAGGAAUGGGGACAUUCCUAAGACGGCCUUUGUCACUCGUUAUGGCCAAUACGAGUACGCCGUCUUGUCCUUCGGUCUAACCAAUGCCCCAGCCACUUUCUCCCGCUUAAUGAAUUCGAUCUUCAUGGAGUACUUGGAUAAAUUCGUCGUGGUUUACCUCGAUGAUAUUCUAAUUUACUCGAAGAACGAAGAAGAACAUGCUGAGCAUCUUAGGCUGGUAUUGAUGAAACUUCGAGAGCACCGCCUUUACGCCAAAUUCUCCAAGUGUGAAUUCUGGUUACCAGAAGUGACCUAUCUAGGUCACGUAAUCUCGGCAAAAGGUAUUGUUGUCAAUCCCGAGAGAGUUUAGGCCGUUCUUGAUUGGACUCCACCUGAAUCGGUGAAGCAAGUUAGGAGUUUUCUUGGCUUAGCAAGCUAUUGCCGCCGCUUCGUCGAGAAUUUCUCCAAAAUUGCCAAACCUCUAACUGAACUUCUCAAGAAAGAUAAGAAGUUCGAAUGGACCCCACGGUGCCAGGAAAGUUUUCAGGAGUUGAAAAGACGACUGACUACUGCCCCGGUACUUGUGCCCCCAGAUUUCUCAAAGGACUUUAUUAUCUACUGUGAUGCCUCGUGACAAGGACUUGGAUGCAUUCUUAUGCAAGAUCGCCAUGUGAUUGCAUACGCAUCUCGACAGUUGCGUCCACAUGAGGAGAAUUAUCCAACACAGAUCUGGAACUUGCCGCUGUAGUCUACGCACUGUUAACCUGGCGACAUUACCUCCUGGGUAAUCGUUGCAAAAUAUACACUGAUCACCAGAGUCUCAAGUAUAUAUUCACCCAACCGGAUUUGAAUCUCAGGCAAAGACGGUGGGUUGAGUUGAUUACGGAUUACAAUUUAGGAAUAUCUUAUACCCCAGGAAAAGCCAAUGUCAUGGCUGAUGCACUAAGUCGUAAAUCCUAUUGUAACAACCUCAUGUUGCUGCAAAAUCAACCACUUAUCCAUGAGGAAUUUUGUAAGCUUAAUCUUCACCUUGUUCCUCAAGUAUUCCUUUCUACCUUGGUGUCGAAACCGACUCUUGAGGAUCAAAACAUAGCAGCCCAGAAACAUGAUACGGGAAUUUCCCGGAUCAAGAGCAUCAUCGCCAAAGGAGUUGCUAGUCGUUUCUUGGUAAAUGAAAAAGGUGUUGUAUUCUUUGAUAAUCGUUUGGUGGUUCCUAAGAAGCAACAACUUCGUGAUUUGAUUCUUAAGGAAGCUCAUGAAUCGCCUCUCACGAUUCAUCCCGGUAGCACUAAAAUGUAUCAGGACCUACGCCAGAGGUUCUGGUGGACCCGGAUGAAGAGAGAAAUCGCUCAAUUCAUUGCUAACUGUGACGUUUGUCGUCACGUUAAGGCAGAACAUCAAAGGCCUGCUGGCACCCUUCAACCCCUGGCUAUUCCCGAGUGGAAGUGGGACAAGGUUACUAUGGAUUUUAUCACUGGUUUUCCAAAGACCAAGAAAGGGAAUGAUGCCAUCUUUGUCGUCAUUGAUCGCUUUUCGAAAGUUGUUCACUUCCUUCCACUCCGAGAAAGUAUAACUUCUAGCCAGCUAGCAGACCUAUAUAUUUCUCGAAUAGUUUCUCUUCAUGGUGUUCCUCUCGAAAUCAAUUCAGAUCGUGGAAGUCUUUUUACUUCUUGAUUUUGGGAAAGUUUCCAAAAAGCUAUGGGAACUCAUAUUUCGUUUAGCACUGCUUAUCACCCUCAGUCAAGUGGUCAAGUAGAAAGAGUCAACCAAAUUCUUGAAGAUAUGCUCAGAGCCUGUGUUAUCUCAUUCGGAAUGAAUUGGGAGAAGUGUCUUCCAUUCACCGAAUUCGCUUAUAACAACAGUUUCCAGUAUAGUCUGGGCAAAGCUCCUUUCGAAGUUCUGUAUGGACGAAGAUGUCGAACACCAUUAAACUGGUCAGAAACCGGUGAAAGACAGUUCUUUGGACCGGAUAUGAUCCAGGAUGCAGAAGAGCAAGUUCGCAUUAUUCGUGAGAAUUUUAAAACUGCCCAAUCUCGUCAAAAGAGUUUGUAUGACCGCCGUCAUAAGGAAGUAAGUUAUGAAGUUGACGAGAAGGCUUACCUUCGGGUUUCACCUCUCAAAGGUACCCAUCUUUUCGGUAUCAAAGGCAAAUUGGCUCCUCGUUACAUUGGUCCUUUCCGUAUUCUCGCUAAACGAGGAGAGCUUGCCUACCAGUUAGAGCUGCCUCCUCAGCUUUCCAAAGUUCAUGAUGUGUUCCGCGUUUCUCAACUCAGGUGUUGCUUCAAGGACCCUGUCCGCGAAGUAGACCACGAAACGCUUGAUCUCCAAGAUGAUCUGUCAUAUCGAGAAUAUCCUGUUCGUAUUCUUGACGAAACCGAGCGUAGAACCCGACAUCGCAACAUCAAGUUUCUCAAGGUUCAGUGGUCUCAUCAUUCCGAGAAUGAAGCAACAUGGGAGCGCGAAGAUCGCCUUCGGCUUGAAUACCCCGAACUCUUCCCAACUACGCCUAAAUCUCGGGACGAGAUUCUUGUUUAGUGGGGGUGAGUUGUCAUAGCCCUAGCUUUCAUUUGUUUCCCAAGCAUUCAUGCAUGCAUUAUAAAAACUUUGAUGUUUAAAUAGGAAGUGAUCAAAGCUCCAAAUGUUUUGAUCAAUUGACAAGAAGGCAAUAAAAUUUAAUACCUUAAUUGGAACCAGAAAAAUGUUCCAAAAACUUGGCAAAAUAGUGACAUAAGGUAAAAUUGUCAAACCAAAAUUCUAGCACACAGGAACUUUUUAAAAAGGAUUUUUGAGUUGACUAAAUAGCUAUUUGGAAUGGAAUUAUUUUGGUUCCUUCUNCACUCCGAGAAAGUAUAACUUCUAGCCAGCUAGCAGACCUAUAUAUUUCUCGAAUAGUUUCUCUUCAUGGUGUUCCUCUCGAAAUCAAUUCAGAUCGUGGAAGUCUUUUUACUUCUUGAUUUUGGGAAAGUUUCCAAAAAGCUAUGGGAACUCAUAUUUCGUUUAGCACUGCUUAUCACCCUCAGUCAAGUGGUCAAGUAGAAAGAGUCAACCAAAUUCUUGAAGAUAUGCUCAGAGCCUGUGUUAUCUCAUUCGGAAUGAAUUGGGAGAAGUGUCUUCCAUUCACCGAAUUCGCUUAUAACAACAGUUUCCAGUAUAGUCUGGGCAAAGCUCCUUUCGAAGUUCUGUAUGGACGAAGAUGUCGAACACCAUUAAACUGGUCAGAAACCGGUGAAAGACAGUUCUUUGGACCGGAUAUGAUCCAGGAUGCAGAAGAGCAAGUUCGCAUUAUUCGUGAGAAUUUUAAAACUGCCCAAUCUCGUCAAAAGAGUUUGUAUGACCGCCGUCAUAAGGAAGUAAGUUAUGAAGUUGACGAGAAGGCUUACCUUCGGGUUUCACCUCUCAAAGGUACCCAUCUUUUCGGUAUCAAAGGCAAAUUGGCUCCUCGUUACAUUGGUCCUUUCCGUAUUCUCGCUAAACGAGGAGAGCUUGCCUACCAGUUAGAGCUGCCUCCUCAGCUUUCCAAAGUUCAUGAUGUGUUCCGCGUUUCUCAACUCAGGUGUUGCUUCAAGGACCCUGUCCGCGAAGUAGACCACGAAACGCUUGAUCUCCAAGAUGAUCUGUCAUAUCGAGAAUAUCCUGUUCGUAUUCUUGACGAAACCGAGCGUAGAACCCGACAUCGCAACAUCAAGUUUCUCAAGGUUCAGUGGUCUCAUCAUUCCGAGAAUGAAGCAACAUGGGAGCGCGAAGAUCGCCUUCGGCUUGAAUACCCCGAACUCUUCCCAACUACGCCUAAAUCUCGGGACGAGAUUCUUGUUUAGUGGGGGUGAGUUGUCAUAGCCCUAGCUUUCAUUUGUUUCCCAAGCAUUCAUGCAUGCAUUAUAAAAACUUUGAUGUUUAAAUAGGAAGUGAUCAAAGCUCCAAAUGUUUUGAUCAAUUGACAAGAAGGCAAUAAAAUUUAAUACCUUAAUUGGAACCAGAAAAAUGUUCCAAAAACUUGGCAAAAUAGUGACAUAAGGUAAAAUUGUCAAACCAAAAUUCUAGCACACAGGAACUUUUUAAAAAGGAUUUUUGAGUUGACUAAAUAGCUAUUUGGAAUGGAAUUAUUUUGGUUCCUUCUAUUUUAAAGUUUCAAAAAUGUUGAAACUUUUAUGUGGCAUUGGAUAUUAUUGUCUCUGUCACAUAAUAACAUUUUUGGGUUUUAUAUUUGGUCAAACUAUAUAUUUUAAAUCCUAAAAGUAAAUGCCAGAAAUAAAUAAAAGAGAAAUGGAAAAAACAACAGAAAAACUUACCUAUCGCCACCCUCCUGGCCCAUCCCACCAGAGGAGGGCCUCACCCUGUCGUCUUCCUCUUCUUGCCAAAAGGCAGGGGAUAAGGUGAGCACGGCAGCUCACCUCGCCACCUCCUGCUCGCGUGGAGCCUCCUCCUGCCUCCACCGCGCCAGCACGAGCCGUCUCUCCUUUAUCUUCUCCUUCCCCUGCUCUCUUUCUCUCCUCUCGCUCUCUGUCUCUCUCUCGCGCCACCAUUGCCGAUCUGCUCAAGCUCGUCUCUAGCUCGUCUCCGGCCACCUCUCGCCACCCCGACCGUCUCGUUAGCUCCGCCUCGGCAAGAAGCUCCUCACCGUCAACAAGCCCGAGCACCAGAGCCCCUGCAGCCUCGCAUCGACGUCUUCCUCCUUCUCCGGCAACCGGAAGCCGCCACCGUCGAUUCGGUCGGACCAUCGCCCCUUCUUCGCCACCGAUGCCAGAAACGGAAUCACUGUGAGCCCUCGAGUCUUUCCCCUCUUUCUCGCGCGCGAAUGAACCUCUAGAGCUACCUCCCCGUCGAGCUCCACUUUCGGCCACCGCUGGAGCUCGUCGCCGGCUCUUUCUCCGGCGAUUCCAGCCCCUCCUGCUACCCCUGCUCGAUCGGCCGUUUCACCUGCAUCCCGUAGCCGCAAACCGCAUGCCAAAUAGGGCCCUGUAGCCUCGGUUAGGGCAUCUCCAGCGAGCCUCUCCGCGGAUCUGGUCGCCGGCGACCACCCUCCGGUGGGCGCCAACGUGGCCGACCAUUAACACGCUAAUUAACCCCCCAUAGACGCUGACAGAGGGCCCCACAUAGAGUCAAACCUCACUUAGUGCGGGUCAGCGUGGGUUUAGUCUAUGGGUCACUGACCAGUGGACCCCACUGGUCAGGUUCACCUGGACCCGGCUGGUUGACCUGCUGACGCAGGGAUGACAUCAGCCUGACGCAGUAAUAGUUUCUGAUUUAAUUUAAUUCCAAAAAAUUAUUGAAACUUGUAAAAAUCAUAGAAAUUAAAAUAUAACUCUGAUGGAAAUAAUUUAUAUAUGAAAAAGUAUCAGAAACACGCAAGGAAUCCAUUGGUGGCAUUUAUACACAUGUUUGGACAUCUUAACCUUGCUGAAUAUGACCAAUUCAAAAUAGGCUUAUAAAUGAUAUAAUUGGAUUUUGAAAAUGACUUAUAUAGAUCAAAUAAACUUCUUUCAACCUAUGAUCACUUGUAUUAGAUGAAAUCAGCAUCAUGAUAACUUGCCAUGCUCAUGCAUCAUUGUGAAGCAUUUUCCGUGAUUAAUUUCUUUCGUUUGAUCUGUCCAUAGACCUUGCGAUAUGUAGUUAUCACCGGCAUCGAAGAAUAGCUGAGUUCUUCCGAUCAACAGGCAAGCAAAACCCCUUUGAACAUUCCGAAAAAAUCCUAUUCUCUCGCUCCUGCUCUCAUUUCUAUGCAUUAGGACAAAAUGAUUCAAUUGAUAGUUGUAUUACGAUAGCUGCACCUAUUCCUUUGCAUGACCUGAUUUUGAUUACAGUAAAUAGCUAAACCAAUGCAACCUAGCAUACCUGGUAGAUGCUUGAGCCAUAUGUGCUUUACCCUGUUACGCUUGCUACGCUUAGGUUGAGUUUGGUCCGAGCAUCGGAAUGAUGUAAUGGAAUGAUCAUGUCCUAUUGAUGAGAGUUAAAGAUGUGAAACUAUUCUGGUAAAGGUAGCGAUGAGAGGCCAUGUAGGAGUACAUGGUGGGUUGUCUCAUUACCGCCGCAUUUAGGACCCGAGAUCUUGUCUUGGUGUUCCAAGACUAGCUACUACCGCACAUUGGGUUCCGGUAACUCGUCCCCUCUCGGCCUAUUAACUACUCUGUUCUCAAUCGAGAAGUUGCAGUAGUUCGAAACGUUCAUAGGUUGUGGCACGACCUGCUAAGUGGAUGAACGGCCCAGUCGGGACCGGCUUGGGGCCCUGCUCACAUCGUUUGAGGCCAUGUUGGAAACCUCGGCCGGACUUCCAUUAUGGGUUCCAAUUCAGAUAGGUGACUGUCUUGGGCGUGAGUCUUAGUAGGUUAACGUCCGUGGCCAACUCCCUCGCUGGGCUUCCGCUUGAAGGUUGCCGAGGUGCUGGUUUUUAUGUGCACUUGGCGAUAAGUGGCGGAAACAUGUGUGACGAAGUACACCCUUGCAGGGUAUCUAUCUAUUCGAAUAGUCGCGUCCUCGGUUAUGGACUCCUUGGAUACUUACAUGGUUCAUAGAUAACUUUAAUGGUUACUCUAAAAUGGUCCAGAUAAGUGUGAGUGCUAUGGAUGGCUUUCUCGUAGGAUUACGAGAGAGGAUUCAUGGUGGUGUAUUGAUGUGGUGGUUAUGUGGACUCAUGUGCGCUCUCUCGUAAGGAGACGAGAGAGAUAAUAAAACUUUGUUGUAGAAUAGGUUAGCCAAAGGUCAAAGCUGGCUUCUCUGCAAUAAACCCCACAAAUUCCGUUCAUUGAUACUUGAUGCAUAUGUAGCUAUCAUUGAUGUAAGACUUGCUGAGUACCUUCGUACUCACUGUUGCUUAUUCACAUUUUUGCAGAAUAGACGCCGCUCUCUCUACGUUAUCUCUUGACGUUCACAUCGAUGGUUUAGUUUGGGAACCCAGACAAUGAUCUGGCUCCUAUGGUAGGGUCGUUGUAGCUUUUAGGUUCUUCCAGCCGCUUUUAGUAGAUGUCUGUACCCAGACAUGUAACUUCCACUUGAUGCUUGUAUGCUCUGAAUAUUGGGUCAUGUGACCCCUUUGGUUUGUAACACUAAACUAUGUUGGCUCUUCAGAGUCUAUUAAUUAAAUGAUGUGUUGUAGAGUUAUGUUGUGAUGCCAUGUUGUAUCUACACAUAUCGUGCAUAUUGUGUGUAUGUUCGCAAGGCAUUAGUAUGUGUGAGAUUAGACACCUAGUUGUGUGCCUUGAGUAGUACUCCAUACCGGGAAAUGCCUCUUUGUGCUUCCACCGAGCCUUGGUAGCUUGCUACUGCUCCGGACACAUUGAUUGACCGGCAUGUAUCCUUCUUGGUUGCUGUGUUUGUCCCCACGGGGAAAUGUCACGCGGUGUAAUGGAGUCCCUGUAGCUUGCUAUGACUCGUCUACAGUCGCUGAUUACCGACACCUGCCUUGCUGGGUUAUGUAUGCCUGUCCCUGUACGGAUGUGCCACUUGGGUUCAUAACUAGCCAUGUCAACCCAGGUUCUUUGACAUAUGAUUGCUGGCAACAUAGUCAUAUACGUGAGCCAAAAGACGCAAACGGUCCCGGCCUAGGUAAGGUGGCAACCGGGGUGAUUCCCGUGCGUGAGGCCACAAAGUGAUAUGAUGUGUACAUGCUGGAGUUGUAUGGCUUAGGAUCGGGGUCCCGACAGGUACUAGCCAUGGAAAAGUAAGAAUACAGUAAUCUAACACCAAUAUAAAUAGAAAUAAGGAUUGCUAUAGUACCUCAAGAGGUGGUAGUUUGUUUUCUUGUGCUAAUGAUAUCAAGAGUUUUUGUUUAAGUUUUGUGUUGUGAAGUUUUCAAGUUUUGGGUGAUGUUCUCAUGGACAAAGGGAUAAAGAGUGGAAAGAGAUCAAGCUUGGGGAUUCCCAAGGCAUCCCAAGACAAAUUCAAGGACACCAAAAAGCCUAAGCUUGGGGAUACCCCGGGAAGGCAUCCCCUCUUUCGUCUUCAAUCCAUUGGUAACCUUACUUGGAGCUAUAUUUUUAUUCACCACAUGAUAUGUGUUUUGCUUGGAGCGUCUUGUAUCGUAGGAGUCUUUUCUUUUUGUUGUGUCACAAUAAUCCUUGCUGCACACCUUUUGAGAGAGACAAGCACUCAUCGUGAAUUUGCUAGAAUACUCAUUGUGCUUCACUUAUAUCUUUUGAGCUAGACAAUUUUGCUCUAUGUGCUUCACUUAGAUCUUUUAGAGCACGGCGGUGCGUAACUUGGUAGUUGGCUUGUGCUAUGAAAGUAGUCCCAAAGGUGAUAGGUACCCAAAGAGGAUACAAUAAAACUUCCACCUUCAUGUGCAUUGAUUAGAAAGAGAAGUUUGAUUCCUCUCAAUUAGUUUUGAUACGUGGAUUCGGUAAUAUUAAGAGUUAUGUUAGUAGGGUGUUGUGAAUCUAGAAAUACUUGUGUUGAAGUUAGUGAUUCCCGUAACAUGCACGUAUGGUGAACCGCUAUGUUAGGAAGUCGGAUCAUAAUUGAUCUAUUGAUUGUCAUCCUUUGUGUUGCGGUCGCGAUCGCGCGAUGGUUAACACCUACCAACCCUUCCCCUAGGAGUAUGCGUUUAGCACUUUGUUUCAAUUACUAACAAAACUUUCGCAAUAAGUAUGUGAGUUCUUCAUGACUAAUGUGAGUCCAUGGUAUAGAUGCACUUUCCCUUUUCACCAUUGCUAGCCUCUCUAGUACCGCACAAUUUUCACCGGUGCACAAACCCAACAUAUGCCUUCCUCAAAACAGCCACCAUACCUACCUACUAUGGCAUUUUUAUAGCCAUUCUGAGAUAUAUUGCCAUGCAACUCCCACCGUUAUGUCUCAUGACAUGUGCUGUCACUCUCAUAUUUCCAUUGCAUGAUCGUAAGAUAGCUAGCGAGAUGUUUCAAUGUCAUACGCCAAGCUAGAUCGUUGCACAUCCCGGUAGACUGCCGGAGGCAUUUCCUAUAGAGUCAUCAUCGUUCUAAGUUUUGAGCUAUGAGUAAAUAAAAGUGUGAUUAUCAUUAUUAUUAGAGCAUUGUACCCUGUGAGGAAAUAAAACAAAAGGAGGCCAAAGUUGCCCACUGAUACGUCCAUUUUGCAUCAUUCUUUCAUGUUGAUAUUUAUCGCUUUUUGGGCUGUUAUUACACUUCACGGUACAAUCCUUAUGCAUUUUCUCUCCUAUUUUGCCAGGUUUAAAUGAAGAGGGAGAAUGUCGGCAGCUGGAAUUCUGGCCUGAAAAAGGAGCAAGUUUGAGAUGCCUAUUCUGCGCAACUCCAAAAGCCGUGAAAAUCAACGUGGAUUUUUUUCGAGAUUUACAAAAAAUACUGGACGAAGAAGUGCCAGAGGGGAGCCAGCAGGUGGCCACAAGCCUGCUAGGCGCGGCCACCCCCUGGUCGCGCCUAGGGGGCUUGUGAGCUCCCUGCUGGCCCAUUGGCUCCCCUAUUUUCCUACAAGAAGGGUUUCAGUCUGGAAAAAAUCAGGAGGAGGCCUUUCGGAGGAUUCGCCGCUGCCACGAGGCCGAACUUGAGCAGAACCAAUCUAGAGAUCCGGCAGGACGAUCCUGCCGGGGAAACUUCCCUCCCGGAGGGGGAAAUCAUCGCCAUCGUCAUCACCAACACUCCUCUCGUCGGAGGGGACUCAUCACCAUCAACAUCUUCAUCAGCACCAUCUCANACUGAUACGUCCAUUUUGCAUCAUUCUUUCAUGUUGAUAUUUAUCGCUUUUUGGGCUGUUAUUACACUUCACGGUACAAUCCUUAUGCAUUUUCUCUCCUAUUUUGCCAGGUUUAAAUGAAGAGGGAGAAUGUCGGCAGCUGGAAUUCUGGCCUGAAAAAGGAGCAAGUUUGAGAUGCCUAUUCUGCGCAACUCCAAAAGCCGUGAAAAUCAACGUGGAUUUUUUUCGAGAUUUACAAAAAAUACUGGACGAAGAAGUGCCAGAGGGGAGCCAGCAGGUGGCCACAAGCCUGCUAGGCGCGGCCACCCCCUGGUCGCGCCUAGGGGGCUUGUGAGCUCCCUGCUGGCCCAUUGGCUCCCCUAUUUUCCUACAAGAAGGGUUUCAGUCUGGAAAAAAUCAGGAGGAGGCCUUUCGGAGGAUUCGCCGCUGCCACGAGGCCGAACUUGAGCAGAACCAAUCUAGAGAUCCGGCAGGACGAUCCUGCCGGGGAAACUUCCCUCCCGGAGGGGGAAAUCAUCGCCAUCGUCAUCACCAACACUCCUCUCGUCGGAGGGGACUCAUCACCAUCAACAUCUUCAUCAGCACCAUCUCAUCUCCAAACCCUAGUUCAUCUCUUGUAACCAAUCUCCGUCUCGCGACUCCGAUUGGUACUUGUAAGGUUGCUAGUAGUGUUAAUUACUCUUUGUAGUUGAUGCUAGUUGGAUUACUUGGUGGAAGAAUUUAUGUUCAGAUCUUUGAUGCUACUCAUUACCUCUCUGGUCAUAAAUAUGAUUAUGCUUUGUGAGUAGUUACUUUUGUUCCUGAGGACAUGGGAUAAGUCAUGCUAUAAGUAGCCAUGUGAAUUUGGUAUUCGUUCGGUAAUUUGAUGUUUGUAUGUUGUUUUUCCUCUAGUGGUGUUAUGUGAACGUCGACUACAUAACACUUCACCAUUAUUUGGGCCUAGAGGAAUGCAUUAGGAAGUAGUAAGUAUAUGAUGGGUUGCUAGAGUGACAGAAGCUUAAACCCUAGUUUAUGCGUUGCUUCGUAAGGGGCUGAUUUGGAUCCACUAGUUUAAUGUUAUGGUUAGACUUUGCCUUAAUUCUUCUUUCGUAGUUGCGGAUGCUUGCGAGAGGGGUUAAUCAUAAGUGGGAUGCUUGUCCAAGUAAGGGCAGUACCCAAGCGUCGGUCCAGCCACAUAUCAAGCUAUCAAAGUAACGAACGUGAAUCAUAUGAACAUGAUGAGAACUAGCAUGACAGAAAUUCUCGUGUGUCCUCGGGAGCGUUUUACCUCCUAUAAGAGUUUGUCUAGGGUUGCCCUUGCUACAAAAGGGAUUGGGACACUUUGCUGCACCGUUGCUACUUUUUUUUACUUUCUACGAAUCAUCUCACCACACAACUACUUGUUACCGAUAAUUUCAGUGCUUGCAGAUAUUACCUUGCUGAAAACCACUUGUCAGAUCCUUCUGCUUAGGGAUGGCAAUGGGUACCGUUUACCCAAAACCCGAUGGGGUUUUCUUCCAUUAUGGGAUGGGGAUGAUAUAUAGCCAGCCCACAUGGGGAUAUUUAUGGAAGAAAUUCCUCCCCAUCGGGUGCAACGGGGGCGGGGCUGUUUCUAUAGUCCCCAGACCAGAACCCCACUAAGCCCGAUAAGCAUCAGACAUGUGGCCCAGUGAUUUGCCUAUAUAAUACAACCCUAGGUCAAACACUUGUAUUACCUCAGCCCGUCAGCCGCCGUCAAUUUCUAACCCUGUUUUACCUCCCCUACUGCCAUGAACUUUUUCAUCUACAUGUGGCACCGCCGCCUCGCGAUUGAGUGCCAUCUGCCCCUUGUAUGUUCCACAUAGGAAUAGGAUGGACUCCUCCACUCCUACCAACGACCAUUCACCACAGGUCAGAGACAAGGCUAUUGCGGACGGCUCGAAACUCCCCCUCCGGCAUCCAGGGAGCGGCCAACUUCCUGGGCGAAUCCAGGCUGGACACCAGCAGCUCCGUCGUUCAACUACUUCGAGUGUAGCCAACCCCAAGAAGAACAGGAACACAUGAGUAUCAUCUUUCUCUUGAUUUAUGCUGAUUUGGGAGGAUGAACAAACUGAUGUGAUUGCUAGAUUAUAGGCAUGCGUAGUUGUGUGAUUUUUAGAUCAGAGGCAAGCGGGGUUUCUUCAUCUUGUUAUAUUAAUAGCAUAUACGUACAUGUGAGUCUCAGAUUAAACAUGCGUACAUGUGAUUGCUAGGUUGGACUUAUGGGUAUAUUUUUUAUGUGUGAAUCGGUGAUGAACAUAUCUGUUUGUCUGGAUACUUGUCAAUUAUAUUUCUCAUAAAUUCCUUCUGUAUGUACCUAGUCCAAUUAAUUUGUGCAAAAGGGGAUUGUAAUUAGACCAUCCUGCAGGAAUGUAUAUGAACAACAACUUGUUUAUUUAGUACUCCCGCCGUCUCAAAAUUAAUGUAUCUAAUUAGCAUGCACUAAUCUGUAUGAAAGGUAAUAAAUAGGCCAUUUUGUAUGAACGCGUGUAAGCAGCAACCUGCUUACUUACUGUUAUUUAAAAUUAUCUAACAAGAUAUAUGCUUAUGUGUGUUUGUCAUAUAAGAUAAUAUCUUCAUGUGCAUAUAAGAUAUAAGUUUCAUUGCUUAAUUUCAAUUCUGAGUACCAACAAAUUUUAUUCCUUAAAUUUAUUUAUCAUAUACUAAUGUGAUGGCCCUUUUUUCUUGUCCAGUCCAACUUUUUUCAGCUGUAACAGGCACAUCACUGUCAGAGUCACAAGCAUCUGAGUCCGUCCAUGAACCUGCUGCGGAAGACGUUGAAGGUGACAAUGGUCCUGUAGAAAUUUCCGAUGAGGACGAGGGAGAAGACGAACAAGAUGUUUAGGUUGUUGGUUCAAAGAGAAGGAAGCUUACCUCACCUUUUUGGAGGCACUUUGAGAGAGUGAAAAUAAAGGGGAACUGGAAAGCCAAGUGUGCUUAUUGUAAAAAGAAGCUUGGAGGAGAAACAAAAAAUGGGACUAAGCAUCUCCAUGAUCAUCUGAGGAGUUGUGUUUAUGUGAAGAUCAAGAACAGGGGCAACACACUGGCUCAGACUUAUUUGACGUUUAACUCCCAAGAUGAAGGCAAAAUUUCACUUGAGAACUAUACUUUCGAUCAGGAUUUUGCUAGGAAGGAGCUUGCAGACAUGAUUGUUUUACAUGAGUAUCCAUUAUGUAUUGUUGAUCAUACUAGUUUUCGUAGAUUUGUUAGUGCAUUGCAGCCUCUGUUCAAAAAUGGUGACAAGGAACACUAUUAGGUAUGCAUUCAAUAUACCUCUCCAUCAUGGUUGUACUGUAUAUUAUUUAUUUUGAUAUUUAAGUGUUGAUUUUUAUUUUAUAGGAAUGACAUCAAGGCUCAUUAUGAAGAAGAAAGAAAAAGGGCAAUUGAGUACAUGGCUACCACUAAAUCUAGAGUGGCCAUCACAACUGCUAUGUGGACAUCCGAUCAUCAAAAGAAGGGCUACAUGGCCAUCACAACCCACUUUAUUGAUGAUAAUUGGAACCUUAGGAGUGUUAUUAUGAGGUAUUGAAAUUAGCAAUGUUGUUGUCUUGAGAUUAUCAAUACUUCUAUGUUGAACAUAUGAAUGUUGUUGUCUAAUAACUUGUCAAUAUUUAUUGUAUUUUGUCCAGGUUCAUUUAUGUGCCAGCUCCACAUACUUCAGAGGCUAUAUUAAAUGAACUGUACGAGUCUUUGGUUACUUGGAAUCUUGAUGAGAAGCUUUCCGCCGUGACAGUGGAUACCUGCACCUCAAAUGACAAGGCGGUUGAUCUCUUGCUGAAUAAGAUAGGGAAAUAGAAGCUAAUGCUGAAAGGUAUGAUGCUCCACAUGCGAUGUUGUGCACACAUUCUGAAUUUGAUAGUGAAGGAUGGUUUGGAUGUGUUGAAAGCUGCUACAGAAAAAAUUCGUAAGAGUGUAGCAUUUUGGACAUCCACCCCGAAAAGAGUAGAGAAAUUUGAGGAAAUUGCUAAGUUUCAGAAAGUUAAAAUGGGAAAAAAGUUGGCGCUGGACUGCAAGACUAGAUGGAACUCUACCUUCACCAUGCCCCAUACCGCUUUACCUUAUAAGGCUGUGUUCGAGCAUGCAAAGAAGGUUGAGAAACUAUAUGAUUGCUAUCCCAGUGAUUAUGAAUGGGCUUUUGCUUCUAAUGUGGUGAAGAGGCUAGAGUUAUUCUUUGAAGUAACUGAAGUGUUCUCUGGAACCAAUUAUGUCACUGCCAAUAUUUAUUUCCCCAAGAUUUGUGAAAUCAAAGAGAAAAUGAGACAAUGGUCCACUUCUGAUGAUGAAAUUAUAGCAGACAUGACAGCUAACAUGAAUGAGAAGAUUGAUAAAUAUUGGUCUAGCAUUAAAGGUCUCAUGGGUAUGGCUACUCUCCUUGACCCAAGACACAAAAAUGAAAUGUUGCUUGUUUGCUUCUCUAGCCUACAUUGUGUUAGUCCUGAAGAGUGGCAUGGUCAUGUUUCAGAAGUCAUUGCUUCAUUAUGUAGCUUGCUGGAAGAAUAUCAGGAUGAAAACAAGGAUGAGGAUGGAGAAUCAUCACACUCCUCAUUGACAACAACAAAAGCUACAACUUUAAUGCCAGUUUUCAAUGCACGCAUUGCUCAGAAAAGGCCAGCAACUUAUAGGUCUGAGUUAGACCAGUACUUGAUGGAUGAUUUGGUUCCAUUGAGCAAAGAGAACUUUGAUGUGUUGGACUGGUGGAAAUCAGCUGGUAGACGAUACCCUACUUUGAAAAAAGUAGCAAGAGACAUUUUUGCUAUUCCGGUAACAACUGUUGCAUCAGAAUCUGCUUUUAGCACAAGUGGGAGGGUUCUUAGUGACCAUCGUAGCCGUCUAAGUCCUCCCAUAUUGGAGGCACUAAUGUGUUCACAAAAUUGGCUUAGGAACAAGUACAAAUGUAAGCUGACUUGUUUUCUUUGUUGUUGCACUUCUGUGUUGUGUAAAUAUAGCUCGUUGUUCACUUGUUUAUUUGCACAGAUGCCCCCAAAGGAGAUGUUACACGUUUCUGGUGUUGUCUUGAAGACAUUCAGGAGGGGAUGCAGGUACUCUCGGAAAUACAUUUUGGUAAUAUAGAAGUAUAUUUCAUUUCGCCAUUUAACUAAGUUCACAUUGCCAUGCAGGAUUUGGCACUUUGACUAAUACAAGAAGCUGAAGUUGCUGGUGAAGUUGGUCUUCCAUCAUCGAAUAAGAAUUCAACUAGUGUGCUACUAUUUCUAUCAGUCAGAUGAACUUUCUUUUAAGUUAUGUGUGGUGUGUCGUCAAUAUUGCAUGAUUCAUGUAAUAUUUUAGGCUUCAUAAACGUUUGUCGUCAACCUUUAUCUAUUAUCAUUGUGUCAUGGCAUUUGGCAUGCUCUUGUGCUGCUUCUUGGUAUGAUAUUUAAAUUUUCUUUUUGAGUUGCUCGCAUGAUGUUGAAUGUUGAUGAUCACAUCUUACUACUUCUUAAUAAUGUUUGUUAGAUAAUUAUAUCUUUGUUUCUCUCAAUGUACCACACUCAUGUGUAUACUCUACAAUUUACUAAAAUAUAGUAGUUGAUAUUGUAUGCAGGGAUGGGGAUAUGGGUUGUCCGUAGGUCUGCUACACCCGACAGCGGAUGGGGACGGGGAAAAUUUGUCCCCGAGGAUGUAGAUGGGGAUGGGAAUUGGCUGAUUGUUCUCUCACGGGGACGGGGGAUAAAAUAUACUCCUCGGCCGGGUGCAGACCCGUUUCCAUCCCUACUUCUGCUCCUCGUUGGGUUCGACACUCUUAAGGGCAGUACCCAAGCGCCGAUCCACCCACAUAUCAAACUAUCAAAGUAACGAACGUGAAUCAUAUGAACAUGAUGAGAACUAGCAUGACAGAAAUUCCCGUGUGUCCUCGGGAGCGUUUUACCUCCUAUAAGAGUUUGUCCAGGCUUGUCCCUUGCUACAAAAGGGAUUGGGACACUUUGUUGCACCGUUGCUACUUUUUUUACUUGCUACGAAUCAUCUCACCACACAACUACUUGUUACCGAUAAUUUCAGUGCUUGCACAUAUUACCUUGCUAAAAACCACUUGUCAGAUCCUUCUGCUCCUCGUUGGGUUCGACACUCUUACUUAUCGAAAGGACUAUGAUAGAUCCCCUAUACUUGUGGGUCAUCAAAACUCUUUUCUAGCGCCGUUGCCAGGGAGUGAAGCGCCUUUGGUAAGUGGAACUUGGUAAGGAAACAUUCAUAUAGUGUGCUGAAAUUUAUUGUCACUUGUCACUAUGGAAACCAAUCCUUCGAGGGGCUUGUUCGGGGUAUCUUCACCUCGAACGGAAGCACAAAGAGUUUCUCCUUAACCUACUGCACCUACUGAAAAUAUUUUCUAUGAAUUUCCUUCGGGUAUGCUUGAAAAACUGUUGGCUAAUCCUUUUACAGGAGACAAAACAUCACAUCCAGACUUGCAUCUAAUCUAUGUAGAUGAAGUUUGUGGUUUAUUUAAGCUUGCAGGUUUGCCCGAGGAUGAGGUCAAGAAGAAGUUAUUUCCCUUAUCUUUGAGGGAUAAGGCGUUGACAUGGUAUAGGCUAUGUGGUGAUACUGGAUCAUGGAACUACAAUCGGUUGAAAUUGGAAUUUCAUCAAAAGUUUUAUCCUAUGCAUCUAGUACAUCGUGAUCGGAAUUAUAUUUAUAAUUUUUGUCCUAGUGACAGAGAAAGCAUCGCUCAAUCUUGGGGGAGGCUUAAAUCAAUUUUAUAUUCAUGCCCCAACCAUGAGCUCUCGAGAUAAAUUAUCAUUCGGAACAUCUAUGCUCGGCUUUCUCAUGAUGAUCGCACCAUGCUUGACACUUCUUGUACCGGUUCUUUUAUGAAGAGAGAUAUUGAAUUCAGAUGGAAUUUGUUGGAGAGAAUUAAACGCAACUCUGAAGAUUGGGAUCUUGAUGAAGGUAAGGAGUCAGGUGUGAAUUUCAAGUUUGAUUGCGUUAAAUCCUUUGUUGAAACAAAUACUUUUUCUGAUUUUAGCGCUAAGUAUGGACUUGACUCUGAGAUAGUAGCUUCAUUGUGUGAAUCCUUUGCUGCUCAUAUUGAUCUCCCCAAAGAGAAGUGGUUUAAAUAUCAUCCUCCCUUAGAAGUCAAUGUAGUUAAUCCCAAUCCAGUUGAAGAUAAAGUCAUUGCCUAUAAUGAUCCUAUUGUUCCCAGUGCUUACAUUGAGAAACCACCUUUCCUUGUUGGGAUAAAGGAUCAUUCUAAAGCUUCAAAUGUGAUACGUAGAGGCUACAUUAGAACACCUACACCCCCUGAGCAAAUUAGAGUUGAACCUAGCAUUGCUAUUAUCAAAGAUCUCCUCUCCGACAAUGUUGAUGGCCAUAAUAUUCACUUCUGGGAAGAUGCUGCUAGAAUUGCUAAACCACACGCUAGAGACAAACAUAGGCAUGUUGUUGGCACGCGUGUUAUUUCUGUUAAAAUAGGAGAUCAUUGUUAUCAUGGUUUAUGUGUCGUGGGUGCUAGUGUUAGUGCAAUACCUCUCCUUAUAUGAUGAAACUAAAGACGAGAUUGCACCUGUUGAGAUAGAGCCUAUUGAUGUCACUAUUCAGCUUGCCAAUAGAGAUACUAUCUGCCCUGUGGGAAUUGUUAGGGAUGUUGAAGUCUUGUGUGGUAAAACAAAGUAUCCUCGUUAUUUCCUUGUUCUUGCUACCACCCAAGAUAGCUUUUGUCCCAUCAUAUCUGGCAGACCUUUUCUCAAUACUGUCAAUGCUCAUAUUGACUGUGAGAAGAAAACUGUCAGUGUUGGCUUUGAAGGUGUGUCACACGAGUUCAGUUUCUCCAAGUUUUGUAGAAAACCUCAUGAAAAGGAGUUGCCUAGUAAGGAUGCAAUUAUUGCCCUAGUUUCUAUUGUCGUGCCUCCUACUGAUCCUUUAGAGAAAUACUUGCUUGAGCAUGAAAAUGAUAUGCAUAUGCAUGAAAGGGAUGAGAUAGAUAGAGCUGUCUUAGAACAAUAUUCUAUCCUUAAGAACAAUUUGCCUGUUGAACUGCUUGGGGAUCCACCCCCGCCAAAGGGUGAUCCUGUGUUCGAGCUUAAACAGUUGCCAGAUACUCUUAAGUAUGCUUAUCUUGAUGAAAAAGAGAUACAUCCUCUUUAUUAUUAGUGCUAGCCUCUCAAAGCAUGAAGAAAAGAAGUUACUAAAAACUCUGAGGAAGCACCAUGCUGCUAUUGGAUAUACUCUUGUUGAUCUUAAGGGCAUUAGUCCCACUCUAUGCCAGCACAAGAUUAAAACCAAUCCUGACUUCAAACCAGUUGUUGAUCAUCAACGGAGAUUAAAUCCUAAGAUGAAAGAGGUAGUAAGAAAAUAAAUACUAAAGCUCCUGGAGGCAGGUAUUAUCUAUCGUGUUGCUCAUAGUGAUUGGGUGAGUCCGGUGCAUUGCGUUCCUAGGAAGGGAGGUAUUACUGUUGUCCCUAAUGAUAAGGAUGAAUUGAUCCCACAUAGGAUUAUUAAUGGCUAUAGGAUGGUGAUCAAUUUUAGGAAAUUGAAUAAAGUCACUAGGAAAGAUCAUUACCCUUUGCCUUUUAUCGACCAAAUGCUAGAAAGAUUGUCUAAACACACACACUUCUGCUUUCUAGAUGGUUAUUCUGGUUUCUCCGAAAUACCAGGUGCACAAUCUGAUCAGGAGAAAACCACUUUCACCUGCCCUUUCGGUACCUUUGCUUACAGACGUAUGCCUUUUGGCUUAUGUAAUGCACCUGCCACCUUUCAAAGAUGUAUGAUGGCUAUAUUCUCUGACUUUUGUGAAAACAUUGUUGAGGAUUUCAUGGAUGACUUCUCCGUUUACGGGUCUUCUUUUGAUGAUUGCCUCAGCAACCUUGAUCGAGUCUUGCAGAGAUGUAAACAUACCAAACUUGUCUUGAAUUGGGAGAAGUGCCACUUUAUGGUUAAUGAAGGCAUCGUCUUAGGACAUAAAAUUUCUGAAAGAGGUAUUGAAGUCGAUAAGGCUAAGGUUGAUGCAAUCAAGAAAAUGCCAUACCCCACAAAUAUCAAAGGUAUAAGAAGUUUCCUUGGUCAUGCUGGUUUCUAUUGAAGGUUCAUUAAAGACUUCUCUAAGAUUUCUAGGCCUCUUACCAAUCUCUUGCAAAAGGAUAUUCCUUUUGUUUUUGAUGAUGAUUGUGAGGAAGCCUUCGAAAUACUUAAGAAGGCUUUGAUAACUGACCCUAUUGUUCAACCACUUGAUUGGAACUUACCUUUUGAAAUCAUGUGUGAUGCUAGUGAUUAUGUUGUUGGUGUUGUCGUAGGGAAAAGAUUUGAUAAGAAGUUGAAUGUUAUUCACUAUGCUAGUAAAACUCUAGAUAGUGCCCAAAGAAACUAUGCUACUAUGGAAAAGGAAUUUUUAGUAGUCGUGUUUGCAAGUGAAAAGUUCAGAUCUUACAUAGUUGAUUCCAAAGUCACUAUUCACACUGAUCAUGCUGCUAUUAAGUACCUCAUGGAGAAGAAAGACGCUAAACCUAGACUUAUCAGAUGGGUUCUCUUGCUACAAGAAUUUGAUUUGCACGUUGUCGACAGGAAGGGUGAUGAUAACCCCAUAGCAGAUAGCUUGUCUAGGUUGGAGAACGUUCUUGAUGACCCACGACCUAUUGAUGAUAGCUUUCCUGAUCAGUAAUUGAAUGUCAUCAAUACUUCACGUAGUGCACUGUGGUAUGCUGAUUAUGCAAACUAUAUAGUUGCAAAAUAUAUACCACCUAGUUUCACAUACCAGCAAAAGAAGAAAUUCUUCUUUGACUUGAGACAUUACUUUUGGGAUGAUCCUCACCUUUAUAAGUAAGGAGUAGAUGGUCUUAUUAGACGUUGUGUACCUGAACAUGAACAGGGACAUAUCCUACAGAAGUGUCACUCUGAGGCCUACGGAGGACACCAUGCGGGAGAUAGAACUGCACACAAGGUACUGCAAUCAGGUUUCUAUUGGCCCACUCUCUUCAAGGAUGCCCGUAAGUUUAUCUUGUCUUGUGACGAAUGUCAAAGAAUAGGUAAUAUCGGUAAACGUCAAGAAAUGCCUAUGAAUUAUUCACUUUUCAUUGAACCAUUUGAUGUCUGGGGCUUUGAUUAUAUGGGACCUUUUCCAAAAUCCAAAGGGUAUACUCAUAUCCUAGUUGUUGUUGAUUACGUCACUAAGUGGGUAGAAGCUAUCCCAACUAGUAGUUCUGAUCACAACACCUCUAUCAGGAUGCUUAAAGAAGUUAUUUUACCAAGAUUUGGAGUCCGUAGAUAUCUAAUGACCGACGGUGGUUCACAUUUCAUUCAUGGUGCUUUCCGUAAAACGCUUGCUAAGUACGAUGUCAACCAUAGAAUUGCGUCUCCAUAUCACCCUCAGUCCAGUGGUCAAGUAGAGCUAAGCAAUAGAGAGAUUAAAUUGAUUCUGCAAAAGACUGUCAAUAGGUCUAGAAAGAAUUGGUCUAAGAAGCUCGAUGAUGCACUAUGGGAUUAUAGAACUGNNNNNNNNNNNNNNNNNNNNNNNNNNNNNNNNNNNNNNNNNNNNNNNNNNNNNNNNNNNNNNNNNNNNNNNNNNNNNNNNNNNNNNNNNNNNNNNNNNNNUCGAAAAUCCCAGCAAGAAGAGCAAGAAUACGGUUUGAGCUGCAGAACGAUUUUUUCUGGAGGUAGGGGAAGCAGAUGGGAGCUAGAAUGAGUGGAGGCGAUGCACAUGGGCCCCACAAGCCAGGUAGGCGCGCCCAGGGGGGUGCCCGUGCCUCCACGGCUUGUGGCCCACUGGUGCAGCCCCCAGACUAGCUCUUCGUCUCAGUAUUUUUAAAAAAUUCCAGAAAAAAUCAUACUUGAUUUUCAGGACGUUUGGAGAAUUUUUAUUUUCAGGGUACUUUUCCACGGGACGCUAAAACAGAAAACAGGGAAAACUAAACUAAACCUAUCAUUUUUAUUNCAAAGGUGAAAGCUUGGAUAGAGGUUUGUGACUCUUCGAUUCAUCCAUAUCAUGGUCAUCAAAAGGAAUCCGUCAAUGAGGUUGAUCAAGUCAACUUGACAAACCUUUUCGAAUCGCAAAAAGAGAACGAAGAAUUUUCGAAUAGUCACUAGGUUACCUCAAUGGGGAUGUGUAUCUCCCCAACAAGCAAAUCAUACUUCAUCUUAACAGGAGGAAUAGGGCAUUCAAAGCUCCCAAUAAGAGUCGAUGAAGUUUUUUCGAUAGCAUUGAUGCAAUGUACUCGAUAUUGUUUCUUCGGAAAGUGCACCGUAUGCUCAUUACCGUUGACAUGGAAAGUGACAUUGCCUUUGUUGCAUUCUAUAACAGCCACUGCAGUGUUUAAAAAGGGUCUUCCGAGGAUGACCGCCAUGGCAUCGUCCUCGGGAAUAUCCAGAAUAGCAGAGUCCGUUAAGAUAGUAAUGUUAGCAACCACAACAGGCACAUCCUCGCAAAUGCCGAUAGGGAAAGCAGUUGAUUUGUCGGCCAUUUGCAGAGAGAUUUCAGUGGGUGUCAACUUAUCCAGUUCAAGUCUACGAUAAAGAGAGAGAGGCAUAACACUAACACCGGCUCCAAGGUCGCAUAAAGCAGUCCUAACGUAGUUGCCUUUAAUGGAGCAAGGUAUAGUGGGCACACCGGGAUUACCUAGUUUCUUAGGAGUUACACCCUUGAAGGUGUAAUUAGCAACCAUGGUGGAAAUCUCAACCUCAGGUACCCUCCUCUUAUUAGUCACAAUAUCCUUCAUGUACNNNNNNNNNNNNNNNNNNNNNNNNNNNNNNNNNNNNNNNNNNNNNNNNNNNNNNNNNNNNNNNNNNNNNNNNNNNNNNNNNNNNNNNNNNNNNNNNNNNNUUGAUUGAAGUCUUCAUCGUUCGCCCUGAUCGAUUCCGCUGAGUAGUACGUCCGAGUGAACUUAAGAAUUGAAGUAGAUCCGAGUGACCAACAGGAUCUUGAGACUCUGACUGACUGCUGGUAGUCGGUUGGAAUCUGUUGGAUCUGUUGAACUUGGAUGUUGUAGGUGAACCUGACCAAGCAGAAUGUUUCUUUUUGUAUUUCUCUUCCUGUGGGGGCACGCUCAGUGCACCCACUGGGUGUAGUCCCCGAGCCUUAGUCGGACUAGAUGAGUCUGGCAGAGGGUUUAAGACUUCCAGUGCUUGUCAUGUUGAAUGUUUGUUGAAUCUGCAUUAUAUGAUUUCUGGAUCAAAGUCAAGUCUCCGAGUGUAUUUUUUAACUUAGGCGAUACGGGGUCGCAGCUAAGUUCUCGAGUGUGGAGCGUGUCUGUACUCGGAGUAGUUUUAACUUAGGCGAUACAGAGUCGCAGUGAAGCCCCCGAGUGCGGAGCAUGUCCGCACUCAGAGUUGUUUUUAACUUAGGCGAUACGGAGUCGCAGCUAAGCCCCCGAGUGUGGAGCAUGUCCGCACUCGGAGUUGUUUUGAACUUAGGCGAUACGGAGUCGCAGCUAAGCCCCCGAGUGUGGAGCAUGUCCGCACUCAGAGUUGUUUUUAACUUAGGCGAUACAGAGUCGNNNNNNNNNNNNNNNNNNNNNNNNNNNNNNNNNNNNNNNNNNNNNNNNNNNNNNNNNNNNNNNNNNNNNNNNNNNNNNNNNNNNNNNNNNNNNNNNNNNNCCUGGACUCACGUUGUUUUCAGCAAAAUUGCCUUGGUGUUAUUUUUGUGCAGAAAUCAAAGUUCUCCAAACGUCCUAAAAAUUUACGGGGAGCAGUUUUGGAAAAUAUCAAAAAUAUUUGCGCCAAGUUCCACCUCAGGGGGAUGGGCCAGUGGGCCACAAGCCCCUGCUCCGCCACCACCCCCCUGGUGGCGGUGGGCAGGCUUGUGGGGCCCACAGGCACCUGCCCCCCCAACUCCAGCUCUAUAAGUUGUCUUUCGUCCCAGAAAAAAUAAAAAGAGAAGUUUUCGUCGCGUUUUCGAUACAGAGGCGCCGCCACCACCUGUUCUUCAUCUGGAGGGCAGAUCUGGACUCCGUCUUGGGCUCCGGAGAGGGGAAAUCGUCGCCAUNUUCUUCAUCUGGAGGGCAGAUCUGGACUCCGUCUUGGGCUCCGGAGAGGGGAAAUCGUCGCCAUCGUCAUCAUCAACCUUCUUCCCUCUCCAAUUCCAUGAAAUUCUUCGUCGUUCGUGAGUAAUCUAUUCGUAGGCUCGCUGGGCGGUGAUGAGUAGGAUGAGAUCUAUCAUGUAAUCGAGUUAGUUUUGAUGGGGAUUGAUCCCUAGUAUCCACUAUGUUCUGAGAUUGAUGUUGCUACUACUUUGCCAUGCUUAAUGCUUGUCACUAGGGUCCGAGUGCCAUGAUUUCAUAUCUGAACCUAUUAUGUUGUCGCCAAUAUAUGUGUGUUCUUGAUCCUAUCUUGCAAGUUGUAGUCACCUANNNNNNNNNNNNNNNNNNNNNNNNNNNNNNNNNNNNNNNNNNNNNNNNNNNNNNNNNNNNNNNNNNNNNNNNNNNNNNNNNNNNNNNNNNNNNNNNNNNNGUAGUAAAAGACUCGUAGGUAGUGGAUCGGUGAUGUAUGAGUGUGACGGAUGUGAUUCAUCAUGUAAUAGCUAUAAUACGGAGAGAGACGUGGCUAGCUCCCGUUCAUGAAUCUAAUGUAGGCAUGUAUUUCGUACGUAGUCAUACGUGCUUAGGGAAAAGAACUUGCAUGCACAUCUAUUGUCCAUCCCUCCUGUGGCAGCGGGGUCCUAAUGGAAACUACGGGAUAUUAAGGUUCUCCUUUUAAUAAAGAACCGGACUAACGCAUUAACAUGCGGUGAAUACAUGAACUCCUCAUACUAUGGUCAUCUCCGGGAGUGGUUCCGGCUAUUGUCACUCCAGGGUUGCCGGGUCAUAACACAUAGUAGGUGACUACAACUUGCAAGAUAGGAUCUAAAACACACAUAUAUUGGCGACAACAUAAUAGGUUCAGAUCUGGAAUCAUGGCACUCGGCCCCUAGUGACAAGCACUAAGCGUAGCCAAGUAGUAGCAACAUCAAUAUAGAACAUAGUGGAUACUAGGGAUCAAUCCCCGUCAAGAACUAACUCGAUUACAUGAUAGAUCUCAUCACACUCAUCACCGUCUAGCAAGCCUACGAUGAGAUUACUCACGAACGAUGAAGAGCAUCAUGGAAUUGUCGAUGGAGGAAGGUUGAUGAUGACGAUGGCGAUUAUUUCCCUCUCCGGAGCCACGAACGGACUCCAGAUCUGCCCUCCAAAUGAAGAACAGGAGGUGGCGGCGCCUCCGUAUCGUAAAACGCGAUGAAACCUUCUCUCUGAUUAUUUUCUAGGCGAAAGGGAAGAUAUAGAACUGAGAUUGGGGGCGGUGGUGCCACGUGGGCCCCACAAGCCUGCAUGGCGAGGCCAUAGGGGGUGGCCACCGCCUGUGGGCUUGUGGCCCACUGGCACGCCCCCUCAUGUGGAACUUUGCGCAGGUAUUUUUCUUUUAUUCCAGAAAAAAUCUCCGUAAAUUUUCAGGACGUUCCGAGAACUUUUGUUUGUGCACAAAAACAACACCAUNNNNNNNNNNNNNNNNNNNNNNNNNNNNNNNNNNNNNNNNNNNNNNNNNNNNNNNNNNNNNNNNNNNNNNNNNNNNNNNNNNNNNNNNNNNNNNNNNNNNGCACAGGAAAAUAUAUGCUAGCAGCUCUGGUGCAAGACACUCCUCUCUCCUCUCCUACAGCAAUAGUAUCGAUGAAAGCCUCCAAGUCCCGUGGACAAGGUUCAUGAAUAUCCCCAACAAAACGCAAUUUGCAAACAUUGCGAAAAUCCUGGAGUGACAUGCGCUGCGGGAUAUCAUAAAGUUCGAACUCAACCAUAGGAGGAUUCUUCCUCGGAUAGAAGUUAAAGCUUUGUACGAAGAUAUUAGUGAGGAGGAGGUAUUGCGGACACUUAUCUUCAAUGAAGGCAGUAAGGCCUGCGUUCUCCACCAAGUGAUAAAAGUCCUCAUAAAGUCCGGCGGCGCGUAAGAACACAUCGCUUGGCCACUCGCACGCUCGAACUUCUGCGACUCGAGGGACCAGAUACUUGGGCUUCUUCUCACUUCCAUCAUCCUUGGGGUCACGGCUUGAAGAGCCUCUUAAGAACCUCCUCAUCUUUUCCCUUUUCUAUCUCUGAAAAUUUCUGAAAUUUUAGUGACUCAAGGAAAAGUGAACAAGGCUCAACAAAACUCAUAGCAAAUACUCCCACAAGUGCCUAGAGGCCAUAUUACGCAUCAAAACUUCUUGGGACCAGCUAAAAUUAGCAUGCAAAGCUCAAGAGCAGGGUCACCAAGGCAGCAAAAAUACGCGAAGUAUAAGGCACUAUAGCAAAAACUAAUUGGACCAAUGGAGGAGUCACUUACCAAGGAGUAAUUUCCCCAAAACAGUUCGGAGAACGGUGCUUUGAGUAAAGAGAUCAAAAAUCCCAGCAAGAGGAGCAAGAACACGGGUUUGAGCUGCGAAACGAUUUUUUUCUGGAGGUAGGAGAACCAGAUGAGAGCAAGAAUGAGUGGAGGGGGUGCUUGUGGGCCCCCACAAGCCUGGGUGGCGCAGCCAGGGGGUGCCCGCGCCCCAAGGGCUUGUGGCCCACUGGUGUAGCCCCCAGACAAGCUCUUUGUCUCAGAAUUUUUCCAAAAUUCCAGAAACAAUCAUACUUGAUUUUUAGGACUUUCGGAGAACUUUUAUUUUCGGGGUACUUUUCUAGGAGACACUAAAACAGAAAACAUGGAAAAUUAAACUAAAUCUAUCAUUUUUCUCCUAAGCAACCUAAAGUGAAAGCUUGGAACAGAGGUUUGUGACUCCUCGAUUCAUCCAUCACAUGGUCAUCGAAAGAAAAUCCGUCACUGAGGUUGAUCAAGCCUCUUGGACAAACCUUUUCGAAUUGCAAAAGAGAACGGAGAAUUUUCGAAUAGUCACUAGGUCACCUCAAUGGGGAUGUGUAUCUCCCCAACAAGCAAAUCAUACUUCAUCUUGACACGAGGAAUAGGGCAUUCAAAGCUCCCAAUAAGAAUCGAUGAAGUUUUUUCGAUAGCAUUGAUGCAAUGUACUCGAUAUUGUUUCUUCGGAAAGUGCAUGCUCAUUACCGUUGACAUGGAAAGUGACGUUGCCUUUGUUGCAAUCUAUAACAGCCCCUGCAGUGUUUAAAAAGGGUCUUCCGAGGAUGACAGCCACGACAUCGUCCUCGGGAAUAUCCAAGAUAACAAAGUCUGUUAAGAUAGUGACGUUAGCAACCACAACAGGCACAUCCUCGCAAAUGCCGAUAGGGAAAGCAGUUGAUUUGUCGGCCAUUUGCNNNNNNNNNNNNNNNNNNNNNNNNNNNNNNNNNNNNNNNNNNNNNNNNNNNNNNNNNNNNNNNNNNNNNNNNNNNNNNNNNNNNNNNNNNNNNNNNNNNNAAGCCACUACUGUUAAACUAUAUUCAUAAAUUGUCGGAUAAAACACAAACUAAUCAUAGACAGUAAUCUCAACAGUAUAAUAUAAUUAGAAAACUAUUACUUUACCGAUUAUAGCUGUAAGUGGGACCUUCGGAACCCUCGCAUAAAAUCAGCAAAUAAAUCGGUAGACACUAGAACGGUCAUUACAACACAGAUCUGGGACAUUACCGGAAUAACUCAACCUCGGCUCAAGACGUCUGGAAAGCAGCUCGGAGCAUGAGACGGUGUUGAUAAGAAGAAAGUAGCGGUUCCCUAAGACGGCCGAAGCAUAGCUCAGAGCAUAGGAUCACUGCUACAGAAAGAAAUUCAACAGUUGCCCGCGACGGCCGGAAAGCAUCUCAGAACACGGGACAGUUGUUGACAAGAGAAAUAUAACAUUGGCAUCCACCCCGGUCGGCCGGAAAUAGCACAGACUCAGGCAUGGUGCCAGUAUUGAAGAAAAUGCGAGCAAGGGUUCGUCAGCGUCNCCAGUAUUGAAGAAAAUGCGAGCAAGGGUUCGUCAGCGUCACAUACAUCACCUCACUAUGUACUCGGAUAUAUGCAUUAUUAAAUAUGUAAGAGCAACAUAUGAGGGCGUAUGUUGGAUGAAAAGUAGCACUAGGAACUUUUAUUAAUGUCAUCAUAGUUAUAUGCAAAAUGCAGGCUAACAGGUGAUACAGAUAAACACACAACGUUCAAGCAAAAUUAUCACGCAAGUCCAGAGCUCAUAGUAAGAGGUUGGCUUGCCUGGGGGUCGAUGAAUACUCCGAGCAGAAGCGCAAUAACACACCGGAAAUCUUUGUUGGAGAGGGCUUCCCUCUCGGAAGGCUCAAACAAAGGCAAGGGCAAAAUGGUCAUUUCUACUGCACAAACAUCUUAUGAAAAUAAUACUAUCGAAACGGUCUCUACGAUACGAAGACGUGGGCGCUGGUUUUACCUCAAUGAGAGUUACGAGCGCAAAGAUACGCCCGUUAGAGCACCAGGGACCAAUUUGUAAAAAGAAUAUCUGCAAAUAGGUCCCUGGGGAUGAAACAGAACGCGCCUUUNNNNNNNNNNNNNNNNNNNNNNNNNNNNNNNNNNNNNNNNNNNNNNNNNNNNNNNNNNNNNNNNNNNNNNNNNNNNNNNNNNNNNNNNNNNNNNNNNNNNAUAUCAUCCAGAUAUACCACGACAAAUUUGUCGAGGUAGUCCAUGAAUAUAUAAUUCAUCAAUCGAGAGAAAGUUGCCGGUGCAUUGGUUAAGCCGAAGGACAUGACGGUGUACUCGUAUGAUCCAUAUCGAGUAACAAAGGCGGUCUUUGGAAUAUCCUCUUUGCGAACACGGAUCUGGUGGUAUCCCAAUCUCAAGUCGAGCUUAGAGAAAACGGUGGAACCAGCAAGUUGAUCAUACAAAUCAUUUAUCCGCGGGAGAGGAUAUUUGUUUUGAAUGGUGGCCUGGUUGAUAGGACGAUAGUCUUGAACCAAUCGAUUUGUCCCAUCCUUCUUCUUAACAAAGAGAGAAGGUGCUCCCCAAGCAGAGGAACUCGGACGGAUGAAACCCAGACGGAGCGAGUUGUCAAUUUCUUGCUUAAGUUCAAGGAGUUCAUGUGGUGGAAUUUUAUAAGGACGCUUGGCAAUAGGAGUGGUACCGGGUACCAAGUCAAUGACAAACUCGACAGCUCGAGCAGGGGGAAUCCCCGGAAGUUCUUCUGGAAAGACAUCGUGGAACUCUCGGACCACUGGAAUGUUUUCAAUCCCUUCAAGAGGCGACGCAUUUAAUGCAUUCAAGGCAUACAGCCGUGCCUCNNNNNNNNNNNNNNNNNNNNGAAACCCAGACGGAGCGAGUUGUCAAUUUCUUGCUUAAGUUCAAGGAGUUCAUGUGGUGGAAUUUUAUAAGGACGCUUGGCAAUAGGAGUGGUACCGGGUACCAAGUCAAUGACAAACUCGACAGCUCGAGCAGGGGGAAUCCCCGGAAGUUCUUCUGGAAAGACAUCGUGGAACUCUCGGACCACUGGAAUGUUUUCAAUCCCUUCAAGAGGCGACGCAUUUAAUGCAUUCAAGGCAUACAGCCGUGCCUCAGCAUUACGGACGAGAUGAGCAUGGUAGCUUACCAGUUCAUCUGAAGGGUGUAGGAGGUGGACGGUUUUGGUGGCACAAACGAUCGAUGCCGUAUGAGCUUUCAACCAGUCCAUCCCCAAUAUGAGAUCAAUGUUGGAUGACUUUAGUAGGAUGGGGUUGGCAAGGAAUUCUAAUCCUUCAAUUUCAACUGGAACAUGGGGACAAACCACAGAGGUUCGGCAUUCGCCCCCAGGGGUGUUUACCACUAUCGGGAGGUUCAUCUCUUCGCUCCUAAUGUCAUGCAUGUAUGCAAAAUUUUCCGACAUAAAGGAAUGCGAUGCUCCUGUAUCAAACAAUACAGAAGCAGGUACUGAGUUAACGAGAAGUGUACCCAUCACGGUAGCAUGCUGGUCUUGAGCUUGACCCAUAUCAAUGUUGUUGGCCUGACCACGAACAUAAGCAGGCUUAGUGUUGAAGUUGCGGUUCUGGUUGUUGCCACGGCCAGUUGCGGGAAGUGCCAGCUGAUUCUGAUUCUGCCUGCAGUCUCUAGCACGGUGACCUGGACGGCCACACUUGAAGCACAGCCCGUCCUCGGGACGGGAAGGAGGAACUCGAGGCGGUGGAGCUGGAAGCCUCGGCUGCCUAGGUGGUGGAGGAGGCAGGCGAGGUGCAGCAUAGGACGGCCUCGGAGUAGGAGCAGGUGCAUGGUACAUGUUGUUGGGAAUCCAGAUCUUCCGCUUCUGUGCAGAUGAGCCCGAAGAUGAGCCCAUGUCACGGUUGCGCUUGCUGCUAUCUUUGUAUUCCUGCAGACCAGUCUCAACCUGAAUAGCCUUGUUCACGAGGGUGGCGAAAUCAGCAUAGUCCUGAACGAGGAGUGUCAGCUUGAUAUCAGGGUGGAGGCCUUCACGGAACUUCUCCUGCCUGCGUGCAUCAGUCACAAUGUCUUCUUCAGCAUAGCGAGAUAAUUCCAGAAAUUCCCGCUGAUAAGCAUCCACAGUCUUGUUGCCCUGGACUAAGUUGCGGAACUCACGCUUCUUCCGGUCCAUGAUUCCCUGGGGAAUGUAUCGAGCACGGAAAGCAGCCUUGAACUCUGCCCAAGUGAUGAUAGUUCCAUCGGGCUGAGAGCGCCUGUGGCUGUCCCACCAUUGAGCAGCGGGACCCUUCAGAAAGUAGGCGGCAAAGUUGACAUAGCUCGCCAGGGGCACAUUGGCAGACUCUAGCUCAUAAGAAAUGUCACGGAGCCAGUCAUCAGCAUCAAGAGGCUGAGUUGAGCUGCGGUAGAUCGCAGGGUUGAGACGGCAGAAGNNNNNNNNNNNNNNNNNNNNNNNNNNNNNNNNNNNNNNNNNNNNNNNNNNNNNNNNNNNNNNNNNNNNNNNNNNNNNNNNNNNNNNNNNNNNNNNNNNNNGGGGAGGGAGGGAGGACAGGCUGGAAAGAGGGCGACGUGUGGGGUUUCCGCGUGGGUUUUCCGGGGCUUCUCGUUGGGAUUUUUUUCCGGACGUUGGGCUCUUGGUGGUUGGUUACGAUUUCGACGGGGCCUCCACUUUUCGGACCCUCCUCCAUAUUUGCGUGGGCUCUUUUUUCGAUUUAUUAGUUCAGCGUGACGGUGGGCGAAGCUUAGUAAGGCUCGCACGAGACCCAUGCAAGGCCUACUUUUCGAGAUGGAAGUUAAUUGAGCUCAUUCUUAGGCACUGACUACAUUACCUCGGACGGCAUGUUUUUUUUAGCAGGAAAUAUGGGAAUUUAUUUAGCAAAAGCCCCGGCAAAAUCUGCAUGGAGGCAAGUUACAGGAAAGCUAGGUUGCGACUGCAUCCAGCACUCUGUCACCUCUCUAGUGCUAGCUUGCUUUGCACACAAGUGGACAGACGUGUUGGCCGCUCUAUUACAAAGCUGAAUACCAAAAGAAGAAAAGAAAGCNNNNNNNNNNNNNNNNNNNNNNNNNNNNNNNNNNNNNNNNNNNNNNNNNNNNNNNNNNNNNNNNNNNNNNNNNNNNNNNNNNNNNNNNNNNNNNNNNNNNUAUAUAUAUUCAUUAAGCUCUAAAAGAUUUUCUUUAAUGAGAUCAUUUAAGCACUUACAUUGAGGUUAUGUUUCGUGCUUGUCUAGACACCAGUGCAUUAGCCACUACAAAAGACCCUACUCCGAGAUCCAUCUGUUAUGUCGGAAGAGAGAUCAGAUUUCUGAUCUUUCAGAAAUAAAGGCAAACAUGAUCCAAAUUACACGAAGGGAAGCAAAGGUCGAGAAUCUUACAUUAAUAACUAAUAAAUAAUAGAUUGAUGACGAAAAAAUGGAAACAAGAUUUCUAACCAAGAAACUUGUGUCAAUUCCAGAAGAGCAGAAAAUAAGCAAUGAUGAACAGUAGUUGAUGGCCUAAUCAUACAGGGGAAAGGCAUGACAACCAACAAAGAUGACAACAGAUGAGUGAGAUGACUAUUAACUGCUGUGGACAUCAGUAAAUUGCAUUUCACCAGCAGGCCAGCAACCUAGACCAGGGUAGCCAUACUACCGCAGGAGAUUAUCACGUGUUUAGCNNNNNNNNNNNNNNNNNNNNNNNNNNNNNNNNNNNNNNNNNNNNNNNNNNNNNNNNNNNNNNNNNNNNNNNNNNNNNNNNNNNNNNNNNNNNNNNNNNNNGUGACUUGUUGGAGAUCAUACAUACCGAUGUAUGUGGUCCGAUGAGUGUGGAGGCACGCGGCGGAUAUCGUUAUUUUCUCACCUUAACUAAUGAUUUGAGUACAUAUGGAUAUAUUUACUUGAUGAAGCACAAGUCUGAAACGUUUUAGAAGUUCAAGCAAUUUCACAGUGAAGUUGAAAAUCAUCGUAACAAGAAGAUGAAGUUCCUACGUUCUGAUCGUGGGGGUUAGUAUCUGAGUUUCGAGUUUGGUGCUCACUUAAGACAAUGUUGAAUUGUUUCAGAGUUGACACCGCCUGGAACACCACAGCGUAAUGGUGUGUCCGAACAUCGUAAUCGUACUUUUUUAGAAAUGGUGCGAUAUAUGAUGUCUCUUACUGAUUUGCCAUUAUCGUUUUGGGGUUAUGCAUUAGAGACAGCUGCAUUCACUUUAAAUAGGGCACCAUCAAAACCUGUUCAGACGACACCAUACGAGCUGUGGUAUGGCAAGUGGCCAAAGUUGUCGUUUCUUAAAGUNNNNNNNNNNNNNNNNNNNNNNNNNNNNNNNNNNNNNNNNNNNNNNNNNNNNNNNNNNNNNNNNNNNNNNNNNNNNNNNNNNNNNNNNNNNNNNNNNNNNCGCCGCGAUCUCCAGAAAGGACGACCCUGUCAGGUUGCUCACGAAUCUGCGUCAUGAAGAGGGAGAAUACCUAGAAGUUAGCAGAGCAGUACGUGCGAGAAUAAAGUGGUGGCGAACGCAGGCAGGGUUUGAACUUUGCACUCACUGCUCCUUAAGAAGCUUGUUCGGGUUCAGGGGCUUGCCGAGGAGGCCAUCCAUUGUUGGAACGCGAGGUGGUUCGGUUGCCGCGGGCCCCCCUGCGUGCAGGAGAGGGGUUGGCAGCCGCAGGUGGUGGCAGCGGCCAGCGAGCCCACAGGAGGAUGGUUGGAAGCCAAGACUCUGCCCCUAAUGGUGGUGGCUGCAGCGGCUGGCAGGCAGUGGCGAAUCUAGUUUUGAAACAGGGUGGUCCACCCUAUCCACCCUAAAAAAUUACAAUAAAUAUGACAUGGCAAUAGCACAAUAGAAAUUGAUCAAUAUGAUCUUACAAACAUAUGAAAACUGUAAAAUAAGUCUUAAUUUUGCAUUAAAAAGCGCCUACNNNNNNNNNNNNNNNNNNNNNNNNNNNNNNNNNNNNNNNNNNNNNNNNNNNNNNNNNNNNNNNNNNNNNNNNNNNNNNNNNNNNNNNNNNNNNNNNNNNNCGCUCAACUCACUAGCAAUUGGUUCCACAUAAGUGGAUCUCUUAAAGAGAUUAGCAAGUGGAUGAGGAUCCAUAUCACUAGAUUUUCAGCAAGCGAAGAUGCAAGCAUAUUGAAGGCACAUAGCUCACAAGCAAGGGAAAGGCAAGCGAGAGAAAAGGGUAAACGAAAAAAGGCAAACGAAAAAGGCAAACGAAAAAAGGAAAAUCUUUUUGUAAAUUUUUUGUUUUUCAGAAGUGGGGGAGAGGAAAACGAGAGGCAAAAAAGGUCAAUGCAAGAGAUGAGUUUGCGACACCUACUUGGAUGAGUUCUUGACUUGAUCCUCCCAAGCAACGGCGCCAGAAAUUCUUCUGCUACGGCGACAAAGAUCUUUUGUCAUCUCUUGAGCUUGCGUUGGUUUUUCCCUUGAAGAGGAAAGGGCGAUGCAGCACAGGAGCAGUAAGUAUUUCCCUCAGUUUGAGAAGCAAGGUAUCAAUCCAGUAGGAGAAUCUCGUCAAGUCCAGAGUACCUGCACAAACACAAAAGAGCUUGCACCCANNNNNNNNNNNNNNNNNNNNNNNNNNNNNNNNNNNNNNNNNNNNNNNNNNNNNNNNNNNNNNNNNNNNNNNNNNNNNNNNNNNNNNNNNNNNNNNNNNNNAUGCAAUGGCGAGGGCACACAGAGUGCCCAAGUCCUUCUCUCUCAAAUCCCACCACAACAACUAAUGCUAUGGAAUAAAAUGAGAGGAAGAACGAACAAGAAUAUGAAGAACUCCAAGAUCUAGAUCCAAGGGGUUCCCCACACAUAGAGGAGCAAGUGGUUGGUGGAAAUGUGGAUCUAGAUCUCCUCUCUCUUUUCCCUCAAGAACUAGCAAGAAUCAUUGGAGGGAUUGAGAGUUAGCAAGCUCGAAGAGAGAGUCAACAAUGGGGGAAGAACAUGAUCUGAAAGGAUGGGGUUCAAAGGGGAAGAAGAACCCCUUUUAUAGGAAGGGAAAAAAUCCUACCAUUACCCCCUCACCCCGCACAUUAGAGGUACGCUGCGGCUGUGAGUAGCAGAUCAAGAGGGAAGGCAGUAGGGAGGUAGUACAGCCGGAGCAGUACUACCAUUGCGUGGAGCGGUACUACUGCACAUAAGGGGUAGUACCGCCACCUACAUCCGCUCUAGAUCCGUUGAGAUACCAACCAAGAAAACAUGUGAGAAACUAGCGCGGUAGUAAUANNNNNNNNNNNNNNNNNNNNNNNNNNNNNNNNNNNNNNNNNNNNNNNNNNNNNNNNNNNNNNNNNNNNNNNNNNNNNNNNNNNNNNNNNNNNNNNNNNNNGGCCUGUGGAGUUGCCUGAUACGUCUCCAACGUAUCUAUAAUUUUUGAUGGUUUCAUGCUAUUGUCUUGUCAAACUUUGGACGUUUUGUAUGCCUUUUAUAUCUUUUUUGGGACUAACUUAUUAACUCAGUGCCAAGUGCCAGUUCCUGUUUUUUCCGUGUUUUUGACCCUUUUCACAGGAGAAUUUUAAAUGGAGUCCAAACGGAAUAAAAUCUGCGGAAUGAUUUUUUCCAUAACAGAAGACACGCGGGAGACUUAAGAACCAAGGCAGGAGACCUCGGAGGAGGUCACAAGCCCACCAGGCCCGGCCCCUAGGCCGGGCCUAGUAGGCUUGUGAGCUCCUCGUGGCUCCCCUACCCUAGGUUUUCUGCCUAUAUAUUCCCUAAAAUCCCAGAAAAAUUCAGGAGAUCAUCGGAAGUACUUUUCCGCCGCCGCAAGCUUCUGUCUCCACAAGAUCCCAUCUGGGGCACGUUCUGGUGCCCUGGCGGAGUGGGGAUUCGGAUAUGGAGGGCUUCUUCAUCAACACCAUGACCUCUCCGAUGAUGCGUGAGUAGUUCACCAUAGACCUACGGGUCNNNNNNNNNNNNNNNNNNNNNNNNNNNNNNNNNNNNNNNNNNNNNNNNNNNNNNNNNNNNNNNNNNNNNNNNNNNNNNNNNNNNNNNNNNNNNNNNNNNNUUGAGCAUAUCUGCAAAAGCAUUUGCAGAAAGACAGGUCUGAUCAUUUCAACGAAUCGCUCAAAAUCCUCAUCAUCCUUUUUCUUGGAUGGUUUGGGAGGAAAGGGCAUAGGUUUCUGAACCCAUGGUUCCCCUUAUUUACCAUGCUUCCUAGGAGCGAAGUCAUUCUUAUUGUAUCUCUUAUUCUUAGGUUGUGGGUUAUCUAGAUCAACAGGUUCAAUCUCCACAUCCUUUUCGUUGCUAGGUUGAGCAUCUUCAUGAACAUCACUACUGAUAUUAUCAUUAGGCUCAUGUUCAUCACCAGAUUGUGUUUCCGCAUUAGAGACAUAGACAUCGUUUGGACUCUCAGGUGUAGCAGCAACAUGGUUGCUAGCAUGCAGGUUCCUAUCAUCUUUCUUGUUCUUUCUAGGAUGACUAGGUGCAUCAGUGCUAACUCCUUGAGAAUCUUGUUCAAUUCUCUUCGGAUGACCCUCAGGAUACAAAGGUUCCUGGGUCAUUCUACCGCCUAUAGUGACGACUCUGACAUAAUUGUCAUUAAACUCAUUGAGCAAGUCAUUAUGAGCUUUAAGUACUUGUUCNNNNNNNNNNNNNNNNNNNNNNNNNNNNNNNNNNNNNNNNNNNNNNNNNNNNNNNNNNNNNNNNNNNNNNNNNNNNNNNNNNNNNNNNNNNNNNNNNNNNUAGCCGCCCUGGCCGCCUCCAACGCUCUACGGUCGUUGUUUUCCAUCUUCCUGUCCACAAGUCAUUUUUUGGCAUGUUCAUACAAAGUGGAUUCAUCGGUGAGCAGGAUUUUUUGCAUCCUCCGCGUCGCUUGAGAGUUGUAACCUCUUCUUCUCGAGCUCAGUAUCUCCAAAUGUCUUGGUCUUCUGGAGUUUUCAUUUGAUCGCUGCCUCUUGCUUCUCCAACUCGAUCUUCUCCCUCUUAAUUUGAAGCCGUCUCUCUGCCUUUGUCCGCUCCCACUCCAUCCCCUCUCUUUGAAUGUCCAACAAAAGCUUGCACAUCUCCUCUUUCUUGCUCUUCCUUGCCGAAAAAAUACCCGUCCAUGUAGACGACAUUUUUGUAGCCGCGGUGUAACGGGCGAUCUUUGCCUUCUCCCACUUAGUUCCCAUGAGUAGCCGGUUAUCCUUUAGCACUUUAGCCUUUUCUUUGGUGACGACAACAUCGUCGUUAUCAUUGUCCAACCCAAUGGAUUGGUGGGAGCUUGAGCCAUCAUUCUUCUUCUUUCCUGCCUUGAGGUCGGACAGAACUUGUUGCCACUUUGGCNNNNNNNNNNNNNNNNNNNNNNNNNNNNNNNNNNNNNNNNNNNNNNNNNNNNNNNNNNNNNNNNNNNNNNNNNNNNNNNNNNNNNNNNNNNNNNNNNNNNUCGAGGACGAGCAUGAGUUAAGCUUGGGGAUGCUUGAUACGUCUCCAACGUAUCUAUAAUUUUUGAUGGUUUCAUGCUAUUAUCUUGUAAACCUUUGGAUGUUUUGCAUGCCUUUUAUAUAUUUUUUGGACUAACUUAUUAACUCAGUGCCAAGUGCCAGUUCCUGUUUUUUUCCAUGUUUUUGACCCCUUUCAGAGGAUGAUUUUGAACGGAGUCCAAACGGAAUGAAACUGCCAAAAAGUUUUUUUUCCGGAACAGAAAAAGAUCGAAGAGCUGGAGAAUCAGGACAGGGGGCCACCAGGGAUCCCACAAGCCCUCAUGGCGCGACCAAUGGGGGGCCCGCGGCCCCCUGGCUUGUGGGCUCCCUCAGGCCCCUUUGCCCUAGGUUUUGCGCCUAUGUAUUCCCUACAAAUCCCUAAACAGUUAGGAGAUCAUCGAAAGUACUUUUCCGCCGCCGCAAGGUUCUGUCUCCGCAAGAUCCCAUCGGGGGCACGUUCUGGUGCCCUGCCGGAGGGGGAUUCGGAUACGGAGGGCUUCUUCAUCAACACCAUGACCUCUCCGAUGAUGCGUGAGUAGUUCACCAUAGANNNNNNNNNNNNNNNNNNNNNNNNNNNNNNNNNNNNNNNNNNNNNNNNNNNNNNNNNNNNNNNNNNNNNNNNNNNNNNNNNNNNNNNNNNNNNNNNNNNNAAGCGUCGGUAAGUCCAUUAUAGAAGAUAUCAAGUAUUUCAUUCUUCUCGAGAGGGUGAUCAGUCAAAGCAUUCAACAGCUGGACGAGCCUCCCCCAAGCUUGUGGGAGACUCUCUUGUUCAACUUGCGCAAAUUUGUAUAUUUCCUGCAAGGCAGCUUGCUUCUUAUGGGUAGGGAAAUAUUUUUCAGAGAAGUAGUAGACCAUAUCCUGGGGGCUACACAUACAACGAGGAGCAAGAGAAGUGAACGAGGUCUUAGCAUCAUCCCUUAGCGAGAAAGGAAGCAACUUGAGCAUAUAGUAGUGGCAGAUCUUUUCCUCACUAGUGAAUAGGCUGGCUAUAUCGUGCAGUUUGAUAAGAUGGGCUACAACCGUUUCAGACUCAUAACCGUGAAAAGGAUCAGAUUCGACCAGAGUGAUUAACUCAGGGUCAACAGAGAAUUCAUAAUCCUUAUCGGUCACAAAGAUAGGCGAAGUGGCAAACUUCGGGUCGUAUUUCAUCCUAAUGUUCAAUGAUUUUUCUUUCCACUUGCGGAGUAAAUUCUCAACAUCAUAGCUAUCCUUACACGCAAGAAAAUCCUCAGCUAUCUCUCNNNNNNNNNNNNNNNNNNNNNNNNNNNNNNNNNNNNNNNNNNNNNNNNNNNNNNNNNNNNNNNNNNNNNNNNNNNNNNNNNNNNNNNNNNNNNNNNNNNNGUUAGCACAAACGUGCAGUUAUAGGCUGAUGUUUUGCAUAUGCGUCUCGCUAAUGUUGUCUCUUCCUACAUGUGCACCUAUGUGCGUGAUAAGCUUAACAGGGCUCUGCCCAUCGCAAUCACUGGUGCUAUCUUCUCUCCAUCGCCACCGCCUUCUCCUCUCGCUCUUGUCUACCUUCUUCUGUCAUGAGUUCUCUUCUGCCAAAGCUCGCUUUUGCCAACAAUGGCGCUUAGGUUUUCUUGGUUAGGGAUGGCUUCACCGUCCCCGUCCCCCCGUCCCUCCUGGUUGCAAUGGGGUUCUGGGCACCGGCAGGUCUGGCUAGGUGGCACGAGGAGGAGAGUGUUAGAUUUGCCAGGAUCGCAACGGCAAUGCGUCGAUACGUUUGAUGGUAUGACGAGGCACAACAGGAGAUGGCAGGCUGGCAGCAGAAGCCAUGGUUAAGGUGGUAGAGGAAGAGUUCACUCUCUUUCUAUCAUUCUUUUUUGUUUCGCUGAACUUUAAUAUGGUGAUUAUCUGUUCUGUUACUUAUUAGGUCACUUUUAUAUCUGAGUAUUCAGUAUCAUAGAUUUCCAUGCACCACAUUAUGCGAUAUAAUGANNNNNNNNNNNNNNNNNNNNNNNNNNNNNNNNNNNNNNNNNNNNNNNNNNNNNNNNNNNNNNNNNNNNNNNNNNNNNNNNNNNNNNNNNNNNNNNNNNNNCAGAGAGGUUGGGGAUAUACUGGGUUCACCUGGUCAUUUGCCAAAUUCCAGAGGAAAAAUCCGGGAGAGAAAAGCUAGGAAGGCAUAACAACACAUAAAUCGAUAACCCAAUUUUUGGGGUGUUACAAUAUUGAUAUAUAGGAAAGUUGCAUUUGGCUUCCGGAAAGAUUUCGUACAUUACCGGUAAAGUACCGAGAGUGACGAAUGGGUUCUGAGGUUUUACCGGGAGGGGCCACCCACCCGGGACAGAACCAAAUAGGCCUAAAGGUGGUGCACCAGCCCUUCGUGGGCUGGUGCGUCCAGCCCAAGAGGGCUUAUUUCAUCCAAGGGGCAAAAAAAGGAAAAAGGGAAAAAGGAAGGAGGAGACAAGGUGGAAUCCUACUAGGAGUAGGAUUGAAGGUGGACUCCUCCACCUCCUCUCCACUUCGGCCGAACCCUUUAGGGUUUAGGCUGCCUCCUCCUCUCCUUCCCUCCUAUAUAUACUAGAGGAUUUUGAGGGCAGCCCUAACCCUAAUAAGCCACUUGCUGCCCUCUCUCUCUAGGUCGCUUUCUCCUCUAGAUUAGUUCGGUAGAGCUUGGCGAAGCCCUGCUGUAUUAGUUCANNNNNNNNNNNNNNNNNNNNNNNNNNNNNNNNNNNNNNNNNNNNNNNNNNNNNNNNNNNNNNNNNNNNNNNNNNNNNNNNNNNNNNNNNNNNNNNNNNNNAUUAUAAGGUGAUCCCUCACUAAAAUUUCAAGAUAAAAUUGUGUUCUCCCCGACUAUGCACCAUUGCGACAGUUCGUAGUUUCGAUACACCACGUGAUGGUCGGGUGUGAUAGACUCAACAUUCACAUACAACGGAUGCAAAACAGUUGCACACGCGGAACACUCGGGUUAAACUUGACGAGCCUAGCAUGUACAGACAUGGCCUAGAAACACAAGAAACCGAAAGGUCGAGCAUGAACCACAUAGUUGAUAGGAUCAACAUCGAGAUGUUCACCACUGAAACUGUACUCAACUCACGUGAUCAUCGGACUUGAGUUAGUGGAUUUGGAUCAUGCGCCACUCAAAUGACUAGAGGGAUGUAUAUUUUGAGUGGGAGUUAUUAGUAAUAUGAUUAGCUAAACUCAAUUAUCAUGAACAUAGUCAGAAGGUCUUUGCAAAUAAUGUUGUAGCUUGCGCUGUAGCUCUACUGUUUUUUUGAUAUGUUCCUAGAGAAAACUUAGUUGAAAGAUGAUAGUAGCAAUUAUGCGGACUAGGUCCGUAAACUUAGAAUUGUCCUCAUGGUUGCGCAAAAAGCUUAUGUCCUUAAUGCACCGCUCGGUGUGCUAANNNNNNNNNNNNNNNNNNNNNNNNNNNNNNNNNNNNNNNNNNNNNNNNNNNNNNNNNNNNNNNNNNNNNNNNNNNNNNNNNNNNNNNNNNNNNNNNNNNNCCAUAAAAUAACCGUCAAAAUACGGGUCGGGCGAAAAAUGCUGUAAGACCAGACACCGCAAACGCGUCCAACCCUUAAAAAUAUUUGCAGGGCGCGGUAAAAGUUCGCCCUCAACCUUCAGAUUCACGGGGUGAUAGGCCAACCCGAGCUCGCACCUUAUCCGCAACGAGAUUUGGUGUGAGAGGAAUUUCCGCGCGGCCGUUCCCCGCUCCCCCUCCUCGGCAUCCAUUGCCCCACCCACCACGCGCUCCGGACCUUCUUCGUCGCCAUUCUUCGCAGCCAUGGAAGCCUCCCAGCCGGCGGAUCUCGUCAACGUGAAGGUCGCGCACGCACAAUCCCGUCCGGUAGAUCUCGUCGCCGACCAUGUCGUCCCCGCCGUCGCCCAAGCCACCAAUGUGCCUGCCCGUAAGCGGCAAGGCAAUGUUAGUGAGCAGGGCAGCAUUCCCGCUGGCCUCGUUAGAAGGGAAGGCGCGCUGGGCGCCGCUGUUGCUGCGCGAUCUUCCUGGCUGCCGACGUGGAAGACGAGCAAGGUUUCGGGCAUGAAGCGGAAGAAAGUUCGUACGACAAAACCUUCGUCCACUCCCUCCGCCUCGGCGAGAUGUACCCCGNNNNNNNNNNNNNNNNNNNNNNNNNNNNNNNNNNNNNNNNNNNNNNNNNNNNNNNNNNNNNNNNNNNNNNNNNNNNNNNNNNNNNNNNNNNNNNNNNNNNCUAUGUUGUUCCUUGCCACUGCUAUUGCUCGUUACACUGCUGCUACCUGCUACAUUGUUGGUUUACCUACCGUUGACGGGAAUUGACAACUUCCGUCAAUGCGGCAACGAAGGCGCCAUUGAUACAAUUGUUAGGAAUAGUCUGCCGUCAACAGAUCGUUUCUCACACCGUUGUUAUCAUACUACUUUGAUGUUACUACUGUGCUUGCAGAUACUAAUCUUUCAGGUGUGCUUGAAUCCGACAAAUUCAGCUGCUAAUACUCGAGAGUAUUCUCUCACCUCCUUCAGGCGAUCUACAAAUUUGGGUCGAAUACUCUACCCUCGAAAACUGCUGCGAACCCACGCGCUGGUGGGCCAUCAACAACAUUCUUCCAGUUUCAUUGCCGGGGAGUGCUAUGAGCAUUCUUUUGGUGCCGUUGCAGGAAAGGUUUGUUGUUAUAAGCAUUCGUCUAGUUAACGCCAGAGAUUGCGCGAUCACCUGUGUGCUGUUACUCGUCCUUAGCUGAAUAAGUAGGAUUAAAUGAUAAUAAAAUAUCAUAAGAUAUGUUUGUCUGUCCAUGCAUUCCAACAAUUAACCUAAUAAUUAUGUUUCCUUUGCCUUGCAAAGAUGAGCCNNNNNNNNNNNNNNNNNNNNNNNNNNNNNNNNNNNNNNNNNNNNNNNNNNNNNNNNNNNNNNNNNNNNNNNNNNNNNNNNNNNNNNNNNNNNNNNNNNNNUUAUAUAACUUGGCUUGUAUAUUCCAAUGAUGGUGACGGGGAUAUAGCCCUAGGGUAGGGUCAUAGGUCUGACCAAUACGUCCUACCCAAGGACACCUCAUUAUUAGUUUAAGGACUACAAGGGAAAUUCCUACUGGAUCGUGACAACAUCUAAUCCACUCGGUACAGAUCCACUCAGACAAGUACAUUCCAUCCACUCGGAUGACAGUCAACCACUCGGCCGUAUGACUCACUCAGUCAUGCAAAUACCAACAGUCGGCAAGACAUCUAUAGUGGGCUGAACUUAUGGCAUCAAUGCCCCAUCUUGUAACAUAAGAGGUGAGGGGGUGGCACACUUUAUAUAAGCCACCCCCUCCACAUAGCUAGGGACGGCUUCUUCUUCUUCUCCCCCAGCGGGCUCAUUCCUUCCCUGGAGCUCUGGCUCUCUCUAUACCAUGUAACUCAUGUCCAUGACAGAUAAAACAAAGCCUCUCCGGAGCAUGAGACGUAGGGUUGUUAUCUCCACUGUGAGAGGCCUGAACUCGCUAAAACCACCAUGUCACCCAUGUGCAUCUUGAUAGAUCAUGCUCCGUUAUCCUACCCUCUUUCUAUUGUCGGAAUCGUUACCACGACANNNNNNNNNNNNNNNNNNNNNNNNNNNNNNNNNNNNNNNNNNNNNNNNNNNNNNNNNNNNNNNNNNNNNNNNNNNNNNNNNNNNNNNNNNNNNNNNNNNNUGGAUCAUGAACCACUCAAAUGACUAGAGAGAUGUACUUUUUGAGUGGGAGUUUAGCGAAUAAUUUGAUUAAGUUAAACUCUAAUUAUCUUGAACAUAGUCUAAGUCCACUUUGAAUAUAUUUGUGUUGUAGAUCAUGGCUCACGCGACAGUCACCCUGAAUUUUAAUACGUUCCUAGAGAAAGCUAAGUUGAAAGAUGAUGGAAGCAACUUUGUAGACUGGGCUCGUAAUCUUAAGUUAAUCUUACAAGCUGGGAAGAAGGAUUAUGUCCUUAAUGCUGCGCUAGGAGAUGAACCACCCGCUACGGCUGAUCAGGAUGUUAAGAACGCUUGGUUAGCACGUAAGGAGGACUACUCAGUAGUUCAACGUGCAGUCUUGUAUGGCUUAGAACCGGGACUUCAACGUCGGUUUGAGCGUCAUGGAGCAUUUGAGAUGUUCCAGGAGUUGAAGUUUAUCUUUUAGAAGAACGCUCGGAUCGAGAGGUAUGAGACCUCUGAUAAAUUCUAUGCUUGCAAGAUGGAGGAGAACUCGUCUGUCAGUGAACAUGUGCUCAAAAUGUCUAGGUACUCAAACCGUCUAGCUGAGCUGGGGAUUGAACUCCCGCAAGAGGCUAUCACUAACAGAAUCCUUCAAUCACUACCGCCAAGCUAUAAAGGCUNNNNNNNNNNNNNNNNNNNNNNNNNNNNNNNNNNNNNNNNNNNNNNNNNNNNNNNNNNNNNNNNNNNNNNNNNNNNNNNNNNNNNNNNNNNNNNNNNNNNACAUAUGGUUCAUAUAUCACCGCUUUCCCAAGAUGUUAAAUACAACACUUUGUGAUGUAAAUUUGAAUCACGAGAUAUAUCUGAUGUAAAAACGCGGUCGUCCGCGAAACUAGUAAGCGCCAGUUCAUUUCAUUUCCCGCUCACGCCUGCCCGAGCACCUGCCGCCCCAAAUCGCCGUCGCCCUCGCCCGCGUGCCUUCCCUGCAGGAGGGCAUCUCGCAGCCGCCCCGGCGCCGCCGAUUCGGGAAGCAGCCGCGGCGGAAUUCGCUGACUCCGACGGUCCGACAGCCCGUAUAGCUCCUCUUCGCCGGUCGCCUAGCUUCCUUCUCCUCCGCACCGCCGACCGUAGUCGUCCGCAUGAGUGACUGGCUACCAAUCCAACAGUAGGCCAUCUUCUUCCACCCCGCGCACAAGGUGUUCGACGAAAUUCUCCAAGGUAAAAGAAAAGCAAAACUUGAUGAUUUAUAUUGGGAUGAGCUCGGUUGACGGUGGUUGUCUGCAUUGUAGAGCUCGGUUAACUCGUCAUUCGUGGACGAUUCAUCGUCGGANCCUGCAGGAGGGCAUCUCGCAGCCGCCCCGGCGCCGCCGAUUCGGGAAGCAGCCGCGGCGGAAUUCGCUGACUCCGACGGUCCGACAGCCCGUAUAGCUCCUCUUCGCCGGUCGCCUAGCUUCCUUCUCCUCCGCACCGCCGACCGUAGUCGUCCGCAUGAGUGACUGGCUACCAAUCCAACAGUAGGCCAUCUUCUUCCACCCCGCGCACAAGGUGUUCGACGAAAUUCUCCAAGGUAAAAGAAAAGCAAAACUUGAUGAUUUAUAUUGGGAUNNNNNNNNNNNNNNNNNNNNNNNNNNNNNNNNNNNNNNNNNNNNNNNNNNNNNNNNNNNNNNNNNNNNNNNNNNNNNNNNNNNNNNNNNNNNNNNNNNNNAUGCCAUUAUGCUUGAUGUGUUGCGAUUCAUUAGGUGGCCUCGAUUGCUUCAUAAUUGUGACUUCAGGCACCGUAUCACUUGGAUUUGACCAUUCAAGGAAGCCAUCCCUCGAGUUGCAUCUCGAACAACCCGCGAUAACACGAUCCAUUGUUUUUUAAACCUUUUGCAUCUAUUUUCUUUAUUCCAUGACAACACGCGAACAUUCAACUAGUUGUCAUAACUUUCGCGCCUGAGCACCAUUUUGGACCAUCUUUUUUAUCUAUUUUGAUCUUCUUAGAGAGGGUUAUCCAACGGUUACUUCCAAUCAUAAUUUCAAGUUCAUAUUUGCUAUACCGCCAAGCCACUUUUUAUGAUUAUAUGCCACUUUUGAGUGUCAACAUGAGGUACUUGAGGCGGGCGCUCCUCAAGGUACUCGAGCUAGUCGUCCUUGAAGAAGAGCGUUAUCUUGGUGUCGCAACCGAGCCGCUCGCCGAAGGUGUUGAGGGCGACUUUGAAGGAAUCGCCGGCCUGCGACUCCCACACCGCCACACGUAUUGCUCAUCGUCGUUGUUCUUGGUGCCUGGUGGUGGCCAUCACCUUGUCGGCGACGAGGUGGGCCGAGUAGAAGCCCACCCAAACUGGCCGAUUAUGCUCGAUGGUGCCCAGGUUGUUCAGCAGGUACGUCAAAUCAAUUUGGUUCUCGUCAGAAAUUCAAUCAUGAGAGGUUCAGCAGCGACGACGACACGAAAUUCAGUGUGAACAAGUCCUCCUUAGACACCCAGGUUCCACGGAUUUCAGCAACGAUGUCACAUCAAAAAAUAAACCAGCGACAACGUCGAUGACUAAUUGAGGCGGAACGGGAGGCGCANNNNNNNNNNNNNNNNNNNNNNNNNNNNNNNNNNNNNNNNNNNNNNNNNNNNNNNNNNNNNNNNNNNNNNNNNNNNNNNNNNNNNNNNNNNNNNNNNNNNGGCCUCUCUGAUUAGUCUUAGGUGGGGCUGCGACGUGUCGAUAUUCCGAGGCCGGGCAGGACCCAGAAAAGUAUGUCCGGCCAGAGUGUUAUCGAGCGUGACGGGACAUGUGGUGCACCCCUGCAGGGAUGAAAAUUAACUAUUCGGAUAGCCGUGUCCACGGUUACAGGACGACUUGGAGUUGUGCCCCGAUCUCUUACAACUACAAUUGUUACUUAACUGGAAUUAGUUUGCCUCGGGAUUGCUUCCUCGCAGGGAGUCGAGGGAGGAUCCUUAGGCGUGACCUCACUUUAAUAUUGCUGUAACAAUAUGACUAUUAAUGUUUUACCCGUGUUCUACUCUCGUCUAUUGCUGCAAGCCCCUGAAGAUGCUAGUCUUCGAUAGGACUAGGCCUUCUCUCUCUAUUCUCGCAUUGCUGCAGUCAGUCCACAUAUAACCCCCUUCUUUGAUACUGAUGCAUAAUUAGACUAGUGCUGAUGUAAGACUUGCGAGUACUUUGGAUGAGUACUCACCGCUGCUUUGCUCCCCCCUUGUUCCCUUGAUCCGCUUGCUGCGACCAGAUGAUGAAGCCCAGGAGAUGGAGGUCCCCGCCACCGACGACUGCUACCCCGACGGUGCCUACUACUACGUGGAGGCCGCUGAUGAUCAGGAGUAGUUAGGAGGUUCCCAGGCAGGAGGCCUCGCCUCGUUCGAUCGUUGUAUCUUUUGUGCUAGCCUUCUCUAAGGCACCCCAUGUUUUAUGUCUGUACUCAGAUAUUUGUUGCUUCCGCUGACUCGUGUGUUUAUCGAGCUUUCGUAUUCUAGCCCUCGAGGCCCCUGGCUUGUAAUAUGAAGCUGAUGUUAUUUUAUUUGUGUCUAGAGUUGUGUUGUGAUAUCUCCCCGUGAGUCCUUGGGUUUGAUCGUACGCAUUUGCGUGUAUGAUUAGCGUACGAUUAAGCCGAGGACGUCACANNNNNNNNNNNNNNNNNNNNNNNNNNNNNNNNNNNNNNNNNNNNNNNNNNNNNNNNNNNNNNNNNNNNNNNNNNNNNNNNNNNNNNNNNNNNNNNNNNNNAUCAGAGAUCGAGAUUUGAAAACAAGCGGGGCAACUAAUCUACGGGGUCAGAGGGGAUGACUGCUCCACCUAUACUAAGCAUAUUAAAGGUACAGGACUGAAAGUAACAGUUCAUCAAAAACAAGCUAUGCAUCAGAUAUAGGAGCUAACUACAACAGUAGCAAAAUACUAAUGCAAGCAGUAGGAAGAAAGACAUAGGCGAUAUAGGAAUGAUCAAGGGGAGUUUGCUUGCCUUGCUGCUCUGCGGCAAAGGACUGAUCGGCAGGGUCGUAGAUGUACCCGGCAGCAGCGUCAGUCUCGGGGUCUACCGGUAAGAAGAGGGGGAAGAAACAAUAAAUAAUAGCACCGAUGCAACACAAAGCAUGACAUGGAAAUAUGCAGGCUAGACAUGAGCUAACGCAGCAACAUCCGUCAUAGACGGGUCAGAAGAAUAUCUGACGAUAUUUUCCGGGUCUCGGGCUACUACCGGUUACACUGGAAACGAUGGAAAAGUUCCAUGUUUGCUAUGCUAGGGACGCGUGACAGACGAACGGGCCGUGUAUCCGGGUUCGUCUCGUUUUGCUGAUCAACUUUCAUGUUGAAACUAUUUCGAUCUGACUUACGGAUUAUUUAAUAAUAAUUUUCAAAGUUUUAUUAAUUAUUUAAGAAUUAAAAACAGAUUUAAAAGAUUUAGUAAAAUCCUAUUAUGACAUCAUCGCGAUGUCAGGCUGACAUCAACGUUUGACCGGUCAACUGACCAGCGGGUCCCGAACAUCAUAGGCACAAGUUUUAUUUAAGAUUAAAUAUUUAUUAAUCAGAUUAAUUUAACGAGGGACCCACGUGUCAUACUCUAAUUAUGUUAAUUAAUUAUUUUAACUAAAUAUCUAUUUAUUUAUCUAUUUUAAGAAAACAUUAUUUUUAAUCAUCGCGUGGGGCCUCCCUGUCAUUGACAGCGGUGCAUUGGCCCCACCGGUAAGUGGCCUAAGGUUAUUUCCUCAUUUAUUUUUAUUAGAUACCUAUCCGUGCAAAUACCGUAUUCCUCUAAAUACCCAAAUANNNNNNNNNNNNNNNNNNNNNNNNNNNNNNNNNNNNNNNNNNNNNNNNNNNNNNNNNNNNNNNNNNNNNNNNNNNNNNNNNNNNNNNNNNNNNNNNNNNNUUGCAAUAUGGGCCAUCAGACUUUCAAGUUUUCUUUUCCGUAGUGGCCUCCCGGCAAUCAGCGCAUGAGGAAGCUCCCUUGUCGGUGGUCUCGGCUUUCGCCUUCUUGCCGGCGCUACGAUCACCAGAGCCUUCGACAGCUAAUGAUGUCUUUGCCUUGCGCUUCUUGAUGUGCUUUCGGUUCCUCCCCUUCGGUCGAGGGGUAUCGUCAUCGUCAUCAAAGUCGACUCUGACACCUGCCUCCUCUCCGAGGAGCCGCCUUCCUUCUUCAGCUCGAGCACACUUCUCCACUAACAUAUAUAGCUCGUUGAUGGUCUUGGGGAGUUUGACAUUCAUCUUGGCCCACAUCGUCCUGUUGCGCAUGUUCGAAUGGAAUGCGGGAAUCACGGCUGCGGGGUGUAUUUCAACGUUGCGGUGCACUCUACUGAAGAUCUGGAGGUACUUCUGCAGAGUUUCCCUCUCUUUCUACGGGAGGACAUGCAAGUCGCUAAGCUGUCCUGGCUCCUCGUAGCCACAUGUGAAGGCGCCAACAAGCUUGUUGCACAAGUUAGCGCAUGACGAAAUGGAAUUCUCCGGAAGGUGCAUCAGCCACGACCUCACAUUUGGCUUGUGUGCCAACGGGAAAUAGUUCGCAAGCACCUUCUCAUCUCUUCCUCCGGUAGUUUGGCCGGCUAUUGUGUAGAUACCCAGGAAUUCUGCCGGUUUGAGCUUUCCGUCAUACUUCUCCAUUAGUUCAGGCUUGAAAGCUUGGCUCGACCGCCAGCAAACCUGUCACAGCUCGCGAGUGAAGGUGGGACACCCGACCUUGUAAGGUAGGUAUCUGCUAGCACUGGACGCGGGGUUGUUAGCGACUAUGUUGUUGCGCUUGUCAGAUUGAUGGUGUGCUUCCCGGCAUCGUUCAAUGGUAGCACGCGCGUCCUCCUUCCGCCGGUCUUCCAGGACACGCAGUUGGUCUCACUGGUCAUGUGGGCCGGACGAGGCCAUGGAUGCCUCAUCGGCCCGUCAACGCGUGGAGCUUGUUGUGGUUCCCCUUGGGUUUGCUAUCGAGCAGGGGACUGCACUGUUGGUGUGGGCCCCUCAAAACGACCAUCAGUCCGGGCCGUCGUCAUCAUCCGUGGACGACGGGACGGCCCUGCACGUUACGAUUUGCUGGCUUCGGUCAAGCCAAUCAAACUCUCGAUGGUGGUCCUCCACUCUUUCAUUUUGUCAGUUGCCGGUGGAAAACUUAACAGCAGUUGAGCCCUCGCCAUUGCGUGUGCGGUUGUGUCCGGCAUGGGAAGUGAGGCGGACUGCGACGUUGCUCGACUCCUGGUGGAACCGAGAGGAGCAUUGUCACGCCCUUGUCGUCGUGCAUCGGUCACCGUGGCGGUCUAACAUGGGGGAGGCUGAGCUCGUGGAUCCGCGGCUCCGCUCAGCACGCCACCUUGCUCGGGACGAGGCACGCGCCCAGCAGCCGCGCUCGUGACAUGCGCUGCGAGUGGACCGCAACUUUCUUCGGAUUGGGUGCCGCUAUUGUGACUGAGGUCACUCGCACGGCGGAAAGGUGGAGUCUGGAUGUCCCUUCUGCCCACAGCACCAGGGCCACGCUAGCUAUGACGUCGCUGCUGCUUGCCUCCGGCGCUCUUUCUUCCGGCUUCAGCCGCGAGGGACACAACAGUGGAGCCUCCUAGACCGGUCGCGUCGCUCAUGGUGCCCGCAUCGCCUCACGCCGUUGCGGUGCCAACAGCGUCCGCAGCUGCAAGCGUUGUGGCCUUCGAAGAAGAAGGAUGGGCGGCUACGCCGGUCUUCUUCUUUUGAGCCAUGAGGAAAAAGAAGAGCGAUGAAGAUCAGCAUGCUGCUCGUAAUCUCAUGUUUGCAUAAAUGAGUCCCCGUGCCUGGCGCACCAAAGAUGUCGGGGCAAGUUGCACUCGAUCACCUAUAGGGCCACUGGCCUCUUCAUGGUUCAGCGGGGAGAUUGUGUUGCAAAAAGAGAAAAAACAAUGAGGCAACAUGACGAUGAGACUCGAGGCAUUUACCCAGGUCCGGGCCACUGAGAAGCAUAAAACCUACUCCUGCUUUGGUGGAUUGAUUUGGGGAAGACGAAGUUCACAUAGUGUUCUACCCGACCAAGGGUUGCCGUGGAGAGCUACUAUAUGCGUACAAAUGUUCUAGGGUCCGAAUCCUAUGCUAAGUUGCAUGGGGCCUCCUUUUAUAACUCAAGGGGAGUCCAUAGUGGAAAAAAGACAAUAUUAUAUAGCUAAUAGUGUUAUCAUAAAUGCAGCCUUAGGUGGCGUGCGGGGGGGGGGGGGUGGUCCCGGCAAGCUCCUUCCACCGGCCUAGCUAAUUAUUGCACCACAGCUUGACACGCCUAUGGAUGGGUGUCAAGGGGGCAUAAUCUAUCUUCGAGCACAUCAACACGUACACAACGAGAGUCACUUAGCCAUCUGGGAGCUCGACACCUCAUCAACAAGUGAUUGGUGUGGCAAUGAGGUGGUGUAGUGGAAGAUUGACUCGCGCUUGCGGGAGAGGUGACUUGGCGGGUCUUCUUGACGGAUCGCUUGUGCCUUGGUCCCCGACAGGUGUCGGGGGUUCUUGGCGCAUCUUGGGCCCGUCGUGGGCUGUUGUGUAGGUCUUGUCGGCGUCUGGUUCUAGAUACUUGCUUGGGUUGGCGGUUGCCUUUGAGGGAUUAUGCGCUUCACGCAUAUGCAUAAGUCAGGGGCACUGGGUACGCCAUUACUAGUGCACCGAUAGUAGUAAUCAUAUAUAACAUUAGCAUAAGAAACCAAUGUUUUAUUAUUAUUAAAUUCAUAAUGAAAGGGAAGGUGUGGAGCAUCCAUCUUAAAGUAGCAAGUGUAAUCACAUAUGAAGCAUAAAUUCCAAGCAUACCAACGCAACAUUUUAAUUUGGUCCCAUAAGUGUUUCCUUUUUGAGUCAAGCGAUAAUCCCUAAAGUACUCACAUUGGUCCGAUGUGCCUCACAUAAUCAACUUGAGUGGAUAUUUUUGAGGAUUAUCAAAGUAGUAUUUAAUAUUUUCCACCUAACCAUUAUCGAGGGUUUUAAGAGGUUCCCCAUCUCUAUGAGUAGCAAGUACAACUAAUUAUUUUGGUGUUUCGUGUUCCAUAUCCAUAACUACAAAUAGAAAACAAGAUAGAGUAUAAAAUAAAAUUACUUAAUGAUAUAAACCAAACAAGCACACACGAGAAUAUCAACCGCUAUGCUAUUGCUCGCGUACAACAGCGCGAGAAAAAUGUCUAAAUUACCCAUAAGUGUAGGGUAUCAUUUGUAUCCUUUUUCGAUAAGUGAGAGUGUCAAACCCAAUGAGUAACUAAAGGUACAACUAAUAUUCUCUCAAGUUCUAUCGACCAAUGAUACAACUCUAUGCAUGCUAAUGCUUACUUUACCUAGAACAAGUAUGAAACUAUUUUGCGGGAAGGAAACUAGAAGUACUUCAUAGGUGUAAUAGAUAGUUCUGCAAGGCUUUAAAGAACACAAAAAUAAAAGUUAGAUGUUGUUUAGAUAAAGAUUAGUCAAGUUAGUUCGUUAGUAGAAAGCUUUUUGUAGAGCAAUAGAAUUUUUUUCCAUAUGCUAUUGAAUAUAACAUGAUAGAUACUUAUCAUAUGCAAUGAGGGAGAGGCAUACGCUAACACAUUUUCCAUAGUUGGAUCAUGUGCACUUAUGAUUGGAACUCUAGCAUGCAUCUGCAUCUACUAAAGAUCAUUAAGGUAAGACCCAACCAUAGCAUUAAACAUCAAAUCCUCUUUACUCCCAUAUGCAGCAACCCCCUUACUCAGGUGUGAGCUUCUAUCACUCUAGCCACCCACUAUAUGUGAAUCAUGAACGUAUUGCCACACCCUCCAUCGGUAAUACCCCAUGGGUACGUGCCACAGAAGGAACCUUAGGAAAACACCAUAUUAACAUACAACUCAUAUCAAUCACACAAUAUCACAAUUAACCCGUAGGACAAAAGAGAUCUACUCAAACAUCAUAGGAGAGCCACACAUCACGGGAUAAUAAUAUAUAGCAUUAAGCAGCAUGUUCAAGUAAAUAUUACAGCAGGGAGGAGAGGUUUUACACCACUACAUAGAGGGAGAGAGAGUUGGUGGUAAUGGUGGCGAAGUUGUUGCUGUAGAACGUCGUCACGAUGGCUGCCCCGACGGCACUCCGACGCCACCUGGAGAAAGGGGGAGAGAGCCCCCUCCUUCUUGUUCUUCCUUGGUCUCCCCCUAGACUGGAGGAAACUUUCCCCUCUAAUAGAUGGAGGCCAUUGCUCCCGGAGCAGAAGAGCCCCUCCGAGAUUAGACCUAUCUCUCUCUGUUUCUCUCGUAUUUUCGUGACUAUUUUCUAACCCUUCACCAUUUCUUAAAUAUCUGGAGAUCCGUCACUCUGAUAGGGCUCAAAUAUUGUAGGGAUUUUAAUCGGAAAAUUAUCAUUCUUGUCACCAAAGAAGGGUGCCAACCGACUUAAGGGGUGGCCAAAAGCUAACAGGACACGACCACCCACGUGGUCGCGCACUGUUGGCUUGUGAGAGCCUUGGACAUCGUGUGGUGAUGAUUCUUCUUCCCAAAAUUCACAUAUAUUCCAACAAAAAUCUCCAUAUAUUUUUAUCGCACUUGGACUCCGUUUUAUAUGGAUUUUCUGUGAAAAAAACAAAGAUAUGAAUUGGCACUGGGCACUGGAUAAGUAAAUUAGUCCCAAAAAUAAUGUAAAAUAUUGCCAAAAUUUGGGGACCCCGAUUUAUGGGUCGAGAUCACCUAAUGCACGUGUACAGUGGUCCGAGAGAUCAAUGCUCACAGAACAAACACAAACUGAUUAACAAGAGUCUUACAUCCAUACGUACCUUCUCAUACAAAUCAAGACGACCAUUAAGGUCAAGUCUUACAUAGAUAGCGCCUCGAAGGCCGACACAUCAAACAUAACUAGCAGAAGAAUUCUUGAUCGGACGAAUGAACCCAAGCCAUUUGCCUUAACUCUACAAGCAUUCUGACUCGGAAAUGUCCUAGUUCUCAUGCUCGUCUCCAACAAACUCUUCUCAAUAUUCCUGCUCUUCCAUGCGUGACCAAUUAAAUAACCAGUACCAAGCCGAUGAGUACUUUGAAUGUACUCGCAACCAACCCAUAAUAUGGAACGAGGCACUAACAAUGCAUGAUAUAGAAAAAGUAGGUAAGUUUUGCGGAAAGCUAGUUUGAGUGCAAUGACAUGAUCAAUCUUGUAAGAACAUGUAUCAAUAAGUUGAAGAUUUCCCUAUGAACAACUUAUAAUCAUACUCAUAAGACGGGGUUCAACGUCCCACGUUCAAUCCCCAAUACCAAGUCGUCAGACUUAGCUCAAGUAUCAUCCUUCUCAUGCCAUCAUCUUUCCCACAUACUCUCACACACGCACACACUUGGUUUAUAGGAAAACAACUUGACAUAGCUUAAUAAGCACCACCCAACAGUCCUUGAUUGUGGACAUGGCUAUUCGAAUAGUUUUACACUUUGUAGAGGUUACUCGUUGUACCCACGAGAGUCGGGGAUCUUCCGUGUCAUCCACGGCACGCAGUAUUUCACAUACCCGAGGUAAGCACCCGAACAAUGCCUUUCCCUUGACAACACUAAACAAAGAUUCCAAUCAGUUGGUACACAACCCACACGGUGUACAGCAUACGAGCCUCGCUCUAGAUCGUAUCAUCCAUGCAGGGACCAACGGUGUGCCUGGUGCCUGUGAAAAAAGCUCACAGUUUCCCUACCUGGCACGACCCCGUAAUGAGAGUGACCAUGCCACUCCCACCACUAGUAAUGUGGGCUCUCUGCUAGUAUCAACCAAAGUAAUCAACAAGGCCCUGUCUCAUAAGGGGUAUCGUGGUCACACAUGUAUGGUUGGGACGGUCGACAAAUCUUAAAUCUAAUCAUGUUUCUGAAAUCACACACACAAAACCUUUAUCGAUGCACCACUUCUUUCUCAAGUGGUCACUCAUCUCAACAUAUUCACCCUCGGGCAGUAGUGGCACCCGACGGGGUUUUAGAAAAGCCUUUGAAAACAUUUCCUUCAUCGUCACCAUGUAUAUUCCCAUCCCUUUUUGCGUAGUAACUACUAGCAACUAACUACAUCCCACAUGCAGAACCCUCAUAAGUGGUAGGGUCAUAUCCAAGUGCAAGUUUCAACGAGGUGUUUCUCGGAGACAACCCAACAAACGGGGGGGGGGGGGGUCUUCCGACCCAACAUGAAUAUAUGCAAAAGUAAGGUGAUAUAUGACAUGCAAAUAAAAGAUUGUUACACACGGUCACAGGGAUGCUUUCCUUGCUCAACAAAGUCAUCGGGGUCUUUGAAGUCUUCUGGUCUAACUCCCUCAUCAACAACGUAAUCUAUCAUCAUGAUAAACACAAAAAUAAUAAGAAUCACAACAAAAACAGAACACAAAACUCACUUCUAAAAUGUUAUCCUAUUCUGGAAAAUACUGGAUACAACACUAAAAUUAUCCUACUAAGGUUUUGUAGUGAAAAAUAUUUUGGAAACUUUUUAAAAGUGGCUAAAAAUACUUAAAACUAGGUUUUAAAAUAAAAUAAUGUAUAGAAAUUUAAUAAAAAAUUACACAAGUGGUAUUAUAAAACACUACACAUUUUUAAAAGAUUUGUGGUGGAAAAAUAUUUGGAUUUGGACAAAUGCUCACCCAUGUGGGAUUUUUGGAAAAUACGAGAAAAUAAAAAAAAAUGGGGCAGCACCCGUGGGCGAGACUUGGCCAGAAGCUGGGCCGGCCCAGCCAGCCCAGGAACGCGGUCGUCAGGUUUGAACCUGACGUGUGGAGCCCUGCGGUCAGCGGCUGAGAGAGGGAGAGGCAGAGGCCACGAGGUUGGGUCCCCUUUAGGGACCUUCUUCCACCUCAGGACCGAAGUGGGAGGGGAUCACCACCGUCGGCUCCGUCCACGGCAUUGGCUCACGAGCACGGGAAUGGAUCGGGAUGGUGUCGCAAUUUGAGGGGAGGUUGAAGGGGUAUCUGGGGUGGCGGAACCGUCGGCAGGGAAGAGGUUGCUGCAAACGUGCGUCAGGACGCGGUUGUCGCCGACGUUGCUUUGCGGGAAAAGGAGUGGUGAAGGGUGGGGAUGCAGCUAAGGCUUGUUGCGAUCUUGAUGGAGGAGAAAGGGAGGCUGGAGCGGGCUUGUGUCCCGAGAUCGACGGAGCCACGAUGCGGCGGUGCCUCGGUUGAUCUCAAGCACUGCUACUGGGGGCUAAGAGGGGGCUUUGGGCGGUCGACGAGGAGUGGGAUGGAGGGACUAGAGGGGAGAGAUGAGCUCGGGACUGGCUUAUAUAGCCAGCCCGCGGUUCACCGUGGUCGUGGACCGCCAGAGUUGGACACACAAGCACUUGAGGCCACGUGAGGGGGUAGGAUGUGUCUACGGUGUUGUUGGGGGUCGACCAGGACAAGCAGGAGUGGGAGGGGAACCGGGGAAGGGUUGCACGCGCAAUACUUUGGUUGGUCGAAGUGGCGGCAUCGGGCACGCACCGGGGAGGCCAUUGGAGAGGGAGAAAGGAGGUGCCCGGGAGGGGGGAAUGUAGCGUCGGGCAGAGCGCGGCUACAGUGCGGCUGGGCAAUGUAACGCGCUCCAGAGAGCCCAAAUUGUAUGCCAAGAACGCCAAUGAUUCCUUUUGUGUAGAAAAGCAUGUCCAGGAGGUCAAGGGGGAAUAAACAAGUGGCCACAAGCCUUGGAUACUCUGUAGAUUCGACAGAGAGAGCGGAAUGGAGACAGAGGUGAGAUCUUGUUGUCCAUGAGGGGAUUUGGGGUGGUUUACCCCACCAAUAAUUGACCUAAGGUCGUGGGAAACUUUUUGGGGGUAAAAAGCAUAAGCAAAAGAGUUGUGGUAGAAAAAUGAAGUGAAGGAGAUGAGUAAAGGUGGUGAAAACAACAACUUUACCAAACUACCAAAAGGUGUUUGAUUAUUGUUUGGGCAAGUUACCUUUACCCAAUUGUUUUGAAAGUUAACAUGAUUACGUUGUGGUAAAAAUCAAGAGUGCUCACCAAAUUUUAGCUCAUUUGAGCAACGUUGGUAAUGCAAAUUUGAAAAUACCCAAGGAUUGACAGAAUCAGAUUCCUGAUGACUUUGGUGACCAAAUCAACUCCCAAAAAUGCACAACUUGGUGUAGCAUCCUUAUUUGGGGCCUAGAUCACUUGGGUAAAAAAUUAGAUCAUUUGGGUAAACUUGGCAAUGUAAAGUUGCUCAAACUUGGUUCUCGACAGGAAGGGUUUUCGGGUUCUUAUGUGAGCAAAAUCAACUUGUAUUGAUAUGAAACUUUGCAGGGACACAACAUAUACCAUGGGUCACAUGCUAGAAUGUUCCUGGAAUUUAUUGAGAAUAUUUCCUUUUGAAAUAUUUCAAAAGCUUCACAUAGGUAGAAAAGGUUUGGAGGGGCUUUAUCCAAUAUUUUGAACAUGACCAUGUGUUGAAACUCAUAUAUAUGGAAAAUAUAUGUCCACUGAGUUUCCCUAAAUUUUCUCAAAUAUUUUUCAGGCAAGAAAAUAAUUUCUCCCUAUGAAAUACCAUUUCUGGCCUCAAAAUGGGUGUUUAAAUAGAAUAGGAAAAUAACUUUUAAAAUAAUUAUUUUGUGGUUUUGGAAAGUCAUUUUGAUAAUAGAAUCAAUAUAAAAUCUUUGGGGUAAAUCAUCCUUCAUAAAUUAAGGACUUGUAGUGCAAAUCCCAAUUUAUGGGUUUUCAAACUUAACAAUAAAUAAAUGCCCUUUGUUGAGAUAACAUUUUUAUAAAAGUAGUUUGUCGUUCUAUACACAUGGCAUGAUCAAUGGGAAAGGGUUUGGGAUCAAGGAGAGAAGUUUUUAGAAGGAAGAUAGCUUUGGUGAAUUAGAACACAAUCAAGCAUACAAGCAAGUUGCAAUCAAAUCAAUCAUCACAAGCAUUCAAAAAGUUUUAAAUGGUUCCAAUAUUUGCAAAAACAUAAUGUGGCGAAGUGGUACAAACACAGGGUGUGACAGACCUACCCCCUUACAAGAAUCUCGUCCCCAAGAUUCCUAGGCUAAGCACUAAAAAGAUAAGGGAACUCAGAUGUAGGGUAGUCUUCACGCUCCCAUGUUGCUUCUACUUCAGUGUAGUUGCUCCACUGGACCUUGAAAUACUUAAUGGUGUGACUUUGGGCUCGACGCUCGGCUUCAUCCAGGAUGCGGAUUGGCCUCUCACGAUAAGUGAGGUCUGACUGAAGGUCGAUGGCGUGAUUAUCGACGUCCUUGUAGUGAUCCGGACCGCUGGGAACUUGGAGGCACUUCCGGAGUUGCGAUACAUGGAAGACGUUGUGCACAUCCAAAAGCUCGGAAGCUAGCUCCAGCUGGUAAGCAACUUCUCCUCACCUUGCGGUGAUCUUGAAGGGGCCAAUGAAUCUUGGUGUGAGCUUUCUCUUAACAUGGAAAUGCUUUGUUCCCUUGAGAGCCGUGCCACGGAGGUAUACGUAGUCUCUGUUGUUGAGGUCCACUUUUGGAUGGUGUGAGUCGGUGUAGCUCUUCUGUCUUGACUUUGCGAUUUCCAGACAUUCCUUGACGACUUGGACUUGCUCUUCGGCUUCACGGAGGAUGUCUGGCCCAAAAAAUAGUUCUUCUCUGGUCGCUGACCAGUUGUGGGGAGUGCGGCACUUGCGUCAAUACAACACCUCAAAUGGUGCCAUGUGAAGGAUGGAGUGAUUAAUGUUUUUGUAGGAGAACUCGACAAAGGGAAAACAGUCUUCCCACUUGGCCCCAUAUACCAAAACACAAGCGCGGAGCAUAUCCUCAAGUGUGUGAUUUACUCGUUCCGUGUGUCAGCCUAUCUGAGUGUGAAAGGCAGUGCUGAAGGAGAGCUUGGUUCCCAUGGCUUCUUGAAACUUCUUCCAGAAUCUUGAGGUGAACUACAUGCCUCAGUCGAACACGAUAUCUUUUGGAACUCCGUGAAGGCUCACGAUGCGGUUGAUGUAGAGGUUGGCUAGCUGGCUACCAUCAUAGGUGGUCUUGACGGGAAUGAAGUGGGCCACCUUGGUCAGGUGAUCGACAAUGACCGAAAUGGACUCAUGUCCUUUGCUUGAUCUGGACAGACCGAGGAUGAAAUCCAUCCCGACCUUGUCCCACUUCCAUUCUGGCACUUUUAGAGGUUGAAGCAGCCCAGCAGGUCGUUUGUGCUCAGCCUUGACCCUUUGGCAUAUGUCACACUUAGUGACAUACCAAGCUAUUUCACUCUUCAUGCCAUGCCACAGGAACCUUGCCUUGAGGUCUUGGUACAUCUUGGAUCCUCCAAGACGGAUGGAAUACAGAGUGUCGUGUGCUUCUUGCAAGAUCAGGUUCUUGAGCUAAGCCUUGUUGGGUACGGAAAUGUGAUCCCUAAACAACACAACUCCUUGCUAAUCCACACAGAAUCCUGGGGCAUUGCCUUUCUUAAUCUUCUGCUUGAUGCCUUCAAUGCUCUCGUGUUCCUUUUGAGCUUCCUUGAUGUCGUCCAUUAGUGUAGGCUUCGCUUCGAGGUUGUCCAAAAAUCCUGGUGCAACUAUCUCCAUUCCGAAGCUUUCAAGUUCUUCAUACAAGGCGGGUAGCCUUUCCUUGACCAUAGCAUUCAAGGAAUAAGGAUUUCUGCUCAAGGCAUCAGCUACCACAUUGGCCUUUUCGGGGUGGUAUUGAACACUCAGGUCCUAGUCUUUGAUGAGCUCCAACCAUCUUCGCUGCCUCAUGUUCAAUUCCUUUUGAGUGAAAAUGUACUUCAAACUCUUGUGGUCUCUGUAUAUCUCAUAUCGUUUCACUAGAAGGUAAUGUCGCCAUGUCUUCAAGGCAUGAACUACAUCUGCCAGCUCCAGAUCAUGAGUGGCGAGGGUGUAGUUGUCUAGACACAUAGGCUACAACUCUGCCUUCUUGCAUGAGGACACCACCAAGCCCGAUACUUGAUGCUUCACAAUAUAUCAAAAACUCCUUGUGAAUAUUGGGGGUGGCUAAAAUUGGGGUCGUUGUCAACCUCUUCUUGAGCUCCUGGAAACACUCUUCACACCUCGGCGUCCACUCGAACUUCUUGUCCUUCUUCAAGAGCUACGUCAUCGGUCGGGCGAUGCUUGAGAACUCUUCGACGAACUUGCGGUAAUAUCCGGCAAGUCCGAGGAAGAUUCUCACUUCCUUCACAUUGGUCCGAGAUUGCCACUACGUCGCAGAUUCAAUCUUCGUAGGAUCAAUCGACAAUCCUUCUGUUGUCAUCACAUGGCCCAAAAAUCCAACUUCAUGCAACCAAAAUUCACACUUGCGGAAUUUGGCAUAAAUUUGGUGCUCCCGAAGCUUAUCCAGGACCAUCCUGAAGUGUUUCUCAUGUUCUUCUUCAGACUUGGAGAAGAUGAGUAUGUCGUCAAUGAAGACAAUGACAAACUUGACCAAAUACACGAUGAAGACUUUGUUCAUGAGGUACAUGAAGUAGGUUGGGGCAUUGGUUAACCCAAAUGACAUGACCGUGCACUCGUACAGGCCAUAUCUGGUUACAAAUGUCGUCUUUGGAAUAUGUUUGAGUCUAAUCUUUAGUUGGUAGUACCCAGACCUGGGAUCAAUCUUGGAGAACACUUUGGCACCAAUCAACUGAUCAAACAGGUCUUCAAUAUUAGGGAGUGGAUACUUGUUCUUUAUUGUGACGACAUUGAGGGAACGGUGGUCAACAUAGAGUCUGAUAGUUCCGUCCAUCUUGGACACAAAUAGAACAAGUGAUACCCAAGGAUAGGCACUAGGGCGAAUAAAUUCUUUCCUAAGCUGCUCGGCUAGUUGUCUCUUCAACUAGGCCAACUCUUCGGACCCCAUUCUAUAGGGCUUCUUAUAGAUGGGUAUCGAUCCGGGCAUUAGUUUGAUACUGAACUUGAUGUCUUGGUCAGGAGGCAUCCUAAGAAUCUCAUCGGGAAAGACAUCCGGGUAUUCACUUACCACUGGCACUUGGUCCAACUCAAUUCCCGAGAGGCAAUUAACCCGAGGGGCUUGAGCGUAGGCAUGGUUUGAAACAUACUUCACUUUGACUCCCUGACUAUUGGUCAUGGUGACGGCCCUCUUGGCACAGUCCAACAAGCCUUGGUGAUUGGUCAACCAAUCCACGCCAAGGAUCACAUCUAAGCCUUGCAACUUUAGGAUGAUGAGAUCUGCCAGGAAAUCUACUGCCUUGAUAUUACUCCCAACUCCUUUAUAUUGUAUCUUAGACCUUAAUACUGCACCCGGGGUUUGUACCAUUACCAUACUACCCAAAGGUGUGGGCUCCAUACCAGUCUUUUGUGAAAACUUGUGAGUAACAAAAGAAUGUGAAGCACCACAAUCAAAUAGAACUGUUGCUGGGGUUGACUUGACAAGGAACGUACCCAGUAUAACGUUUGGGUCUUCCUAGGCUUCCUUGGCGGUGACGUGGUUCACACGAGGCUUGCCAUAGUUGGGCUGGUUGCGGGGAGCGGGGUUCUUGGGUGGCGCUCCACUACCUUGUCCUUGAUUUGGCGCAUUGGGGCGCGGUGCAUCGGGCUUCUUGUUGGGGCACGUCCUCGAGAGGUGCCCAGGCUAUCCACAUCAAAAAUAGGUGACCUGUCCUGAGUUGUUGUUGUUGGCACCACCGCUGUUGGGAUUGUUGUAUGCCGGCUUGGCGUUGGCACACUACUGAUGCUCGUAGCUUGGGCAAGGAGGAGGGGGCCUGACUUGCUAAGGCUGAUAAGUUAGUUUUGCUUUGGCCAGUUGCCAAGGGCGAGGCUUCUGGUUGCUGUAGCUGCCCUUGUUGAUCAUCUUGCAUUUGUGAGUGUCUUCCAUGGCAUGGCUCUUGUCUUCGAGCAUAAGAGCCUUGUUCACCAGGUCAAAGAAGGUUCGACAAUCACAGACAACAAGUUGAUACUGCAGGAGUUGCUGGAGCCCUUCCAUGAAGUGUUGUGUCUUGGUUACCUCAGUGCUCACGUCUUCAGGUGCAUACCUUGAAAGAAGAUUGAACUUCGGCAGGUCUUCCUUGACACAGCUACUUACUUGCUUUAGCGCUCGCAAUUUCCAUUUCUUGUUAGCCAUACUCACAGAUGGGAUGUGAGCAGUGCGAAACCCUUGCCUAAAAUCUUCCCAAGUGAUCACACGGUCGCCUUGCAUGACCUUGAACCCAUACCACCAAGCUCUGGCGGUACCUCCGAGGCAGCGAGAGGCAUAAAGAACCUUCUCACGAUCCUCAUUGCAGUUGACCAAUGCAAGGAGGUCCUCGAUGGUGCGGUUGUAGUCAUCAGCAUCAAAAGGCUUUGGAAUCUCAAUGAAAGUUGGCGGCGAAUUCCUCAUGAACUCCGACACAGUAGUGCGUCCAUUAUUGUUCUUGCCCUGUGGCUGGUUGUUCACAAGGGUCUGGACCAACUGCUGCAUAGAGGAAACAUUAGCUUGGCGCUCCUCCAAGAGAACUUGGAGAAACUAAGCUAUGGUCAUGUUCUCCGUGGAGUUGGCGGCGGUGGAAUGUCGCCUUGUGGCUGCUCCUGGCGACCUCCAGCUUGAGCAAACCCACCGGCCUCCGGCUGCUGGCUAGAGUUGUUGGUGCUAGGGUUUCCAAAAGUGCUGGUGCGAACCGCAGUCACCAUCCUGUUCGGAGCAGCCGAUUCAAACAACUGAUAUAGGCAAAGAAGCAACAAGAGAAAUGCACGCCUAAGGGGGUUGGUAAAGUGCAAGUGUGACAAACAAAGGUCGUAACGACCCAACUCAUACCAUUAAGAUAAGAUAGGUGAUGUAGUCGCUUACACGUUUCCUAAGGCAACAACGCGGCUUGCAUCGAUGCACAAACAAUAAAAGAAACAACAACAUGCACACAUGGUUUCAUAUGAACCAUUACAUGGACUCGACAUCGCAUGGCUUAUCCUAACCUAGGGGUUCUUGGAUUUCAAGUGGUGGAGUGCUCGAUCUCGUAGUUACGUUCCUCUAGGUCUUCCUCCUGGUCAUCAUCUGUAUGUGCAUCGUCUCCCAUCGAAGGGGUCAAAGGAUGAAGAGGUUCAUCCCAACGAAGCUUUGCCGGUCGAAAGCUGAAGAGCCCACGAUACUCCUUCGCACUCAUGCGAUGAUGCCAUGUCGUUGCAUCUGUGGUUGGGGGUACUCCUCCUUUGUACGCGAUAGCUCGUUGUCCCUCGGGGUCUCCAUCCUUCUUGAUCUUGUUUGUCUUUGCAUUGGCCAGUCGGAGUAGCUCACGAGUGUGGUGAAGCUCCUUGCAAAGCCUCACACACUCCUUAAUCAGGUUGUGAGCUAGACUGUCGGUGGAGAGGUUGAAGUAGGUAUGCAAUUUGAGUGGUGUUCCAUCCUCCGGGGAUGGGGUUAAUGUCCAGCUCUCGUCAAUAUCGUCCUUUCAAAACACAAAGUGGCGACUAGUCGUCUCAUCAGCCAUCUCUCGAAUGAUGUCUCGAAGGUGGAUGAGUGCCUUCCGUGCAGUUGUCUCCACUGCUAGCGCCAAGGUCUCCAUCUGUGUUCCUUCAAGCAACCAACUCAUUGGGGACUCAUUUAUCUUCACGACCACAUCAACGUUGUACUCCUUCAUGGUGGCAUCGGCCCAAUGCUCGUGGUAGAGGAAAACGGGUGAUCGUGGAGCUGUCACUUCUCGAGGUUGUCCUCAAGGAGUAGGGGAAAGCUGCUUGCUAGGAGGUUUUCGGGUAUGACGGCCAUCUACAAAGUUUUAAGGAGAGGUGUCAGUAUGCUUUUGAAAGUAGAGUGGAAGAGGUAAGAAGUGCACAAAUUCCUAAAUAUAGGUACUAUGUUUAUUCUCAGAAAAAGGGUUUAUCCUAUCUGACAUCCAUGCUAACUAAGGCUUCCUACAAUCGGGAUGGCUCUGAUACCAGCUCUGUGGGAACUCCGACUUAUAGGUCGAGAUCACCUAAUGCACGUGUACAGUGAUCCAAGAGAUCAAUGCUCAGUGAACACACAGAAACUGAUUAACAAGAGUCUUACAUCCAUACAUACCGUCUCAUACAAAUCAAGACCAUUAAGGUCAAGUCUUACACAGAUAGGGCCUCGAAGGCCGACACACCAAACAUAACUAGCAGCGGAAUUCUUGAUCGAACGCAUCAACCCAAGCCAUCUGCCUUAAACCUAUAGGCAUGUUUACUAGGAAACGUCCUAGUUUGAAUGCUCGUAUGCAACUAACUCUUCUCCAUAUUCCUGCUCUUCCAUGCCUGGCCAAUUAAAUAACCAGCAGCAAGCCGAUGGGUACUUCAAAUGUACUCGCAAGCAACCCAUAAUAUGGAACGAGGUAGUAACAAUGCAUGAUAUAGUAGAAGAAGGUAAAUUUUCCGCAAAAAUAGUUUGAGUGCAAUGACAUGAUCAAUCUUGUAAGAACAUGCAUCAAUAAGUCGCAUAUUUCCAUAUGGACAAGUUAUAAUCAUCCUCAUAAGCUGGGGUUCAACGUCCCAUGUUCAAUCCCCAUACCAAGUCGUCAGAGUUAGCUCAAGUAUCAUCCUUCUCGUGCCAUCAUCUUUCCCACAUACUCUCUGAGGGAUCGAUAGAAGAUGUGUCUAAAGGGGGGUGAGUAGACUACUUGUCAAUAUAAAAUUUCUAAGCUAACCCAAUUUCAAGGAAGGCAGAAAUUCAGUAGUUCUAACAAGUCUAGUGCACCCUACACAUGGUAGUCAACAUAAAUGGCAGCAGAAAAGUAAAGACUUUGCACAUGUAAAGGAGUAGAGAUUAGGAGGUCAAACUCAAAGCUUGAAACAACAAUGUUUUGCAUGGUUCCGGUAGGUGGUGCUAUCGUAUGUCCAUGUUAGUGGAGACUUUAACCCAUGGAGGGUAACUAUUGCGAGGGUCCACGGAGGGUUCCACCCAGAAGGGUCCACGAAGAAGCGGCCUUGUGUAUUACACCACGGCUUCCGCCCAUGAAGGACUAGCCUUACUCACGAUAGAUCACGAAGUAGGCGAUCUCCUUGUCCUUACAAACUUCUUGGUUCUACUCCACAACACGAAGUAGGAGGCUCCCAAGCAACACCUAACCAAACUAGGAGGCACCACCCUCCAAAAGGUAAUAUAUGUGGUAGAUCAAUGAACUCCUUGCUCUUGUGCUUCUAAAGAUAGCCUCCUCAACACAAAAUCACUCUCUCAUAGAAUAUGCAUGGGUAGGAGAGAUUUAUUUGGUGGGAAGUUGUUUGGGGAGGCUAGAGAUCAAGUUUCAAAUGGUUGUACUAGAAUAUCUUGGUCUCAACACAUGAGUAGGUGCUUCUCUUUCAGAAAAUGGAUUUGGCAAUGAAGUCUGCAUUCUGAGUGCUUUUACCAUGAGUGAGAGGUGGGUGAAGGGGUAUAUAUAGGCAGCACACAAAAUCCAGCCGUUACACCUAAAGUGGCAAACUCGGUGACACCAAAGUUACAAACUCGGUGACACCGAAGUUAUAAACGAGGUGGUAUCGAUUAGAACAAAAGGGAGAACUUUUGAAUCUUGCUAAUACCGAUAUAGACAACUUGAUGGCACCGAAAUGGUGGCUAACGGUCAGAUGCCCAAACUCAGUGGCACCGAUACUCAAACUCAGAAAUUCCGAUUUUGUGUAUCUUGGCAACAGAAUGUUGGUCACACUGAACUCGGUAGCACCGAUAUGGAUUCGGCUGCACCGUUUUCAUGGGAAUGGCUAGGGUUUCUGUUUGAGGUCAAACUCGGUGGGUCCUAAAUGUGGAAUUUGGUGACACCGAAUUUGAGUAUGUGGAUUUGACAGAAUGAAUAUGUGGGAAAAUAACUGAGUAUUUUUGGUGGCUAACUUUGAGCACUUUGAGCACUCAGUUCAUUUUACUACCUCGGCCCCUUUUUAUAGUAUUGGCUUUCCUAUGGACUCAAAAGUGAUUUCUCACAAAUAUAAAAUGAAGAGUCUUCUAGCUUCAAGCAUGAGCCAAUAUUAUUCCUUUCUUGCAACAAGGGGCAUCUCCACUUAGCCUUGACCCAAAGCUCUCCAUGGACUAGACCUGGAAAAUCUAGGUAAAAGUAUUAGUGCAAGAGACAUUUAUGUUGUCAUGAAUUAUCAAAACCACCAAGGGAGCAUAUGUGUUUUCAAUCUCCCCCUUUUUGGUAUUUGAUUACACCAUACAAUCAAAGCUUCAAAUAAAGAUAAGCAUUAGAAUAUGACAUCUUUGAGGGAAACAUGACUAGUACAGGCUCCCCCUAAGUGUGUGUAAUUCCUUUAGAGGAUAGUUGCUUUGGAAUGCAUGGACACACACAGGGUAGAAGGACCAGACAAGUCAUCGACAUCGUUGCUAUAGGCAUCAAACAUGUGUGAAUGAAGGGAUUCCAUGUUCAAGACUCCCUCUUGCAAACAAUAUGUGCAAGAAACAAGAGGUCAUCAUGAACAAGGAUAUGAUGCAUAUUCUUACCUUGAGGAUCUUGAGCAUCUUAACAUAACAACACACUUGGGAAAACAAAUGUUAGAAAACACAAGAUUACUCCAUUGUAAAGAUGCAAAUAUCUUCAAAAGUACCAAGAUUUUGAAGACAUAUUGAAGAUAAGACUUAAAGAAAGGAUAUGUCUCCAAGAGAAAUAAGAACUUUUCUCCCCUAAGGAUGAAUAUGUGAUCAUUUCCUCUCCCCCUGAAUCAUUGCAUUGGAUACUGAGAGUAGGUAGGGUAAGAUAAGUUCAAAGCAAUAACACAAUUUUAUCUCUCUCCCCCUUAAUGUAUAAGGUUUGAUAUAUCUCCCUUCAGGAACAAAUAUCUCCCCAUAGUGAUGUUUCUCCCCUAUAAGUAGGUUCAUUGAAUAUAAGCUUUGAUAUUUCUCCCCCUUUGGCAUAUCUUUCCAAAAAGGUCAGAGGGUAAGGGCUCAUUGAGAGAAAGGGAUCCUGGAUACUUCUCUAUUUGAGAAGGGUUCCUUGAAUUUUUCUUUUCUCCCCCUUAGAUAGUCUGCAGGGUUCAUUGAAUGUUCUCUCCCUCUGAUAUGGAAAAGAGUUCCUUGAACUAUCUCCCCCUAUGAUAGGGAUCCUAGAUGCUUCUCCCUCUUAUAUUGUAUGGGAUCAUAGUGAUUUUUCUCCCCCAAGAGAAGUUUUCUCCCCCUAGAAGAAUAAGGCUAAAAUGGAUUUUGUCUCAGAAUAAUUUCCAAUAAGAUCUUAGGUGGCAAUGAAACAUGGGAUCAUUGGUAGAUAUUCUCCCCUAAGGAAAAAUCGAGAAGAAAAUAUCAGAGAAACUAAUGUAGUUAAAAUAUUGGAGUCACCGAGGCAAAGUGGUUCGGUAGAACCGAAAUGAGAUUCAGGCCUCUAGGAGGAAUCGGUUGGACCGAGUCUCCGAGAUCAGUGAGCCCGAGUUGCAAUGAAAAUAAACUACUUAACUAAAUACAGACCGAUUGAAAGAAUUGUUUCAAGAUUCCAAUUGUAAAUGAUACCAAUUGAGAAAGGCAAACAUAAGCAAAAGAAAAACAUAAGGUAGCAAGUUUUUUUUUGA